UUUUUUUUUUUUUUUUUUUUUUUUGAUAAGUGAGGGCAAUGUUUCUAUAGUGAACACCAAGAAAACUAAGGCCUAACUCCACCUUAGACCAGCCCCCUCCUGUCAACUUUACAUAUCCCCAGCCCCAUAGGUGAAACAAAGAGGAACUUAUCUUUAACAGAAUUAGGAGCAUUAAAGCAUUUUUGGUCUCUAUGAACCUGAGGCCUGAAGGUUCUAUAGGAUCUUUUAAACCAAAUGGCGGGUUAAAAUGUCAAGCAUGGCCUGUACUGAAAGUCUUUUCCGAGGAAAGUAGUUUAGGAAAUCCAAAGGCAAUUAAGUAGAAAGUGAGAAAUGAGUAUAAGUGCAGACCAUAUCAGAUGCUUGGGCUUUUAGUUGUUUUGAAGAUCAUUACCUAGAAUUUUGGAAGGUUGAGCUCUAGGAAGAAGAGAAGGCUGUAUGGAAAGUCCUUGGUAAUGCUCCCCAGAUGUGGCAAUGCUCCAAGGAACCAAAAUAGAGCUUAUUUAUAAGGAAUUUUGAAGCUAAAUAAGGUUCAUCUUUUCACUUCUCUUUGGAUCUUAAUUACCAAAGAGUUUGCUAGGAUUUCCCUAAGUAUCAUUAGGUAGGUGGAGGUGCAGUUUACUCAGGGAACCAUAAAAAAUAAAAAUUAAAAUUAAAAAAAUAGUACUAGCAAUGUUUUAAAAUGCUAAAGGUAGUCUUGAGGUGUUUUGUACAAAUGAAGCAAGAUGUAAUCCUCAACUUAAACAAAUAUGUAUAAUAAAAAAAGUUAUCAAAGAAUCAGAAAAAUCCUCAUAAAGUUACUAGAAAAUUGAAUGCUGAAAAAGGCAUAAACUCUAUAGUGAUAAAAUUAAUUAUUUGUCAUUGUUAAUAGUUUCUAAUUUGGUUUGUUUUCUCUCCUCUAAAAUUUGGCCAUCUCCUAUGGUUUCAUCAAAUAAUUUCAACAUUACUUUCACUAUUACUAGUAAGAUCCUCUAAGGAAAAUAUUCAUAUCCAGUCAUAUUAUCCUCCCUAUCAGUGUUAAUAUCCAUCCAUUCUUCUUCUUUAUCCACUAAUUGGGUAUUUUUUCUUAUCUAUCAAUAGAAAUAUAAUGAUUAUAAACGAGAAAACCACUAGGAUAGUCAACAAUUCCCCUAUUCUUUUUUCUUAAUUUCUCUUUUUCCCUUCCAUUUAAAAGAUAAAUUGGAAGUCAACUAAACCCUUACUUCGCAAAAGGUUUAACUAAGUUGAGACCCAAUACAAGGCUCAUGACCUAUAUCAAAAGCCAACAAAAGCAUAGAUGAUAAUAGACCCUAUUACAACUCAUUGAAUAUUAAAGAUUAAACCUCUUAUAAAAUAUAUACCAAAAGCUCAUAAAGAUCAAAAACCCUUUGGAUAUUUGACGCUAAAUAGCCUCCAAAGAUGUAAACCUUGACGCGGAGAGGCUUAAGCCUCAAUUACUCGAAGGCUAAUUCAUAGAGCCUCACCUUGAGGCUCACCUCAAGGCAUAAGCCUCAAUAGCCUUUUUAAACACUGAUUAUCGGCCGGCUGGUGGCAAGGUUUUAAUUAUAGUGGGUCCUAUAGUUUCAUCUUGACAGAAAAACUGAAGGCUUUGAAAAUUAAGCUGAAGGUAUGGAACUCGGAAGUCUUUGGCAAAGUGGGGGUGAACAAAGGGCUGGCUCUGGAUAAAGUAUCCUACUGGGACAAUCAGGAGCAAUUUAGAGCUUUAAAUGAGCAGGAGCUAGAGGCGAGAAAGGAGGCUAGGGAGGAAUUUAAGAAAUGGGCUCUUAUGGAGGAGACUUCAUGGAGACAAAAAUCGAGAGAAAUUUGGCUGAAGGAAGGCGAUAAGAACACGGGAUUCUUCCACAAGAUGGCAAAUUCGAACAGAAGGAGGAACUGUUUGAAAAAAAUCAAAAUCAAUGGGACUUGGCUUUCAGAAGAGCAUGACAUCCAAAGGGGUGUGGUGAGGGCCUUUAAGGACCUCUUAUCAGAUUCUGGAGGAUGGCGCCCUUGCUGCAAUAAUAUUGAGUUUGACAGCAUUGGGGAUGAAGAGGCAGCCAGGCUGGAGGAGAGUUUUUCUGGGGAUGAGGUGUUCUUGGCCCUUUCAGAUCUGAAUGGGGACAAGGCCCCUGGUCCGGAUGGGUUUUCCCUUGCAUUUUGGCAAUUCUGUUGGGAUUUUGUCAAAGAUGAGGUCUUGGGCUUCUUCAAGGAGUUUUAUGAGAGGGGUAAAUUCGUAAGAAGCCUGAACACCACUUUCUUAGUUUUAAUCCCAAAGAAGUGUGGGGCCGAAGAUUUAAGUGACUUCAGACCAAUCAGUUUGGUGGGGGGUCUCUACAAGCUGCUCGCUAAGGUCUUAGCCAAUAGAUUGAAAAAGGUGGUGGGAAAAGUGGUGUCCUCUUCCCAAAAUGCCUUUGUUGAAGGUAGGCAAAUUCUUGAUGCUGCAUUAGUUGCUAAUGAGGUCAUAGACUCCGUGCUGAAAAGAAAGGAAAGGGGGGUCUUGUGUAAAUUGGACUUAGAGAAGGCCUAUGAUCGGAUUAAUUGGGAUUUUCUGCUAUCAGUGAUGCAAAGAAUGGGUUUUGGGGAGAAAUGGAUUGGGUGGAUUAGAUGGUGCAUAUCAACUGCUUCGUUUUCGGUUUUGGUCAAUGGUUCUCCUACCGGUUUUUUCCGGAGUUCCAGGGGGUUAAGGCAAGGAGAUCCACUCUCUCCUUACCUUUUCGUCUUAGGAAUGGAGGCCUUAAGUAGUCUCAUCAACAGAGCAGUGAGAGGGGGCUUUCUUUCAGGCUGUAGGAUAGGGGGAAGGGAAGGUGUCGGGAUCCAAGUCACGCACUUGCUGUUUGCCGAUGAUACUUUGGUCUUCUGUGAUGACUCCCAAGAGCAAGUGACUUUUCUAAGUUGGUUAUUAAUGUGGUUUGAAGCCACUUCCGGACUGCGCAUUAAUUUGAACAAAAGUGAGAUUUUGCCGGUGGGUUGUGUGGAGAAUGCUGAGCUAUUGGCAGCUGAGUUGGGCUGCAAGGUGGGAUCUCUCCCUUCCACCUAUUUGGGGCUCCCUUUGGGAGCUUCGUAUAAGUCUGUGAAGGUUUGGGACGGAGUGGAAGAGCGGAUGAGGAAGAAACUUGCCUUGUGGAAGAGGCAAUUCAUUUCUAAGGGAGGGAGACUCACUCUUAUCCGGAGUACUUUGGCGAGCAUGCCAACUUACCUUAUGUCAUUAUUGCGCAUGCCAAGAGUGGUUAAAUUAAGACUUGAGAAAAUACAAAGGGACUUUCUUUGGGGAGGGGGAGCGUUGGAGAAGAGGCCCCAUCUUGUUAAGUGGGCUGUUGUUUGUACUCACAAAAAGAUGGGUGGUUUGGGGAUUAGAAAUCUCUCCAUUCUUAAUAGAGCCCUCUUGUGCAAAUGGAGUUGGCGUUUUGCGGUUGAAAGAGACUCAUAUUGGAAGCUUAUUAUUAGUACGAAGUAUGGGGUUGAAAGAGGAGGGUGGAGCACGUGUGGGGCUAGGGAGGGCCAUGGGGUCGGACUUUGGAAGGAAAUCAGCAAGGAAGGUUUGCUUCUGCUCAAUAAUGUAUCUUUCUCGGUGGGGGAUGGUAGAAGGGUGAGGUUUUGGAAAGACAUUUGGUGCGGGAGCACCCCCCUUUGUGAGGCUUUUCCCUCUUUGUUUGAUUUAGCGGGUUCUAAAGAUGCGUGGGUUGCGGACUAUUGGGAUCAAAUGGGGGAAGUGGGAGGGUGGACUCCUCUUUUCCUUAGACCUUUCAACGAUUGGGAAGUGGAGGAGGCGGAGAGACUCCUAUCGUCCAUUCAAGGGAAGAGGGUGGAUGCUGAUGGGGAGGAUAGGAUGCUGUGGAGAGGGACGAAAAAUGAGAUUUUUACUGUUAAAUCUCUUUACAAGUCUCUUGAUCAUAGCUAUGCAGUAUCGUUUCCGGGUAAGAUUAUUUGGAGUCCGUAUGUUCCUUCAAAGGUGAGCUUUUUUGCUUGGGAAGCUUCUUGGGAGAAGGUCCUUACUCAAGAUCAGCUUAAGAGGAGGGGUUGGAUUCUAGCCAAUAGAUGUUGCUUGUGUUGCGUUGAAGAGGAAACGAUAAAUCAUAUUCUUGUUCAUUGUUCUAAGACGAAGAUUUUGUGGGAUCUUUUGCUUUCUCUUUUUGGGGUCAAUUGGGUGAUGCCGUUUUCGGUGAAAGACACUCUAUCAAGUUGGUAUGUCUCUUUUAAGGACAAGAAUCAUAGAAAGGUUUGGCGGGCAGCUCCUCUCUGUUUAUUUUGGACAAUUUGGAAGGAAAGAAAUAGGAUAGUCUUCGAUAACGGGGCUUUGUCGACUCAAAGAUUGAAAAACUCUCUUGUUUGUAAUCUCUUAUCUUGGGCUAAUUCUUCUAUAGUUGUAGGCCCUUUAUCUUUGUUUAACUUUGUGGAUUGGUUGGGUUCUUGUUGAGGGUCGGUGAGUGCUUGUGUUUUUGUUGCUUGUUUUAGGUAUCUCUUGUAUACUCCCUGUAUGCUCUGGGUUGCCUUUCAAGCUCCCUUUCUCUAUUAUAUCUUUGUGCUUUUGCCUAUCAAAAAAAAAAAAAAAAAAAACACUGAUUAUCGGCCAUUGGGAUCAAACUAUUACACCACCCCCAAACCCACUUAGUUACAAGGAGAUCUUAAGCUUAAAUUUUAUGGCGUUAUUCAGAAAACUUGGGCCCAAUGGAUAUAGGGGGAGACUAUUAGAGACUUUUUUUAGGGGACACAAGCUACACUUCUUCUCUAGAUGACCACAGAAUGGACUAGAAAGUGACUGGCUGAGAAUUUUGCAUUAUAAGAGGGCUGAAGAGAAGCCACUACCAUGGGGAUUAAUAAUCUUCUUGUUGAAUGGUACUAUUCAAUGGUUAUUCAUUGGCCCAUCAUGGGUAGUAGAGAUCACAAUUAUUCAAUCAUCGUUCAUUGGGCCUAGCACAGGUCAUUUGCAUUAUGAUACAAACAUUGGAGGAAGAACCUAUAUACAUCCUGAGAUGUGGAUGCCUCUUCCAUUGGGGCGGCAAUAUAGGCUAAGAGGCAAAAAAGGUUGCCUAAGAGGAUUGCUGGGACCCUUUAAGGUUUUCCCUCUUGAGUUGUAGCAAAGCUGGUGGUUGGGUAUCUUUUUUUUUUAUAGGAAACGACAAAGAGAUAUAAUGAUAGAAGGUGGUUGGGUAUCUUAGCAUUAGCAAUGGGAGAUAUUUAACAAACAAGAAGUGUCAAGAUAAUUCCCUGAAUUAUACUAAAUGGGCAACAGUGGAAUGGUCCUAGAUAGAUAUCUCCAGUGAAGAAAUAACCUCAGAAAAUACUUCUAACUCAAUCAACCUAUAAUUUGGGUAUUAACACAUGCCUUAUUUUACAAUAGAAACCUAGCUUUGCAAGUUUUAACCCUCCAUUAAUUACUCUCAUCUUUUAGGAUUUACAAGUGUUUGAUGAGUCUCUUCUCAUUAGCCCCUUUCAAACCCUAUUCUUUUCAUAUGACCCUUGAAUUUUAUGGUUUCCACUAUAGCCACAAUACAAAUCCAUUUUCAUAAAGUCUACAAAUUAAUAGCAAUGCUACUAGUUUGCGAAUCCAUUACAAAUUGAACUUUCUCCCUCCAAACUAUACAAUGAUAAAUAAAGAAAUGGACCAAAAAAAUUUAGAUGUUAAAAGCGAUUCCACGAAUGGAAACUUACAAGAAGUAGAAGAACGCAGUGGGCGGUUUCUUUGGUUUCUUGGAGUCUACUCUCUGGGAUCUCUUCUUCGUCUUCGCUUUGGCCUUAUUUCCUGAUCUAGGUUUCUUCUCUUUCUCACUAACUCUGCUCUCCAUGACCGCCCUCUUAAUCUUCUCGGUUGAUCUUACCCUCAGCACCAUCCUCUCCGUUGAUGUUACUCUCAACGCCAUCUUCCUGGACAUUUACAAGAAACUCGUCGUUCGGUUUCCGAGAAAACGCAAGAAAUUUAAAAUAAAAGCAACAUUUUGAGGCGAGAAGGUAUAAAACCCAAUUGAAACAAGCUUGAAGCUUUCUUUUUUCCUUUUGGAAAACCCAAAAAUAAUAAUAAUAAUAAUAAUAAUAAUAAUAAAUCAUAUGACUCAUAAUCUCUUCUCUUCCCUUUUCUUCUCCGUUCCAUGAGUUUCAGAGUAACAGAACUGUGGCAGAAGAAAAAAUUAAGGGAAAAAAAAUGUGUGAAAGCAAAGCGAGAAUAGAGAAGUCGAUUACUCUUUGGUCAUUGUAUUAGGGUUUGUAGCAGGAGAUGAGACUGAAGAAGAAGCUGGGGAGCGUUUCUUAGCUUUCUUCACCAUUUUUGGUGUUGGCUGUUCGCACUCUAACCCGCAGGAAGCAGGAUUUUUAUUUUGCGGUGCCACUGAAUUAAUUAAUUAAAAAAUUAAAUAAUAAUAAUAAUAAUAAUGCCAAGGGAAAACGGUGACGUUUUGAGUUUUGCGAGUCGCCUAGCAAUGGCAACCUGCGGCCUUGGAACAUAAGAUGACAAGGAGGUUUUUUUUUAAUAUACUAGUAAGAGUACACGUGCUAAAACACGUGAAAAAAUAUGAAAAAUGUGUAAGUAUAUGAAUUUAUUUUUUAAAAACUUAUAUAGAAAUCAAGUGAGGAUUCGAAAUCAAAUAAUUGAAUUAAAAAUGAAACCAAAUUUCAGCAUCAAAUUUUAUGAUAAUAAAAUCAUUUUGUAACCAAUUUUCUUAUAUUAAGAAAAUAAAUACGGCAUCAGUCUUUGACCAUAAUAUUUAUCAAUUUUAAUUUAAACAUAUUAUUUAUUUCUUUUAUACUAAAUUUAUAUAAUUUUUUGUAUUAAUUAUUUUAUAUAUGUUUAAAUGCUUUUUCCCGGUUUUUUUAAUAAAAUUAAGAACAAAAACGAAUUAAUUUGAGCAAAAAAAUUGUGAAUUAAAAAAAAUCUUAAAAAAAAAACUCAAAGCGGUCGGCAUUGUCAAUAGAUCUCAUUGGAAUAGUAGAAGUGAAAAUUUUGAAAAUAAUAGAAAAUGAUUAAAGAAUAUAAAAAAUUUCAAACUUUAAAAAGAAUAAAAUUUAUAAUAAAUGAUAAAUUUGAAAAGUCUUCAAAUUUUUAAUAAUAAAUUUUUAUAACAUUAAUUAUAUUAAUAGUGUCAUUUUUAAGAGAAUGAAAUUUAUAACACAUUUUUAGAAUGGAAAAUGUGAAGAAUGAAUAAAAAAAUUAAUGAUUGGUUUUAUAAACUUUCUUUUCAAAAAAAUAAAAUAAAAAUUUUAUAUUAAAUUUAAAAAUUCUAUAUUAGGUUGUUCAAAAUUAUUUUUAAUUCAUUUUUAAAAACCACUAUAUAUUUUGUAAAACUUAUAAUUAUUUUUUGUCUCUAUAAAUAUAAAAUAGAAUCCAAAUUAAAUUAAAUAAUUUCAUAUCAAAGAAAAAUAUAUAUAAUAUAUCAAAUUAUUCAAUCAAUAGAAAAAAUAUAAAAGAAAAAUAAGUUUUGUUCUAAAAAUAUUUUUUUAAAUCCAAAAAAAAUUAAAAUCCUAAUAAAAAAAUUUUCAUCAUUUUGGUAAAUUUUAUAUCAAAAUUUUAAUAUUUUUAAAAUAAUGUUGUAAUUUUUUUAAUAAAAUUUAAAUUUGUUUAAAUAAAUAAUAUAAAUGAGUGAUGAAACUUUUUAUUCAAUAAUUAUCUAUAAUAUAAUAAGUGUUAUAAUUAAUUCACUAUUAUUUAAUUAAAUAUAUAAGUUUGAAAGAUUUAAAUGUCUUGAAUGAAAAUUACUAUUGCAGUAAAAAGUUUCACAUAAUUUAAAAAAAAAUUAAUUUAUUUCAUUGAAGAAAUGAAAUAUAAGUUAAGAUGAUAAGAAGAAAAAAUUAAUAAUAAAUAUGAGUAUUAAAUAUAUUUAAUUUAUUUUCUCAAACACACUCAAAUAUGAUUUAAUAUACUUCAAAAUUAAUACAAAAAAAUAAAAUAAAAGCCUGAUUUAGGUUUGUGAUGAUAGUUUUCGUAACAUCAAAUAAUUAAAACUUCAAUUAAAUGAAAAGAUUAAAUUCUCAUUUAAAUAUAUUAUUAGUAUUGAUAUUAGUAUUUCGUCAAAAAUAAUUACUACUUUUAUAAGUAGUAUAUUAAAAAAUUAAAUAAUAAUAAUCAUAAUCCCAAAGAAAACGGUGACGUUUUGAGUUUUGUGAGUCGCGAGAGGCAAUGGCAAACGGUGGACUCGGGACACAGGGUGACAGGAGUUUUUCUUUUUAAAUAUAUAUAUAUUAUUCUUUAAAAAUAAAUACAAAUAUGAUUUUUUAAAAUAAAAUAUCCCAUAAUAUUUUUUAUUUUGGGAUAUUUGAUUAAACGAUUCAAAUUAAUCCUUAUUCAAAAAAAUAAAAAUAACUCAUGUUUUUUAGAAAUAAAAAAUAAUAAUUUUUUUAAUUAAAAUACCAUACAUCAAAAUUUUUUAUACUUGUUUAAUAUCAAAAUAUUUUUCUAAAAUAACAUUAAAUAUAUUUUUAUCCAUUUGAUUCUAUAUUUAUAAUUUUAAAAGUAUCAAAAUUACUUUGGUAAAGUGAAAAAUAUUUUGGUAUUUUGGUCUAAAUAUUUCUUUUAUUUUUUGGAUUUUAUACUUUGUUUUAUAGGCAAAUAAAUCUUAUUUAAAAUGGGAGCUAACAAAAAUAGGUAGCUAUCAAAUGACAGAUGGAGAUAGCUAUGAUGUGAAACAAUUUUUUAACUCCUUUUCAUCCCUCCAAAAGAGUUGAAUUUGAAUCAUCUUUAAUCUCUAUUAAAAACUUUCAAGAUUUUCAUAACAUUGAAAAAAAUUUAGUCUAUUUCAACUAAAUAAAUUAGAGUUAGCCAAAUAACGAAAAAAAUUCAUAACUUAGGGAAAAAAAAACAACCACUAUAGCGAUCUCAAAGAAUAAUAAGAUGCGUGAAUUAUAGAUGUUGAAUCAUAUGGGUCACUAUUUGACUAAGUCUUAUAUUUGAUUAUGGUUUGUUGUUUUGUAGUCCAUAAGAGUCUAUUACUAGUGUAGUGGAGUAAUGUUUUAGCUAUUUGUUUCUUAUUGUUACUAUUUUUAUGUUAAACGUGGGUCUAGUUUUAGUGGUCAUUGUCACAUGAUAUGUGACAUAGUGUAUAAUUCCUUAUAAAAAGGCCAAGUAUAAAUCGAUUCAAUGCAUUGCAUAAACUUUUAUUAUUUUACUUUAUUGUCUCCUUUAUCAAAUGAUAUAAAUUUUGUUUUCUUUCACUUUCCCCUAUUCGGAACAGUUUUAAUCAAAGAAUAUAAAUUAUUUAAUGAGGGAGACAAUAAAGCAAAAUGAUAAAAGUUUAUGCAGUAUAUUGAAUCUAUUCAUACUUAGGCCUAACUUUUCAUUACCAGGUUGAUCGAUAAACACUUGUUCUUCCAAGUCUCUAUGUAAGAAUAUCGAUAAUAAAUAAAAAUUGUUAGAAACUAAGCAAAGUGAAAGAAAACAAAUUUUAUAUUAUUUGAUAGGGGAGACAAUAAAGUAAAAUAAUAAAAGUUUAUGCAUUUAAUCCAUUCAUACUUGGCCCACCUUCACAUAACUAGGUGGUUAAUCAAUAAAUACUUGUUCUUCCAAGUUUCCAUGAAAGAAUGUAGAUUUCACAUCAAACUAAAAUAUAGGCCAUGAGUUUUGUGUUGUCAAUGUGAUCAUCAAUAUGAUUGUGUCAUGUCUUGCAACAAAAGUAAACAUGUCUUUAUAUAAUCCAAGCCAAUUUCUUGUUUAUAGCCUUUAGUUACUAAGCGUGUCAUGUAUUUAUCAACUUCAUCAUUUUCCUUCGAUCCAAUUGUGUUUCUUUCAAUAGAAGUAAUUUCAUCAUUUUUCGCCUCCAGUCACUUUGUUUAUUUGACAACUUCUUCAAAUUUUACAGGAUCACAAUCUGAAAAUAGAAAAAAAUAAGUGGAUCAUUAGUUUGAUCAAUUCCAAUUACCUUAUAAUAAGUCACCCUUGCUGAUAUUUUUCUAUUGCGUUUAGGCCUUUGUUCUUCAUUUGCUUUUGUUUCAACUGAACUUUGAGAAUUUGUUAAAACAUUUGGAAUUGAUUAUUGUUUGCUCUCCACGAGUUGCUACCUUCCAUCUUCAUUUUCACCGUCAAAGUUUGUUGAAAUUUGUUGUGUGGUAAAAGUAUUGCUCUGUGACAAGGUCAAUUCUUCAUCAAAGAUGACAUCACUAUUAAUAACAAUUUUAUUGGUGAUAGGAUUAUAUAAUUUAUAAGCUUUUGAUUUAUCAUUAACACUAAGGUGGUGUUUGUUUUUUUUGUUUUUUGCUGAAAGUAAUUUGUUUUCAGAAUUUAGGUUGUUUGUUUUUCUACUUUUCAUGACUUAUUAUAAACUUUUUACUAAAUAGAAAAAGCCAAAAUGUGUAACUUUUUUUAAAUAAAAAAAAUAAUAUAUUGAUUUUUCUUUACUUUUUAAUACUUAAUAUAAAUAAAAUACUACAAAAACAAACAACCUACUAUUUAACACUAUUAAGCAUUAAGGUUUUAUUUAGAAUUAAGUAAAAAAACAAACACCACCUAAGAGAAAUGCAUUUUUCUCCUUUAUCAUCAAGCUUUCUCCUUUUCUCAUGUAGAAUACAGACAUGUGCAAUACACCAAAAAAUUAUGAAAUGAUCAAACAGUUGGUCUUCACCCAUUCCAUGCUUUCUUGGGUAUCAUAUUUUGAACAAUAGAUGUGGAACUUUUGUUUAAUAUAUGAAUGCUCCAAUUGAUUGCUUCAAGCCAUAAACUUUUUGGAACACCACUCCUUGCCAAUAGACUUUGCACCAUGUUCAAGAUUGUGUGAUUUUUCCUCUCUAAUACUCUAUUGUGUUGCAGUGUAAAGGUUGUUGUCACUUGUUUUUUUAUUCCAUACAUCUUACAUAAAUUUACAAAUUUAUGUGAGUUACAUUCGCCAUUAGAUCAUUGUGAAGAAUUUUUAUUGGCAUGUUUGUUUCUUUCUCAACAAGCAUUUUAAAGCUUUUUAUGGUUUCUCCUGUAGAAAGUAGAUCCAAGUUUUUCAACUAUAAUAAUUAAUAAAUUUUAUGAAAUACCAUUUACCUCCAUUUGAUAUCGAUUUAAUGGACCCACAAAUAUUUAAAUGAACCAACUCUAACAUUUGUGUUUUGUCCUCCAUGAUUUUUCUUUUUGAAAAGGAGUUCAGUGUUGUUUGCCAACAAUGUGUUCUUCGUAGACUUGAGAAAGACAUGAAAUUUGAGAAAGUCUAUGAUUACUACUCAAAACAUGCUAUUUUGUAGCUUGUAAUUAGCUCUUUUAAACACCCUUGAGUAGUAAUUAUUACCUUUUAACCCGAUUAACAUGUUAGGGACCCUUGCAAUCAGAUUUCUAACAAUUGUGUUAAGUUUUGGUGCUUUUUGAUAGCUUUAUACUCACCAAAGCAAUUUAAGAAUGAGGGAGAGCUAUAUAUAGUUCUUGGCAAAGCUUUUGAAAGCUUAGAUUUACGAAGAAAUCAAGCUAUGGAGCCUCAUAAUCCUUUGCCUUAGUCGUUCCAAGAAUACAAGGAAAGAACAAUGAAGAAGAAGAAAACAGGGGAUGAAAACAGGGGACACAGCUGCAGUCUUUUAGUGCACUUUUGGAGCACUUUCCGAAGUCCAUUCUUUACAUUCUAUAUACCAUUUCGAAGCUCAGAAAGUCAAUAUUCCAAUGGUUCAAACCACGUAUGAUUUGGAGCUGAAAUGAGGAAGAUAUGGACUUCGGAAGACAACUACAUCAAGUUGAGGGACAAUUUCGCACACCACUGUUUAAGGUGCGAAAUCCUCAGUCCACUGUGCGAAAAUUUCGCACACCUCAAACCAACAUGCGAAAUUGGAACUCAGCGUGCGAAAAUUGGAUAUUUUUGCCGACUCUUUUUUCUUCUGAUAUUUUUGUGUUUAAAUUUCCAUUUUCUCCUUGUAUUCAACCAACCAUGUAAUUCCUUAGCUAGGAAGUAUCCAAGGAAGGGUAAAACUACCUUCCUAUAUAAAUUCUCUUGUAAUCACUGAAAAUCUAUCUUUUGGGGAGCUUUCUCCAGGAGACCAAUGUAAAUUAGUUACUUAGUGAAAUACAGAGAUCUCUUUUGCUUUCUUUUUCUCUCUUCUAUUUUCUCAUUUUCUUAGUAGCCAAACAUCCUUGGAGGAUGAAAUCCCCAAGGAUGAGAGGCUAAAACCUUUCAGUUUCUUGAAGUAAUGGAUGCCAUGUGAAGCUCCCGUGUCAGGAUGGAGAUUUCCAAGCCAUGAAUGUAAGUAGCUGAGCACCAUAAAUGUUUUCAUUCAAAGUAAAGUUUUUAAUCCCUCCGACUUGCUUUGAAUGGCCAAUACUUGAUAAGCUUUUGGUCUCAGUGGAUUCUUAUUGUUAGAUCCACUGACGUUCGUUAGUUAUCUCCUACGAGCCAUUGUAUUGCAAGUAGAGGAGAUGACCUAUAUCAUUAAAAGGGCAUUUAUGAGGUUCAGCUACCCUUUUUGUAAGUUUUCAAGGACUAAAACUCAGUUGUUAAACUCAUACCGGUUCGGGAAGUAAGCAUCACCUUAGUUGCUUCCCCAACGCGAGGUGAAAAGUCCCAAAAUCUCCAUUUUUACAUGGUGAGUUAAGCAUGGCUAUCCAAAGCUUUGAGAAACUUCUUUUUCCAUCUUUUAUCCUAUUUUCAUCUUAGUUUAGUUUACAACACCUUCAUCUUUUUAUGUUUUCAUCUUAACCUAAUUUUUAUUAAGAAAAGUUCACUCCAUCCUCUGAACUUCACUAGUUAAAGUAAAAACCCUUCCCAGUGUUCGAUCCUAGAGCCACUAUACUAUAGUAGCUUUGCUACUUUAGUGUAAGGACCUUAGGUAUAAAUUUUGUUGAUACCCUUACAUGCCAAGCUACCAAGAGUCGGGUUAUCAGUCUAAUUACCAUAUUAUUCUGUUGCAACAUCUUCAAUCCACCAACAUUUAAAUGCCCAAAGCGAAAAUGUCAUAGCCAUGCAAUAUCUUUUUUUUUUUUUUUUUUUUUUGUAAGGAAAUAAGAAUGAGUAUUAUUACUCAAAUAUAAAGGAAACAUAUGAUUUGUUAUCAUAUUGACUUAAGCAAUCAAGCCUCUUUUUGGAUCUUGAAUACGACAUGUUCCAUCUUUAAUGGUGAUCUCAUACCCCUUCUCUUGAAGCUGACCAACACUAACCAAGUUUAUUUUCAAAAUUGGAAUAAAGAAAACAUUAUAGAUAAUUUGAUUAAAACCUUUAUUGGUUUUAAUUUUGACAUUUCCUUUCUUCAUAAUAGAUAUUGUAGAAUUGUCUCCAAACUUUACUAUAUUCCAAAAAGAUUCAUCGAAGUUAAAAACACAUAGACUUGUCUUCACAUAUAUGGUUGUUGUAGCCAAUAUAUAAAUACCACAACUUCUGGUGAGUUUCUUCCUUUGCAUGACACACCAUUAAAAACGACACGUCUUGAUCUUCUUCUUUCUCUAUAAAGUUUGAUUUUUCACCAUAUUCUUUACUGAAAUUUGUAUGAUACUCAAAAUGAUAAUACUCAUACUUGUGGCAUUAAAACAUUCAAUAUUUGAUUUGUCUACAUAAUUUGACUUGUUUGUUAAACGAUGAUUAUCACGAGCUCUCCAUUUUCUUUGGUUAUCAACAACUUGAUUUUCUUCUUAUUUAUGGUGACUAUACUUGCCUUUCCAUUUUCCUUUGCCAUGACCAACUCCUUUAGGAUUUGUUGUUGCUUGAAAUGCAUGCUCCUCUUUGUCUUGUUUGUUAAAUCUCUACUCACGAACCAACAAAGAACCUUGUAAACUAUCAAUUGAAAGUUCACCAAGGUUUUUUUGUAUUAUUCAAUAGUACAAACAACAUAAUUAAAUAUUGUCAUCAUUAAUAAAAAAAUUUCUCAAUUGUAGUGAUAUCCUUUAGCUUCUUUUUAUGAAUCUGCAUCUUGUUUGCAAUUACCAUUGUUUUAGAGAAGUGAUAUGUACUCAACUCUCCCAAUUUUAUGUGUAAUGUUUCAAAUUCACCCCAAAGUGUUUAAAGUUGUUGUCGUUUCACUUUUGUCAUCCCCUUAUAUUUCUUCUCCAUAAAGUCCCAAAUUUGCUUGGAGGUUUCUUGGUUAAGAAUUGUCUCUAGGAUUGAGCGACCAAUAUAUUGGAAAGAUAAUUCCUAACCUUGAGAUUUUCAACCUAUAUCUUUCUAGUUAUACUCUUUGUGUUUCUGUUAAUACUACCCUUACUACUAUGUUUGUUAUUCUAGCUUCGAUGACCUACCAAUAUUCUUUAGAUCUUAAGAAGUUUCCAAUCAACAUGCUCCAAUGAUCAUAGUGACCAUUAAAGUGAGGAAUGGUGGGUUGCAUGAAAUUUUCAGAUGCCAUAGUUAACUUUGGCUUCUACAAAACAAAAAGGAAAUAUGUGCAAUAAAUUUUAGAUUGGUUUGAAAUGAAGAAUUUCAAUUCUAUGCAAACUCCAACUAAGGUUGGUUUGAAGCCAAUCAAAGACUAUGAAGGAAUGAAGAUUGACAACGCCUUUUACAAGCAAAUUGUGGGAAGCUUAAUGUAUUUGACUACAACAAGACUUGACAUGAUGCACGUUAUGAGUCUCAUUAGUAGAUACAAGGAAUGCCUAAUUGAAAUUCAUUUUCUUGUUGCAAAAAGAAUUUUUCGUUACUUUCAGGUUAUUGUUGGCUUUAGGCUAUUCUAUAAGAAGGGAGAAAAAUUAGGUUUGAUUGGCUUUACUGAUAGUGAUUAUGUUGGAAAUUUAGACAAUUGAAAAAAACACUUCAUGGUAUGUUUUCAUGCUUGGUUAUGGGUCUGUUUCUUUAUCAUCAAAGAAGCAAUCAAUCAUCACUUCAUCAACUAUUGAAGUUGAAUUAGUCGCUACAACAUCAUGUGCAUGUCAAACUAUUUGGUUGAAGAAAAUUCUUAAAAAGCUACACUUCAAGCAAGAAAAACUUACUACAAUUUUUUGUGACAACAACUCAACAAUCAUGCUCUCUAAAAAUCUUGUUUUAUAUGGCAGAAGCAAACAUAUUGAUGUGAAGUAUCAUUUCUUAAGGGACCUUCAGAAAGAUGAAAAGAUUGAUCUCGUUUACCACAAGAGUGAAAAUCAAAUUGUCGAUAUUUUAACCAAGCCUCUCAAAUUGGUUUCAUUUCUAAAGCUGAGAAGAUUGCUCAGUGUCUACACAUUGAAAUAUCAAGUUCUAUAACUAAACUGAAUGUUUGUAAUACAAUCCAGUUUAAGGAAAUGAAUAUUUAGUUAAGUGGUCACUAUUUGACCAAAUCUUAUAUUUUAUUAUGGUUUGUUGUUUCAUCCAAGACUUUGAUACCAUUGUUACUAGUGUAGCAAAGUAAUGCUUUAACUAUUUGUAUCUUAUUGUUGCCAUUUUUUUUUUUGUUAAACGUGGGUCUAGUUUUGGUGGUCAUUAUCACACCAUGUGCAAUGUAGUUCAAUGCUUAAUUGCCCCAUGGAAAGGACAAGUAUGCAUGGAUUCAACGCGUUGCAAAAACUUUUAUUGUUUACUUUAUUGUAUCCUUUAUAAAAAAAAUAAUUAUAUUCCUAACCACAAAUCUAUAUUGUAAUCAAAAUAUUAACAUCUAAAUUUUAUUAUAAUCCUAGUCAAUAAACAUCAAACAUAAAAUUACUGUGGUUUUGUAGUAUUUUGUGUUUUCGUCUUUAUGUUCAAUUGUUUUUAAAUUAAAAGGAUUAAUCAUUUAUUAAAACUAAUAAAACCCUAAUUUAGAUAAAUAAGAAUAUUAAAAUAUAGAUGCUGAAAUAUUUCACAAAACCUAAACAAAAUAUAUAAAAGAAUUGAUUUUAAAUCCGUCGAGAGAAAGUAAAAUUUUUUCUAGUUGAAAAUUAAAUUCUAUGCAAGACUAAACUGCAUCUUAAUAUCAAUUUAAGUCUUAAUCAUUCAUAAUUAUGUUUCAUUAUUAUCAUUAUCAUACUUCUAAUUUUCUAUAUUUGCUAUUGUUUUUGAAAAAAUUAAAUUUAUUUAAUUAUUUAUUUUCUUACAAUUUUUAAAAUCAUAUUAUUAUAUUUUUGUCCUGGAAGUAGGUAAAAAUCAGAGCAAGCCACUUUAAUUGAGUGAAUAAAGUAUUUACCUUUCUUGUGUGAAAAGUGGAAGAUUUUCAACCGUGGCCACAUCGGUAUCAUCGACUCAUCGUCCAUUUUUCUCCCCCACAUCUCAGUGCUCCACGCUCAUCUUCACUCUCCUCUUCGCCUCUCUCCUCCGACGUCACCACCGCCGUCGCAACCAUGCACGUCCUCCAAUCACCGGCUCUCUGCCCCACGCCGCCCCAUCGCCUUGGUCGGUUCAAUGCCAAACAGCCUCGAAAGAAAGUGUCAUUCAUAUUAUCCGCCGCCUCCCCCACUGUCGCUGCGCCCAAGCGCGAAAAGGAUCCGAAGAAGCGGGUGGUGAUCACCGGAAUGGGGCUCGUCUCCGUCUUUGGAAACGACGUCGACGCCUACUACGAGAAGCUGCUCGCUGGUGAGAGCGGCAUCAGCCCGAUUGAUCGGUUCGAUGCCUCUAAAUUUCCGACACGGUUCGGCGGCCAGAUCCGCGGAUUCGACUCCCAAGGUUACAUUGACGGCAAGAACGAUAGGCGGCUCGAUGACUGCCUUCGCUAUUGCAUUGUCGCUGGAAAGAAAGCUCUCGAAGACGCCGAUCUUGGUGGUGCUGAUAUCUCGAAGGUCGAUAUGCUCAAUGUGCAUUUUAUUCUAGAUUUGUUGAACUUGAUGGAAUGGUGAUCUUGCAUUUUGUUGUGGAUUUGGAUUUAAAGCUGUGUUUGGCUGCAUGGAAUUGGAAUUGGCAGUUGGAGUUGGAGGGAGGCCCCAAUUCUAAAUCCAUGGAAAGAUGAAAUCCAAUUCAAUUCUUCGCAGCUAAACCCAGCCAAGAGCUGUUUUUUUGGUAAAUUGCUUUAAGCAGGCAAUAUGCAUCACCAAAUGAUUGAACUUCGAAUCUCUCUCCAUCAAUGUGUGUGUUUAGUUUCUCACCGUUGAAUUAAAUUGUUCUUUUAUUAUCAAGGGACUUAUUGACUACUUCUGAAAAGGGCUUUCUCGAAACAAAUUCCUUUUAUUUCUUUAAUCCGGUUUAAUCUGUAUUUAUAAACCUGGCGGAAAUUCAAAUUUUAUGUUGAUUGCUAUUUUUUUUUUUUCAUCUAGAAUGUUUGACCCCUUUCUGUCAUUUUGGCGCAUCAGACAUUAGAACAGUAUGUGGGUCUAUCGUGGGUAUGUUUAUAGAAGAUAAAACAACAUGAAUGCCAAGUGAUUUGAGUUUUCGAAGAUGCAAAAUACUUGAAUAAUGGUUUUAGCUUUCAAUGUGUAGCUGAGUUGUUGAAUCAUGAAAACUUGAUAGUGAUAUGAAUAGCUGGAGGUUGUCUGAUACCUGGGUAAGAAAUAAUUAUUGGAUGGCCAAAUUUGUAUCCAUAAGAAUGAGGUACACCCAGCAACUUUGCCAGUAUAAGGGUCAGAGACACCUCAUCUAGGGCCAUGUAGUAUGUCAAAUCUCUCUCUUUUUUUUUUCUUAUCACAAUCUUGAUAUAGUAGUUCCUUGAUUUCUCCUUGUUAUUGCAGGUCAAAUGAUGCGCUGAUCCCAUGAAUUUAUCAUAUUAGGUGCAUAGCUGUGCUUAGCAGCAUGGCUUAAUCAAAGAAACAUGUUGCCUACAGGCUCAUUGCUGUUGCACAUUAGACUAGUUCUGAUUUCUAGGUCCAUGCAUUUGUUAUCCAUCCAUUAAGCAAGUUAUAAAAUUUAGAAUUAAUAUGCAGCUAACCCUCAAUAUAUCCUAGAUAGAGAUGAAUUUAGGAAAAGGUCAGUAUAGUCAAAUUGGUUGGGAUAAGGUUUUCUUAUAAUUGCAAAUUUGAACCGUCAUCGUUGAUUAGAGUUGUUACUUGAAUAAUUCUACUUUGUACUACAUUCUUUAUUUUAUUUAUUUUUAAGUUUGGGCCUUCAAAUCAUGUCUAAGUAAAUAAUGAAAAAAAACUUCCAAAUACUAGGACAAAAUUUAAACUGCUUGAUUAUCUGUUAAGGCUGGUGGCUUGUACUUUGUAAACUUACUCUGCAUCAUUUGACCAGCCUCAUGCCUUGAAGCAAAUAGAAACCACUGGAGGUGAGUGCAAACACUCAGGUUUGCUUUUAUACAUGCGAGCAUGUGUCUUCAUACCAUUAAAGUUUGAAAUGUUUUUCAUUAGCCUUUGCUGUGUCUUCCAUGUCUCUGGUGAUGAACUUGUACCUGCUUCUAGUUCUUUUUGUACUUCGAGGAAGUGUUGGAGCAUUGCCCUUCUUUUGACAGAAUCUCAUAACUAAUCUUAGGAAACCUGUAUGUAGAGAGAGUUUUGUCCUUAAUACUAAUUUGAUCUUCCCCUAAAAUUUUUUUGAAUUGAUAUUGGUUUCUUGGCUCAAGCAUCUGGGCAUUGUCUUCAUUGAAGCUUUUGUUGUUUAUGGACACGUAUUUUCAGGUGUUUGCCCUUUUUAUUCUGCUUAAAGAUGUAUACCUUGUUCACUGAAUUUAUCGAGUCUAUGCUCUUUGCAGAUUGAUAAGGAGCGAGCUGGUGUGCUUGUUGGAACUGGGAUGGGUGGUCUUACAGUGUUCUCUGAUGGUGUUCAGGCUCUAAUAGAGAGGGGUCAUAGAAAAAUAACCCCAUUUUUCAUUCCUUAUGCUAUCACAAACAUGGGGUCUGCCUUGCUUGCAAUCGAUCUUGGUUUUAUGGGUCCAAACUACUCAAUUUCAACUGCUUGUGCUACCUCCAAUUAUUGCUUCUAUGCUGCUGCUAAUCACAUCCGCCGUGGUGAGGCUGAUUUGAUGAUUGCUGGUGGAACUGAGGCUGCCAUUAUUCCCAUUGGCCUAGGUGGUUUUGUUGCUUGUAGAGCUUUAUCUCAGAGAAAUGAUGAUCCUCAAACUGCUUCAAGGCCAUGGGACAAAGAUCGAGAUGGUUUUGUCAUGGGUGAAGGUGCUGGUGUAUUGGUAAGCUUGUCUGUACGCAUGCUAAUAUUAAGGGUUGAAUCUAGGGCCCAAAAUUAUUUAUUUGGGUGGUUUUGUUCAUCAAACACACUCUCAUUUUCUUAAGAGGAAAUUAUAUAUUGAUCAUCUGCAUGAUAAAGAUAAAACACGUUCAUGCCAGAUCACUAGACAGCUUAGUCAUAUGGUGCUGGUAAAUCAAGGUUGACACCUGCACAAUGAAUUGCUUGGUGGACCAACCGCUUUAAACUUGGAGCAUGGUACCAGACAAGGUGCAGCCAUAAUUUAUGCAUUUUAUAUUUUCUAAAGCGAAAUGCUUAUAGGUCCUUUUGUUUGAAUUAGAUGAAAUUGAGCAUCAUGUGGAAAUCUAUUAAGAGAACAUUAUUUAGAAAGAAGCAUUUUUACUCAUUACCUAUCCAAAAAAAAAAAACAAGGAAGAAGCAAAAAUUCUGCUAGCUACAGUAUAUUAGUUGAAUAGUAAGGCUGGAUUCAUUGGCUUGCAAGCAAAAUAGUUUUUGCUUCUUGACUUAUUUACCUUUUUUUUUUUUGAUAGAUAAAGAGAAAAAUAUAUUAAAAAGGGCUGCCAGAAUGGCAGCCCAAGGUAUACAAAAGUAUACAGCUACGACCAACCACAACCACAAUAAACCAAAGUUACAAAAGAAAAGGAACAAAACCAACCCACCCUCACCAAGCCCCAAUCAAUCUAGAUAGCUAAAAAAAGUUAAGAGGAACAUCAUCUAAAUAGCCCUUUGCUUCUGACCAAAUACAAGAAAUGAAAGAACUUUUUAGCCUUUGGAUAGAGAGCUCUUCCCCCUCAAAGGAAAUUCUAUUUCUUACCUUUCACACUAUCCAAAACAAACAUAAUGGUCCCACCUUCCACACCUUCUUGUGCUCCUUGGCCACAAACGACCCAUGCCACCCUAAAAGAGGUUCUCUAACCAACAAUGGAAGCACCCAAGACACCCUAAAAAGGGCAAACAACAACUCCCACAAGACUCUUGUCGUUGCAUAAUGGACAAGGAGAUGGUCUAUGGAUUCUUCCUCAACAUGACACAAAAAACAUCUAUUUGCUAUAGACCACCCCCUUUUCUAGACUUGAUCCAAAGUUAAUGCUCUUCCCCAAGUUGCCUCCCAAGCGAAGAAAUUGACUCUAGGAUGCACCCAUGCCUUCCAUAUGUUGCUCUAAGAAAAAGAAAUUGAAGUCCUUGACGCCAAAGCCAUAUGGAGCGACUUCAUAGUAUACUAGCCAUUCUUAGUCUCUGUCCAAAGCAUCCUAUCUUCCUCGUCCUUGUACACCCUCAUCCUCUCCAAGCUUGAAAGAAACCUCUUUGCACUUCCCACUUCCCAAUCAUUGAGGGGUCUAGAGAAAGACAGACUCCAACCCCCCUCCCUAGGGAUAGAAGAAUCCCACAAAUCCUCCACCCAUGCAUCCUUUGAACUUGCUAAGACAAAUAAUGAUGGAACAAAGUCACACAAUGGACCAUUCCCACACUACUUGUCUAUCCAAAAUUUGACCCUUUGUCCAUUACCUACCACGAAGGAGAUUCUACUACUCACAAGCCCCCACUCCUUCCUUAUAGCUUUCCACACACUACCAAACCCCUCCCUCACUUCCCUAGUUCACCACCCCCCUUUUUUGACCCUUUGUGAUAAUGAAUGUAAGACAUAGCCUCUCUUUCCCACCUUCCAACAUAUAGCACAAACAUGCACGCAAUGAAAUGAAUCUCAUUAGCAAAUAUUUAUGAUUUUUAUUACUUUAGGAGAAAUGCAAACCAGUGGUAUAAGAUAACAGUGCUUAGAUUUGGUAGCUUGAAAGGUAGAUGGGAUGGGCUUUUAAAUGGAGGUAUGAGAAUUAUAAGUUGGAAUAUUUGAGGUUUGGGGUCUAGAAAAAAAAAAGGGUAAUUAAGGAUUUAUUAAGAGUCUUUAUGGAGUUUCACAAUUGUGGGAUAAUAAACCAAAGCACCAAUGCCACUUGCAUAGUGCUUGUGCCAAAAAGAAGUUAUACCAACAAAAUUAAAAAUGUCAAGCCUAUUAGUUUAGUCAAAAGCCUAUAUAAGAUCAUAGCUAAAGUUUUGUUAGGUCAUACCCGAGGAGUCUUUCAUGAAACCAUUCAUAUCUCACAGAGAGCUUUUGCAAAGGGGAGACAAAUCUAGAUGUGGGAUUGAUAAUCAAUGAAAUGGUUGAUGAGAAAAGACGAUCAAGAGAGGAAAGAGUAGUCUCCAAGAUUGAUUUGGAAAUGGCCCACAAUUAUGUGGACUUGGGCUUUUUCUUAGAAAGAAAGGGAUUCAACACAAGAUGGAGGACUUGGAUGAGGAGAUGCAUAUCUUCAACAAAUUUUGUGGUUUUAUUGAAUGGAAGUGUCGAAGGAUGGUUUAAAGUUACUAGAGGUUUACCUCUUGCCCCAUCCCUUUUCACCAUAGCAGUCGAUGUUUUAAGUAGGAUGUUGUUGAGAACAAAGGAGAGUGGUAUCCUAGAAUUAGAAGACUUCCUAGUAGGAAGGAGUAGAACUAGGGUGCCACACUUGUAGUUCAUAGAUGACACCGUUUUUUUUUUUCAGGAGCUUGCAUGGAAGAUUUUUUUUUAUUGGUAAAUUUUUGUCCCUAUUAGGACUUGAACCUGGAACCUCCCACAAACCCUCCCAACCCUUUACCAUUCGAGCCAGGCCUCAAGGGCAGCCUGCAUGGGAGAUUUGCACAACCUUAAUUGCAUCUUGAUGGUUUUUGGGUACCUUUCAAGACUUAAGAUCAAUUUAGAUAAUAACACUUUAUCAGAAAUUAACAUGAGUCAAAAUAAGUCACUACAUUGGCUUUGAUGCUAGAAUAUAAAGAAUUUGAUUGACCAUUGAUCUGCCUAGGUUUCCUAUUAGGGGGAACCUUAAAGCAAGUGUUUUUUGGAAUCCAGUGAUUGAUAGAAUUUCUUGGAGAUUGGAUAAUUGGAAACAAGCUUGUGUCUUUAUGAGAAAGAAUAACUCUAAUUCAGUCAUGUUUGCCUCACACCCCUAAUUACUUUCUCUUUUUACAUACAGUCCUAUCAUUAAUAGCGACUAAGAUUUAGGAAAAUGUAAAGGGAUUUUCUGGUCAGGGUUUUGGGAGGGUAAGAGAGAUCAUCUUAUUAGAAGUAUGUAUGCCAAAGGAGGAAGAAGGUUUGGAUUUCAACAGGAUUCCUUUAAGGAAUAGAGCUCUCUUAGGAAAGUGACUUUAGAGGUUUGCUAGGGAAAGUAUUGCUCUUUAGCACAAGUUCAUAUUGAGCAUCUAUGGUAUACACCUAAAUGGUUGGGACACCAAUAUUAUAGUCAAGCAGUUGCAUUGUUGACCUGGGAAAUCCAUUGUAUAGGUUUUCUAGGAUUUCUCUAGUCAUACUUAGUUUCAAGUCAAGUGGAAGAUGGACAAAUAUUUGUUUUUAGGAAGACUUGUGGUGGUGGGAUUGACCCCUUAGCUCUUUAUUUUCAAAUCUUUUCAAAGUUGUCGUGGUAAGAAAUUCUCUUAUCUUAUCUAUUCGUUGUGUCUUUGACUCAUGUUCUUGGAACUGUAAUUCAUGUCAAAAUCCCACAGAUGUUGAGAUAAAAGAUCUCAAAAGGCUCAUGUUAUCUAUCUCUGUGAACUUUCACCAUCCUUCCCAAAUGUUAGAAUUUGGUCAUUAUUAUCUUCAUGUUUAUUUAAAACAAAAUCUUUCUUCCUAGCCUUAUCCAAACCAACUCCAAAUUCCUUCUCUCUAGCAGAAUUCAUAUGAAGAUUUAAAGCCCCAUCAAAUAAUAAGGCUUUUGCUUGGUUAAUGGUCAACGAGAUGGUUAACACCAAUGACUUGCUUCAGGUAAGAAGAUUUUUCAAAACCUUUAGUCUUGAUCGUUGCACCAUGUGCAUGGGAAGUGGAGAAUUGAUUGAUCGCCUUUUUUUUUUUUUUAAUACUAUCCAAUGAUCUUGGGGCUUUGGCACAAACUAUUCAAACUAGCCAAGUUAGAUUGGGUUCCUCCUAGAAGGAUAAGUCACAUGAUGAUGAUCUUCUUUGAGGGCUUUAGGAGUGCUAUUAGAGGCAAAGUUCUAUGGUAAAUUGUCUGCUUUACGUUGAUUUGGAUGGUGUGAUGGGAAAGAAAGGCAAGAAUUUUUUAUGACUAGUGAAGGACUUAAUUUAUUUCUAUUCCUCCUUCUAAGCCUUUACUACUAACGCUUUAAGGGCACUUCUCUCAAUGUUAUUCAACUCAAUUGGAAAGUGGUAUGUAGAUCUAAGGGUUGGGAAAGCAAAGGGAGGAGAUGCUUUUAUUGUAAAGUUUAUUGUGGUUCUCUAAUGGUAUACACUUCUCCUUAGCAUAUUGUAGGAGGUUUCUCCACCUCUUCUUUUGAUUAGAGUUUUUAAAUUUGGGAAAGAUUCCUUAUCCUUCACUUGCACUUGUAAAUUCAUGUUAACGAAUGUUUGUUUCUGAUAAAAAAAAAAAAGGUAAUGGAGAGCUUGGAACAUGCGAUGAAACGAGGUGCUCCAAUUAUUGCUGAGUACAUGGGAGGUGCAGUUAACUGUGAUGCUUAUCAUAUGACUGAUCCAAGAUCUGAUGGGCUUGGUGUUUCAUCGUGCAUUGAGAGCAGCCUUGAAGACGCUGGUGUGUCACCAGAGGAGGUACUCUUGUUUCCCUUAAUGCAAUCCUCAUAUCAUGAUGAGACGUGUCUUAUUCUUUGAUGCUAGAUAUUGAUGUAUUUUAUUCCAAUAGUUUUAUAUUUAAUUUGUAUUUACCAUUGUGUGUUCAUUGACACAUGCUGGUGCCUGCCUUAUUUAUCUUAAUGGUCUUCUCUUUCUCUCUUUCUCUCUCUUAUUACUAUGAUAUAAAAAUGCUCCUUUUUCCAUAGUUGCAUUUACCAUCUAAUCAUGAAUCUACUCAUAUUUGUACCUACUCACACUGAUGUGGAGAAAAGUGAAGUUUUAUCUUCAACAUUGGGCUUAAGCUUUCUAUUUUCAUCAAUAUGGGGUUCAAGCUGAAAGGCAUCUUUGUAUACAAACUAACCUGUGGUUAACACCUAGAUAAUAUGGUUGUGGCUAGAUAUAUAUAUAUAUAUAUAUAUAUAUUGAAAUUGCCUUUGUUGUGCAAAGUUGUAUGGACUCCCCACUUCUUUGUUUUGUCUUAUUAGCUUUUGUGUUUGUCAACAAUGAAAGCCACUGAACUUAAGACUUGAGUCACUUAUAAGGUACUUGCAGUUAUAUAGCACUUGUUUCUUGUUUUGGUGCAAUAUGCAUGAUUACCAAUUUUUCAUAGAUGAAGCAACUUCUUAAUCAUUAAGUUUGAUUGCAAUCUCAAAAUGAAGGGAAAAUCUAUAGUGUUAAAAGAAGUCAAAUUCACUUUUUAGUUCAUAAAGGAAUGCUUACAAUGACAAUGACUGAUUUUUGUUUUGCAAAAAUUUGAAGAUGCUAUUAUCAUUUAUCUUAUGUUGCUGAGGUAUUGUUGGCAUCCAGCUGGUCCUAAUGUAAUUCUAGUUUGUACUAGUUAGAGGCAGAUGAGAUGCAUUUGGUUGGGGUGUUAAUGUACAGUCUAUUACAGUGAGACAUCAUUUAAUCUUUAUAGAAGGUUCCCUCAAAACUUUGCUGGUAUUCUAGACUUUAUCUACUACAUUUCAAUUGAGGUUUAUCCAUAUGUAAAAUUUAAGCUAGAAGGAAGUGACAUGGAGCAAAUUGCUUGAACUCCUUGUAUUGCACCUCAGAAGCCUUGUGCUAAGAUGAAGGAAAGGUGGCAUUGAAGUGGUCUCUUAUACUCCAAUUAUGAUGCACUCUCUAUUUAAUUUAUUUAUUUAUUUUCCCACUUAGGAUUCAGUGGUGUCAUUGUCAUUCGCUUUGAGUUACAUUCUAUUCUUAGCUAAGGAACAGAAUUGUGUUGAAAUUUCUGAAGGCCAUGGGUUAGUGAAUCAAAAUUGUCUGUUUUUUCAGGUUAACUACAUAAAUGCGCAUGCAACCUCUACUAUUGUUGGUGACUUGGCUGAAGUGAAUGCCAUAAAAAAGGUAUUCAAGAGCACUUCAGAGAUCAAAAUGAAUGCAACCAAGGUUCGCUCUCUCUCUCUCUCCCCCCCCUCACAUUCUUCCAAAUUUAGUGAACUGUAAAAUGAUGUUGUUCUCUUGGCAUUAACUCAUUGAAGUUCAUCCUCUUGUGGGAUUUCAUUUUGUGUCAGUCUAUGAUAGGGCAUUGCCUUGGUGCUGCUGGGGGUUUGGAAGCUAUUGCAACAGUGAAAGCCAUAACUACAGGCUGGCUGCAUCCUACCAUAAAUCAAUUUGUAUGUGCUAUUUUCUUGGUUAUCACUUGCUUUGGGGCAAUUUGUCAGACUUAUAUCUUGAAUUGAAAUAUCAGAGUGAUAGCAUUUUCAUAAUCAUUAUAUAUUGUUAUUAUGUUUAUGCAGAGGUUUCUUUCAAUUUAUGGCGUUUUUUCAACAUUUUAUUGGGAUGUUCUAACCGGACCUUGAAAAAACUAUCUAGAUACCAUUUCAUUUUCCAUCCUAAAAUAACAUUCUCUCGGUUGGUAGUGCAUAUUCAUACGGAUCCUUAUAUCCAAUUUAAUUAGUAUGAAGUUAAAUUAUAAUGCUGGUUUCACAGUUAGGCUGGCAUGUCAAUUGUAAAAUUUGGUUUACUCAUAUAAGAUUUAUUUUUAAAUUAGGUUUCAUUUUGUUGUCAAGGAAAUAGAGAAGAGAAGAAAAUUUGGAAUGUUCAGUUGAGUUUGGGAAAGUUGGGAACAACUGUAAUGAUUUUUUUAUGUGUUCUUUUCCAUAAAAUGCAGAAUCCAGAACCAUCAGUUGAGUUUGACACCGUUGCAAAUAAAAAGCAGCAGCAUGAAGUGAAUGUUGGUAAGUACUGAAUCCCCGAGUUCUGUGACAUCUUCAUUUUUAGUUACAUUAAGCUAGGACCCCGUAUUUACUCAUUGUGAAAUUUUCAUGUUUUGCAGCCAUUUCAAAUUCAUUUGGAUUUGGUGGACACAACUCUGUGGUAGUCUUUUCUGCAUUCAAGCCCUGAUCAUCCAGCUUGUCUGUAUUUCCUGCAAUUCGAGAUUUAAACUCUCGAAUAAGCAUCCAAAAUUGUUCUUUUACAAGAGUGAGGAGUAAACUUGGGGUAGAGGCUGUCAUUUUCUUUCUCUUCGGAGUCAUUUCAUGGACUCUGAGCCAUUUGUAGUUUUUCAUGUUAUAAUUACCUUGAGCUCCGCUUUAACAUUAUUGUUUAGUGAACUUUUGGAAUCUGAUGAGCUAGACAUGAAAUUUUGUAAUGUUUUUUAUCCUCUAGUGGUUAGGAGGAGAUACCUUGAAGGCCCUCUUGCGUUUUGCUGUGAGUUCCCAUUGCUUUUCUGCAUUGAUGUUUGGAGCAUGUUGUGCAUUUUUGGUAAUGCAGAUGUAAACUGUUGGGAUGCAAUAAUGUUGGCUUUAAGUCCUAGGGACAAGUCACCCAAAUGAUGACUUUGAGAACAGGGUCGAGGGGUGUGAUAUUGAAUCCCAUAAAAUGUUUGACCUAUUCUCUCUUGAUAUAUAUUGGUUUUUUUAUAAGAUGGUGGAAUCGUGAUCCAACAUAAACAGUAUAAGGGUUUGUAAAGUGUGGUAAUCAAGGUUUUCAAUAUGCUUACAUUGUGCUGAUGGAGGCUAGAUUAGAUCGGCUGGCCUAGAAUGAGGCCAAUUCAUUUCAAAAUUCUCCUUAGAGCCCUUGAAUGUUCAACAUAUAACAUUGUGAAUCCAAUACUGCUGCUUGGCCAUCGAAUAUUGGAGCAGUCUGAAUCCUUGCCGGACUUGUUUGAUUCAUGUCACGCAAACCCAAAAAAGAAAAAGAAAAAGGGCACAACCAUUUGAUCAAGUUGGUUUUCUCAGCCAAAAGGGAUUUGUAAAUGAAUUUAAUCUGAAUGACACAUAAGUUGAAUUUUAAAUGAAAUUGCAUCUUGGAAAUAUGAAUUUACAAAAUUAGAAAUCAUAUUUUGAAUUAAAAUCGUAUUAUUUCGAUUUUUUAUAUGUGGUUUUAGUACAAAUCGAUAUCCCGACUUAAGACUACAAAAUCAGAAAGUAACAUUUUUAAUGUACAGCAUUGACUUAAGUUGUUUUGUUUUGCUUUUGUGGCUUUUAUUUUAUAAAUUAUUAUUUAAAAAAAAAAAAAAAACCAAACGUGGCUCCUCUCGGUCAGAGUCUCCAAGACUCCCAACUAGAUCAGGUAUAUCGUUUUCCCGCCAAAAGCAAAGGCAACAAAGGCACCAUCCCUGUUUCCCGCCAAAACCCUCGAAGCCCAGAGCCAAAAGCGCCCCCUCAACACAAACCAGAAUCUCUCGUUAUCUCUCUCACUGGGAAGCGGAAGCAGGAGACUGAGACGAAGCAAUGGAGAUCAGCGAGGAAGUGAGAGCAGCUCACAAGCGCGACUUCAUGGAUUUCUUAGAUCAAGAUGUAAUCAUUCCCCCUCUCUAUCUCUCUUCUUCUCUACUAGCUCUCUCUAACCUUUGAUUUUUCUCAUUUUCAUCAGAUUGGAAAGGGUAUUUACAUCGAUGAAAUCAAAGCCAUGAUCAACCACAAGCGCCAUCGCCUCAUCCUUAACAUUUCCGAUCUCCAUGACUACCGCACUGACUUAGCCCACAGGUUUCCUUUUCACUUCUCUUUUCCAUUCUUCUGGGUUUUUUUUGGAUUUAUUUUAUUUGCGUUUCAUUUGGUUCCUCAUAAUCGCGGGAAAAAAAGAAAGAAGAGAAGAAGAUGAAGAAUUGGAAUUUUAGGGCUUGUUUGGUUUUGGUAUUUCGUAAACGGACCGUUUUUAGGGGUUUUCCUUUUCUGCAUUUUUAGGUCAACAAAACAAAAAACUUCCUGAAAUUCUUCUUUGAUGAAAAGAGUAAAGAUCUUUUGGAAUGUGGACUGGUUUGGUACUGAAAAUGAAAAUGACACGGAGACUUGUUUGCCUGGACAUUUUUGCAAUGUGAAUUUUCUUCUUAACGUUCUCGUGCACUGUGAUGGCCAAAUGGUUGUCUUCUCCCCUUUCAUCUCGCUACAUUUUUUUUUUAUUUAAAUAAAGGCCUCCUUAUUAGCAGCGGACUUCCCAAAACAUUAAGUUCAAAAGCAAAUUCAUCAUUUUCAUUUUUGAAAACCAGAACGAUGGCACAACUCUGUUUUUAGAAAAUUUACUCAAAAAACUGUUUACUCCAAAAUGCUUUCCAUCUCACUUUCUGUCCUUUUUUUUGUUUUUUUGUUUUUUGUUUUUCUUUUUCUUCCUUCCUUUAUUUAUACAUUUAUUUAUUUUUUUUGGGGGAAAUGAUACCAAACAGGUUAUUGGAAGUGUUCCUAUAAACUGUCAUUGUUUACAUUUCUUUGGAGAUGCAGAAUUGAAAACCAUAUUCAGAGGCUUUUUGGUGUAAUCAACUUAAAUGUGCUACACAAUUUGUUUGGCUACAUAUUGCUAAUUCUUUAGUUUUCCUAGGAACAAACAUAACAUGUUAAUUUCACAUUUUAUUUUAUUUUUCUUGGAUACCAAAGCUGAUGAUUGGUUUCAUUUUCUCUGAAUUGAUAAGGAUCCUCAAGAAUCCUGGUGAGUACAUGCAACCAUUCUCUGAUGCAGCCACUGACGUCUCACGCAACCUUGAUCCCAAGUACUUAAAGGAAGGAGAGCAAAUUCUUGUUGGCUUUGAAGGUCCUUUUGUUUCCCGACGUGUUACACCGAGAGAUCUUCUCUCUAGCUUCAUUGGAUCCAUGGUCUGUGUUGAGGGCAUUGUCACAAAAUGUACUUUCUCUUUAACAUUCCUUUUUUUUUGGAUAUUCUUAUAUUUAUUUUGAAGAAGUAAUUUUAAUCUUGGUACUUAACUGUCACUGCUUCAAUCAGUUUCUAGUUUCCACUGUCUUAUCUUUUAAGACCCUGAGAAACAAAAGCCCCCAAUUCAAUUAAAUUGAAUUUAAUUAAUUGAUUUUUCAUUAGGAAACUGAAAUUCAAUAAAACAUAGACCUUGGAAUUUUACUUGUGCUUUUUGGUUCCUCCAGUGAGCAAGCAAACAGAGGUAACUGGACAUUAGUCCUUGGUAAUAUGGUUGCUUUGAGUAGGUGAUGCAAGGAUUGUGAAAAUAGAUUAAUCUUAAGUUUUGAAUUUAUACAAUGUAGUUUGAGCUGGAAAACCUCUAAAACCUAAGGGUUCGAAAGCCCAUGUCUGAGAUUUCCAAGGAUUUUGAAACCGAAACUGGCAUAAGUUUCUGACAACAUUCUGUUCUGUUUUGUUUUGUCUUUUAUGCUCAUUUUUCUGAGAAAUGAAAAGGUGGGAAACUGUGACAUUUCCAGAUGAUUGGCUUUUUUCAGGAGAAAUUUUAGAAACAGAAAAUGGUUAUCCAAAUGAGUUUCCAAAUGUUUUCUAUGUCAUUUUCAUUUUUAUUGUUUCUGAAAUGAAACACCAUUUUUGAGCAUAGAAUUAAACAAGCUCUCAUAUGCUUUACUGACCCAAAUUCUCCAAUAGAGAUCUUAGAUAUUUUGAAGGUAUUCUAUUAGAUGGAAUAGUAGCUGAUCCUAUUUAGUGUGGAGAUGGGACAUAUGAACCCCUGGAAGCUUUCUGACCAUUUUCCAUGUAUCCAGCUAGUUCAUUUCAGGCAACUGUAUGAAGUGCUUGAGUAAAUGAAAAUUUAUACAUUUUUAGGAGAAUGAUAACAUCAGGAUUUCUCAACACAAACAUAUGUAGUAGGUUAUUACAUUUUUCUUUGUUGUACCUUUUUUCCAUUUUAAUGGAAGAGGGAUGGAUUCCUCUCAAACCAGAAUGUUUGAAGUAGAAAUCAGUGCUCCAACUUGACAAUAUCUCAUAUUUCAACCAUAAAACAGGUUUAUUCAUAUCUGGCUUCUUUCACAUAUCAAAAGUUGUGUUUGCUUAGUUAUAAACUAAUUCAUUUCCUUGUCAAUUCUUGAUGGUAUAUUGACGUUGGAGCAUAGAUAUCUAACCUGCUCAUUUUUCCUCAUCUCUAGGUUCUCUUGUAAGGCCAAAGGUUGUUAAAAGUGUUCACUUCUGCCCUUCAUCUGGGAAUUUCACUACCCGUGAAUAUCGAGAUAUUACGUCCAAUAUGGGUUUGCCCACAGGGUCUGUGUAUCCUACACGGGUAAUGUCAUGUCAUGUCAUUUUCUACUCAAUUGUUUUUUAUAUAUAUAACAUAAGGGAUAGCCUUUCAAGAGAAACACACUGUUUCAGGAUGAAAAUGGCAACUUAUUGGUGACUGAGUAUGGGUUGUGCAAAUACAAAGACCAUCAAACCUUAUCAAUGCAAGAAGUGCCUGAGAAUUCUGCUCCAGGUCAGCUUCCACGAACUGUGGAUGUUAUAGUUGAGGAUGAUCUGGUGGAUUCAUGCAAGCCUGGAGACCGAGUGGCAAUUGUAGGAAUAUAUAAAGCUAUUCCAGGAAAAAGCAAGGGCAGUGUCAAUGGGGUAUUCAGGUUACUCCCAUCAAAUUUUCUGCACCAUUUUUCUUCUUCCCUUUGGAUCAUAAUGUUUGCUGAUAGCAUGAUUUUGUUAUGUAGGACUGUGCUCAUAGCAAACAAUGUUUCUCUGCUGAACAAGGAGGCAAAUACACCAAUCUACACUCCUGAAGACCUAAAACACAUUAAAAGUAUAGCUGAGAGAGAUGAUACGCUUGACCUACUUGGUAAUUCACUUGCACCAUCUAUAUAUGGGCAUUCAUGGAUAAAGAAAGCUGUGAUUUUAUUAAUGCUUGGUGGAGUGGAAAAGAACCUUAAAAAUGGGACCCACUUACGAGGGUGAGUUAUUCUCUUUGUGUUUUUAUGAUAUGCUUUAAGUGAUCAAUUCCAGUUGAACAAAGUACUGUCCCAAUUAUUGUCCUUUGUCUAUAGAAGCCCUGCAUCCCCUAACAUUCCCCCCUCGCUCCUCCGACUUGUUCUAUUGUGGGUCAUAUCUGAAAGCUCCUGUCAUAAAAUCAAAUUUUUACAUCUUAAUAAAACCGAAUUCUUGUUCCUUAUAGUGACAUAAACAUGAUGAUGGUUGGUGAUCCUUCCGUUGCCAAGUCUCAACUGUUAAGAGCAAUUAUGAAUAUUGCUCCUUUGGCUAUAUCUACCACUGGUCGAGGUUCUUCUGGUGUUGGUUUGACAGCUGCAGUUACUUCUGAUCAAGAAACAGGUAAUUUAUCUCACCAGGCCCAAGCAUGUUAGCGUUAUUUGGCAAUUGCUUCAGACUAGUAUUCUCUUUCCUUGUCAUCAGGAGAAAGAAGGCUAGAAGCUGGUGCCAUGGUUCUUGCUGAUCGAGGUGUUGUUUGUAUUGAUGAGUUUGACAAGAUGAAUGAUCAAGAUCGUGUUGCUAUACAUGAAGUUAUGGAGCAGCAGACAGUUACCAUUGCCAAAGCUGGUAUCCAUGCAUCAUUGAAUGCUCGAUGCAGUGUAGUGGCAGCUGCAAAUCCAAUAUAUGGAACUGUGAGUUUUACAUUUAUUACUAAUAUAAAUCCAGUAAUACUCAUAUUGCAUAAUAACGCAUCAUUGCUGCCUUAAUUUGAUUUUCUGCUGGUUAUUGAAUUGAUGUACAGUAUGACCGGUCAUUAACCCCAACAAAGAAUAUUGGACUUCCAGACUCUUUGCUCUCCCGUUUUGAUUUACUGUUUAUAGUAUUGGACCAAAUGGAUGCUGAUAUUGAUCGUCAAAUCUCAGAGCAUGUCUUACGUAUGCACCGCUUUCGAUCUGCAGCUGGAGGUAGUGACCGGUAUCAUCUUAGUUGGUAGCUUUCUAGCUGUUUCUAUCUAUAUGGAACUGCUCAACUGAUGCAACUUAAUUUUAGGUCUGGGAACACUUGAUGGGGGUUCAAGAUAUGGAAAAGAUGAUGAAGCUGAUACGGGUUCAUCUGUCUUUGUCAAGUACAAUCGCAUGCUACAUGGGAAGAAAACAGAGAGGGGUCGGAAGCGUGAUACCCUCACCAUCAAGUUUCUAAAAAAGUAUAUUCAUUAUGCAAAGCAUAGAAUUCAGCCUGAGCUGACAGAUGAGGUGGUGAUUUUUUCUUUUUUCUUUUUAUCUAUUUAUAUUUUGUACUCUCCUGUGAAUUUUCACUCUGUGCUAUGUCUGCAACUUGACAAUGGAAAAUGUAGGUUUUUCUCAUGAUGUCUUUAUGGAUCUUAGGCAUCUCAGUUUUUAGGUUUAUAUGGCUGUUGCAGAGUAGGUUCUAACAACUUCUAUAUGCAGGCAUCUGAUCAGAUUGCAACGGCAUAUGCAGAGCUCAGAAAUUCCAAUUCUAAUGCAAAGGUUGGUAUUAUAACCUGCUAUAUACAGACAUAGAAAAUGCUUUGGAGAAUUUUCUAUAUUAUUUGACAUGGUUCUUUCUCUUUGUAGACUGGAGGAACACUUCCAAUUACUGCCAGAACCUUAGAAACAAUAAUUCGUCUUUCUACUGCUCAUGCCAAAAUGAAGUUGAGUAGACAGGUACCUGGUUUGUAUUCAAUGGGUAUUCUAUGCUUGUUCUUUUGAGUUGGCGUUGUGGAUGAUUAAUUUGUCUGAGCAGGUUUUGAAGUCUGAUGUUGAAGCUGCUUUGAAAGUUCUAAAUUUUGCUAUAUAUCAUAAAGAAUUGACUGAGAUGGAGGAGCGUGAGGAAGAAAGGGAGAGAGAAUUGGAGAAAAAACGCCAAGUUGAUCGCAAUGCUGGUGAAACUGAUACUGUUGACCAUGAUUCUGCUGAUAGAGAAGGGUAAGCAUGUGAUGAAUCGUAUUUUAUUAGCGGACAUAACAUAUGGGUAUUGCUUUUAAACAUUGUUCUCUUAAUUACCAUGCUGUUGAUAUGCUGAUUUUAGAUCACUCAUUAUUUAUCUUGGGCCUUAUCAUGGACUAAAUUGUGAUCCUCCUUUUAUGGUUUUUGCAUAAUUUUCCAGUUUUUCUCAAUGCCCAUGAUUGGGCCAUGUGGGCUUGCCAUUAUCUUUGUUCUCACACAAAAUAUUCUGUUAUCUGCUCACUGUUCAAAUAUUUCUGGUUUGAUUUGUAUGUUCAAUAAAAACAGAUUUCAAGAAUCAGAAGUUUUGGUUUGCAUUCAAUUCUUAGUUUACUUUUGUGAACCUAAGUAUUCUCAAUGUUUUUUUUUACCUAGCAAAGUUCAGUGCUUUGUUUUGAACAUGUCAUUCUAUUAAAUUCAUUUCUGGGCAUUAUUGCAUUUUCUUUCCUUGAUGUUAGAACUAUUAGUGGAAACCUCUGCAUGUGAAUGAAGAUCCAGGCAGUCAAGGAGAUACAUAAUGCUUGAAGUAGUCAUGCUAAUUUCUUGCCUACAGAGUCCAUUUGUUGCAUUUCUCAUCUAGUAGUUACAUGUGCUUAGGUUAUGUGCUAUUGUCCUUCUGGUUGUUGGAUGGUUCUCUAUAUGCUAUCUGCAUCCUUGUCAUCUUGAACAAUGUUGCAGUUGUAGUCUCUUUCUCUUUCACUCUCUCUCUCUCUCUCUCUCUCUCUCUCACACACACACACACACACACACACACACACACCCAUUUUGAUCACAUCUUUACCUUAUUGGAGGCUCUUUAGUCAGAUAAUGUGGUUGAGAGGCAAAACUUCUGUUCAGUGGAUAAAUUCCCCCUUGCUUACUGUUAUUUGAAUCAUCUUAAAAGGUGUAUAAUAGCAUGCGUAUGGACUUGAUGUGAUGAUACAACCAUCAGGAAAGCUAGAAGAGCAGUAUAUUUUCUAGCCAUCUCUUUUAUUUUUAUUUUUUUGGGAACUUUAACAUCACUUUUCAAAAAUAAAAAAUACAAUGUACAAAAUAAAUCAGGAUGAGAUAAAGUCAGCCUAAUGAGAAAAGGGAGGGGAAGAUAAGCUUACAAGAAAAAGUAGUCGCCCCAUGCUUGCCAUUAAUAAUUAAUGCCCUUAUGAUUGAAAUUACUUGAGAUUUCUAGGACAAAGAAAAAUAAAUCAAGAAUCUUGCAUUGUAUUCUUAAAACCUUGGGAACUGAAUGGAUGGUGGAUCCAAAAUAAUUGGAUGCCCCAGUACUAAACACUUAUUGGUUAUCCAUUGUGAUUUUUCUAGUGGUAAUUUGAUAUUAUCAACAAGUAAACUGAGGAAGUUUUCUUUAUUUUUAGAUUUUUUAUAAAUCAAUUAUUAGUUAUUUUCCCCCUUUUCUCCUCUUUCUUUUCUCUUGAGUAUUGUUUAUGAUGCCUAAUUUACACAAUCACAUGGUUGACAUUUCUCUUUUCUUGAUUUGAUAAGUGCAACAGCGGAUGCCAUGGAAGUAGAUGCCUCUCCUGCUGCCCCAUUCAGUGGCAAUAUUUCUUCAGAAAGGUUUGUAUAGUAGAAACCACUUGGAUCAGCAUAUGCUGUGUUUUACCCCGAGUUAGCAGUUUUACUUCAAUGCUUUUAUUGCAUCAGCAUGGACAUUUCUAAAGAGGAUUUUGGCAAACUGCAUGUCAGUGCCCUGUCCAACAUGGUGGCUGAGCAAGUGUCUUAGCCAUGUCCACAUUCUGUUUGUUUUGAAAAAAUAAGUAAUAAAUGGACAUUCCUAAUGCAAUAAAUACGUGUACUAGUGUGUUCCCAUGUUUUUUUAAGCAGUUUGUGGCCUGGCAUGUCCAUGUGGUAUAAAAUCAAAGAAUCCAUGCCAUGCAUCAGUCUGUUUCUAAUGGUAAUUUCAUUUCUUCUGCUGGCUUGCAGGGUAGAAGCAUUUGAUUCUGUAUUUGGUCAGCAUAUACGGGCAAACCAUGUGGAUCUUAUAUCCAUUGCAGAUGUAGAGAAGGUUGUGAAUUCUGGAGCACCUGUCCAGUAUUCAAGGGCAGAGAUUUUAUUCCUAUUAAAGGUAAAGUCUUUUGGUAGUAAAAGUAAAUAGAACAGUAGUUGCUGUGUUUUAUUAUUCAGAUGUAUGAGGUAAAUUCAAAUCUGCUUACUAGCAGAAGAAUGAUUAAUAACAGAAAAUUGUUCUUAUUUGUUCAGAGACUGGAAGAUGUUAAUAGAUUGAUGAUAGAUGACAAUGAUGUGGUGCAUAUCAUUUGAAGAAUUGCAGGAGUAUUCCAGUGGCAAGUGUAGGAGGGUAAGUGAUUGUUUUGAAUAAUGCCAAUAUUAUCCUGACAUUGCUGAAAUGGAUUGGUUACUGUGCUAUUUAUAGUUCCUCAAAUUUUUUGACUUAUUUCUAUUCCCCUUUGGCUUGUUUCCAUUGAUUUUGUUGACAAGUUUGGGGAAGUAGACCUGCAUGGUCCUUUGGUAGGUUGAUUCCAAUUUACCAGAGUGUUGAUUUGAGUGAGUUUAUAUAUUAUUUAAUAAAAUCUUACCCUUCAGUUACUUUGCUAAUAACAACUUGAUUAUCUAAUUUUUACUAAUCAAUUGAAAGGGAUGGUUUGCAGGGGGAGAGCAUAAUAUGACAAAUCAGAAGUAAACCUCGUUUUCGGAAGGGAGACAAGGGAUGGAACUUUCUAGUUGGCCAAACUCAUUUGUAGAGGCUUGUAGAGAGCUACUUCCACUAAAAGUAAACAAUGGUGAAAACUAGAUGGAGCAUUGCAAUAAUGUAUCUUCACAUUAUGUAUUUUGUGAGAAGUGGAAGAAGUUUUAUGCAACAUGAUGAAACAUUUUGUGAGCAUUUUAAUCAUUGCAACUCCAUGGGAAAUUUGGAGCAGUUCUAUGCUUGGAUUGGCCAGUUUUAUUAGAACUUGCAGAACUUUAUUUUGUAAUUGCCACUGCUGGAGGUAGAGGAGACCAUAUGUUUUUCAUUUGUACCCAUCUUUGCACAUCCCUCAUUUUGUAAGGUUUCUAUUUUUCUUGUUUUGAGCCAAAAUUAUAAAGACAAGCUCUUGUGGUUGAAUAAAGAAGCCCACUAAUAAUUUGAGAAUUUGCAUUUAGAUUUGGAAAAGAUCCAAAGGAGCAUUCCCUUUACUAAGUUGAAUAUCCGCUAAUAUAUGAAAAAAGCAUGAUGUUUAUCAGUGGAUUUGCUUCAAAUUUUUUGGCUGGUACAGUUGAACAAGAAGGGUCAGCUGUCAUUUUCUGGAUUUGUUCCAGAAUCCUGUCAAAGUGUAACUCGUGCUAAACUGGUGGUUUUGAAAAAAAAUCUUUCAAGCUAUCUAUUUAGGAAUAAGAAUUUGAAGUGGUUUAAAUUCAAAAUUAUUAUUUCCUUGGGUUAGGACGUGGCUUAAAAGGAAUGGCUUGUUGUUGAGGGAGGAAUGUGUGGUGAGUGGCGAGGGAAGCGUAAGGAAUAUCAUGGCCAGUCCUCUGCUUCUCUUCAGAAACACUACUCUCUCCACUUUGCACAACCACUACCGUCACCACCGCCCUCCCCUCCCUGCCGUUCUCUUCUCCAUCAAAAGAAGGCGGUCUCAUUCCCUCUAUUCCACUCAGGUAAAACCUCUCGCGUGCUGCCAUUACUAUAAUCCUCUCUUUCCGCCUUCUUUUUUGUUUUCAGAACUCAGCCCAGUUUAAUGGCAUUAGUUGUUUCCAGUGGAGAUUUUUUUUGUUUUCUGGAUGUCGAAAAUUUUACUACUCAAAAUUAUUUAAUUUCUUUUCGUUUUCUUUGCGUCCAAGCAGACCGUCAAUGGAUUAUAUGAAAUCAAUUCAUCCCGUUACUGUAUUAAUUCACGAGCUGUGUUUGUUGAUAGAUGGAAGGAAGUGAAAUCACGGAGGAAGUGGAGGUGACUGUAAAAAAGACAAUUUUUGUCGCCGGAGCUACCGGGAAUACGGGGAAAAGAAUUGUUGAGCAGCUUCUGGCAAAGGGCUUUGCAGUCAAGGCCGGAGUUCGCGACUUGGAUAAGGCCAAAACUACUUUUCCCGGUGGGAAUCCGUCUCUUCAAAUUGUAAGAAAGUGCGGGAAUGAAUUAAACAACUUAAAUUUCAAUUGACCAUUGGGUUUGGUCGAUUCUGGGUACAUUGGGUUAAAUUUAUGUAGUUUUGAAAGCAUAUGUUUAAUAUUAGGUUUUUUCUUGGACAGGUGAAAGCGGAUGUAACCGAGGGUUCAGUGAAACUAGCUGAAGCCAUUGGUGAUGAUUCUGAUGCUGUAAUAUGUGCCACCGGUUUUCAACGAUCCUGGGAUUUACUUGCACCUUGGAAGGUCAGCUUAAGUUUUUAAUCAUUCAGGUGAUCUGUAUCCUCAUUCUAUGAUUAUCUAUCAAUCAACAUUUUUUUUAUUCAAAUUCUGAAAUUUAAGUAUUGCUGAUUUAUGACACUAAGGUACCUACAAUUGAUCAUUCACUAGAAGGCCUCCCUUGUUCUAAACCAAGAAAUGAAGAGGACUACAAUUCUUGGUGUAAUUGAUACAAAUGUCAAGCUGCUAGUAUGGCUUGUUAGAUAUAUAUUGCUAAAAAUUCCACCCAAUAUAUUGUUUGGGUUUUAUUAUUUUUGGAAAUCAUACUUUCUGUUCAUUUUGAUUCAACUACUAAUUAUCUUUCCAACCCUGUGCUGGAAAAAUACUUCUUAUUAGAGAAAAGAGAAAAAUAAAAUGAAAUGAGGGCACACUUGCCAGAAAAUACCUCCAAUUGUUCAAAUUUUGCACAAGGAUGUUAGCCAGGGAGUCAUUUUCAAAGCCUGGAGCUGUCUUAUCUUUUAUCCCAAAACACAAAGGAAAUUGAGUUUUGAAUGAGAUUUCUACCGAGUUGAUUUGUGAAACCACAGAACUUCCAGUUUAAUCAUUAUCGAUUCAACUAGGUUUUGAACUGUGUCAUGCUUUCACCAUUUUUGAGCUUACUGGACAAGGGUGCUUUUUUCUAUCAGAGCAUUAAGUGAUAUGUAUUGGUUUUAUCUGAAAGCAUUUCCAUGAUGGAAAAGUCUGUUUUUGGACAACAAACUGAGUGCCUUUGGUAAAGAGGAGAAUUAUUUCGUAUUGGAAAGAUAUUGUUUGAAUAUGAGAAAUGGGGUGAAGCAUUUGUUUAGUUCUUUUGGUUUCUCUCGCUUCAAUCUAUUCGAGAAUUUCCAAGUCUCCCCUUUUUGGUUUGCAGCAAACUUGCAGUGUUUGUACAUGCAUAAAUAAACAAAUGCUCACAUGAUACUUAAACUGCAAUAAGUAUUCUUAACCCCAAAGGAAAUACUGGGGGUUUUACUAAUCCAAAAUAAAUAUGUACAGCAAUUUUCAAGAUGAAUUAAGGAUAGUCAAACAGUAACAGCCUUCUCAAGGGAAACUUAUGGUCUUCUACUUGAAGCAAUGGUGUAUGCAGGAAAGUUUCAAUGACCAUUUACCUAAUCAGUCUUUGCUCCAGUGCAUUGCUAGUUAUUCCAUGUCAAAUCUUGCUGUUGCAAAAUCCCAUGUGUUGGAAUAGUGGUGAAAAUGUUGAUUAUGCUGAUGUGGAAUAGAAGUCAAGAAUUCGUACUUUGUCUGGGUUGAAUGUUUGGGAAAAUUUUCAUGGUGUUAGUUUCAUAAUUAAAGCAUAUCAUACUGGCUGGCUUUGUUCAGUGGUUUUAAAGUUUGUCUUUUUGACUUCAGGUUGAUAAUUUUGGCACCGUGAACCUUGUUGAAGCAUGUCGGAAACUUGGUGUGAAUCGAUUUAUUCUUAUCAGUUCCAUUCUAGUCAAUGGAGCUGCAAUGGGGCAGAUACUUAAUCCAGCUUACAUCUUCCUCAAUGCAUUUGGGCUCAUCUUAAUAGCGAAGCUUCAGGCAGAGCAGUAUAUAAGGAAAUCUGGUAUAAAUUACACAAUAAUAAGGCCUGGUGGGUUGAGAAAUGACCCCCCCACAGGGAAUAUUGUCAUGGAGCCAGAGGUAGUGGCAUUCAUCUGAGACCUUUUUGAGUUUUGCUUUUGUAUUCUCUCAAAUAAUAAGAGGUCUGUUGUCUUUAUGGUCUCUCUUUGUGUAGGAUACUCUCUCUGAAGGCACCAUAUCCAGAGAUCAUGUUGCAGAGGUUGCUGUUGAGGCAUUAGUCCAUCCUGAAGCUUCUUACAAAGUUGUGGAGAUCGUUUCUCGCACUGAUGCUCCUAAGCGAUCCUUUAAGGAUCUUUUUGCUUCCAUUAAGCAACGGUGAUUUCAAGUUUAGAUUUGGAUCAGAGCAUGAAAUGUAGAGUAAGAACUUUCUCUUAUAGCUUGCUUCUUUCAAUUCAGUUUUGGGUACCUAUGUUAUGCUUAUGUAUAAUUUCCUUUACCUUUUCUUCAUAAAUUUGGUUAAAAAAAAAAAAAAACAAUUUUCUGUGUGAUGAGACUGCAUCCAAAGCAGGAUUGAAAAACACUAUCCCUUGAAUGCAACAAAGAAUACUCACUUCAAUUAAAUUUCAAAUCUCAUAUUCUGUAGAGAGAUUGGCUCAUGGAUAAGACACAAAUAUUAUGAAAAAUUAAGGAGUAUGAAAAACUGAAAAUUAGAAAAAAAAAAACCAGUUCACCCACAACAACAUUUGAUCACAUUCAAAGAAGCCAAGCAACCAAAGAGACCAGUGCUGCAACUCCAGCUGAAGUGCAGAGAGCAACGCCUGCAUUUUCCAUUUGGGGUGAGGGUGCAAUCCCUCCCACAUCUUCACUCGCCGCUGCAACAUUAUACGUUGCAAAAGCCAAGAAGACCAUCAAGCAGAUAGUGAAAGCCAUAGCCAGCCUGCUGCCCUCCAUUUCAGCCUUCUUGACUGGUUAAGAAACUGCAGAAGAAAUGGGUGUUAGUGAGGAUUAUGAGUUUGUGUGGUGGAAGCUAGGGAUUGCAAACGUUUUUAUAGGGGUUUCUAUGGGAUUAAUAAUAAUCUUCCAGCUGUUUGAUGCUGGUUUAACCACAAACACAAUCAUUUGAGGGUGUUGGGCUUCAUAUAAUUUUCAUUACACACAUGUAUUCCCUCUGUACCAGCCUGGACAAACUGUGUAAACCCCACUCAGACCUUACUUAUAUUCAUGUCUUAGGAACUGCUAUUUCCAUGCAGGUUUUUGCUAAUUCAAAUGAAGUUGAUCUUAUAAUAGCAUGUCAUUUGACAAAAUUGUCUUUGGUGGAAUUAGUAAAAUUUCAAAUACAAAUAGACCCACCCCAUAUGAUUACUUAUGAUGAUCAUAACAUUUCUAUGAUCCUUGACUUAAAUUCAAAAAUGUUAAGCUUAAUCAUUGCCCCCCUUUUUUCCCACUAAAAAGCAAACGUAAAACGGGCAUCACGGAUGAUCUAAACUAGACUGCCACCUUUGCAACCUUCAAAAAAUUUAGGCGCAGUCUCAUUUAAAAACAUUUUUUGUUCCUAAAAAAGGAAAUAGGUAAAUACCUUUGAUAACUAAAAAAAAAUAAAAAAUAAUUUUUUUUGUUAUUAAAAAUAGAAAAUAAGGUAUUAUUAGGGGGUAUAUUUUAGCUAUUUUUAUUUGUUUUCUAAAAAUAUUUUAGAUUUCCGAAUACAGUUUUUUUUUUACAAAAUAGUAGAGAAUAGUUUUUAAAGAUUUUAUGAAAAACUAUUUUUGAGAAUUGUUGUCGAAAACACAUUCCGUUAAGCCUUUUAUCUAUUAGGAUUGUGGGAAAUUAAUAUUUGAAUAGAUGUAACAUGGAAGUUUCCAGAUACAUUAACCAAAAUAAUUGAACGCCUGAACUGAAACAAGGAGUGGCUUGUUGUUGAAGUAGAGGCCAAAGUCCAAGAAUGAUGGGUUGAGUUUGUUGGCGUUGGGGCAAGGUCAAAUGUUGUUGAAGAUGGAUGUUGGAACUUUGAACCCUCAAAACACCUUUAUAUUGCCUAGGAAAGUUGGGAUCUGUAAUCAAUACUCUGGGCUGAUUUGUUCCUAAUUGGAAUGUACAAAUCAUUUUUUUCUGGUUCAUUUACAAGUAAAAAGGUUUGGCAUUCUCAAAACAGUGGACCUAAGAUAUAUAUAUAUAUAUAUAUAUAUAUAUAUAUAUAUAUAAAUAAAGUAGAAAGUUUUUAUUAAUAAAAUUGUGAAAUGCCUUGGAAGUUGCAUAAUGAACUGAACACACCCCACCUGAGCCAUUUGGCGUAGAGGUUAAGUUUGUCCUCAACGCAACACAUUACUUAUUCCUCCAUGUUUAUAAAAAUAUAUAUUAAUAUUUGAAUGGCUUUUAAUCCUUAAUGUGCUGACAUUUUUAACAUAUCAAGAAUCAAUAUUUCUAAAGGGGUUUUUUCUUUUUGUAGAAGUGUUUAUCAAACAUGUCUCUUUCUCCCCUUUUCCCCACCUAUAUUAUAAAUUCAGUUUAAUUUUUAAAUCUAAUAUAAGCAGACAAUGCCAUCAAGGACUCCGUGGCCCAAUGGAUAAGGCGCUGGUCUACGGAACCAGAGAUUCUGGGUUCGAUCCCCAGCGGAGUCGUGUGCAAAACUUUCCAUUUUGUUUUUACAAACCCUUGAAAGCAUCCAAGAUGCUGCUCUUUUCUUCUUCCCUGCGUCUUCUAGUCCUGAUGACCAUGCUGUUGUACGAUGCUAGAACUUGGUACAACCCGGUUUGUCUUCAAGUUCAACUCUAUGGCUUUUUAAGGCCCAACCAUUGAAGAGCUGAUUACUUGUACAAGUGUUCCCACAACUACGUCUAUGGCAUUCGAAGCUUUAGGAUUUGAAUGUGGCCUCCUCGUAACAUACAUGAAAGAGCUUUUAUGCAUGGUAUGUGGAAACCUGAUAUAUGAUCAAAUAAGUUAUAACUGAUUUAAAAUAGAUCAAGAUCAUCAUAUAUCUGAAAUGAAAAUCUACAUGUAUGUAGAUAUCUAUAAGGGAUCAUAUGGAUUAUUCCUAAAGGUUCACAUCAGUAUAGUGCAAAUUGCUGAGAGUUAUUUUGGAAACAAAAGGGGUUAAGUAAAAUUCAUUUAGGUAUAUUAUUCAAAUUUGUUAACUUCAUCAUUUGAUUUAUAUCAUUAAAGCAUCUUUUCUCUUCUGUACAAAAAUUUUAAAGGAAAAACAAGAUGGAAGUUUGGGUGGUUUGUUUUUCUUUCACCCAACAGCCACAGCACUCGGUGGAGAAAAAAUGACAGUAAAAUGUUACAUUCUUGAGCUGGACGGCUUAUGGUGACUUAAAAAAACCCCUAAUCAUCUCCUAUUUAUCAAUCAUGUCUGUUCGGUUUUUGAUGCAGCUUUCAGUUUCUCUAGCUGUUUCCGAAGAUAUGCCUGCUUCAGUUUCUCUCGCCGUGCCAUUGCCUGCUCUUGCCUUCGCAAUUUGAGCUCAGAUACCUCUUCUCUUGCUUGAUUUGCUUCUUCAUGCACUUCCCUGCAAGAAAUCAUAACCAAAAUAAUGGUUUGAUGGGCAUGACGACAAUCAGUAAUGGGGAAUAAGAACAAAUUUAGGUAAUAGCAAUCACAAUGAAUUAGCAAUUAAACAGAAUCAAAUAGUGUACUCAAAGGGAAAGAAAAGGUUCUAAGUGAAUCUUAAGCACUGAAUUCUUGGCAUCCAUUAUCAAUCAGUUUGUUCUUGCAGUAUAUAUCAAUUUUUUUAGGCAAAUACAAUAUAUAUAUUAAAAAGCACCUAACAGCAUGUAUCAACUUCAAAGAUUUUUUCAUUUAUAUGCAGGAUUUUGUCUAAAUAUCCAGGUGCUUUUGGCACUUGUCCUCUUUUAUUUUCAUUCUUUCGGCUCCCUUUUUCUUCUUGUUUUUGAUGGGGUAAAAGCCACAGUGCUUGUGUCAUCAAGAUAACUGUGUUAUGAUACUCACAAGAAACUCAACCCAAAGUCUCCUUGAAAAAUUUCAUAAUUAUGUCAGCAGUUAAAAUAAAAGGGAUGAUGCAAUUUUGCAAAAGAAUGAAGAGAAAUGCAAAUGGGCCUACUAAAUUAUUCAAGAAGAAGAAUUAGAGGAAGCCCAAAUGUUUAUCAAACCCUAUAUUUAUUAUAGUCAAUUGUUAAGCUUAAACAAGGAAUAAUAAACCAUGAAAAGAUCUAAAUACCCCUCUCUAAACAACUAAUAUAGGGUAAAUUCGUUCAGCCGCCGAAUAUGUUACAAGACACCCAAGACUAUUAAAAUCCAAACAGCUAGAAAUCAAUUUUAUUUUCGGAUAAGUUAUUGAAGGUCUUAAAUCAAUGACUAACUCCACCCUAAGGGGUGGGGACUUAUGAAACUGGGACAAUCCUAAACAGAGAAGCCUCUAUGGAAAUGGCAGAUCAAUGUAUUGACACGCAGUUUUACCGUGGUGCUGGUUCUAUGUGGGAUCUGGUUGUUAGGUGCUUGGGUAACAGUAGAGAAAGGAAAAGCAAAUUGGCUUCACCUUUCGAGAAUGGGUUCUGUCCUCCUUUUUGGGGGGUAAAACUAAGAAAUGUGAGCUGAAAAAUGACCUUGAAUUCUUUUAGGGGAGGACCUUACUCUAUUCCUUACAACAUAGUGGCCGUUGGGAAGUUGAGUGUGGUUAAGGCCUUAUCCAAUUCCUUAGCCAGGAAUUGCGGCCUUUUGGUAGAACAACUUGUAGUCCUCAUUAACAAUCCCUAUGAAAGCAACAUAUACCUUAAACAGCUUCCAAGACAAAAAGGUGGUUCCCAUUUGUGCCUUUUGUUCCCAAGGGGCACUCACUCCUUAUGAAGAGGAAAGGAAGGAGUGACUUAUUAUCACUUCACUUGACCAAAGGGCAGAUCCUAGGACACCCUUCUGUCUUUACCUCACCUGCUUUCCACUGCCCAAGCUAGGGAUACACUAAGCUCGAUCCUUGUUGAGAGGCCCAUAGACCCCAUACAGGGGCCUAAAACAAGAAGUAGCAGAGAAUCCCCUCAAACAAUCCCCCAGAGGUGAAGCAGACCUGGUAACUCGAAUGUACGUAAAAUAUCUUCAACAUGCAGCACCUCUAAUUAUACAAAGUUCUUAUGAAUACAACUACCCUACAAACCUUUUGCUUGUGUAAAGAGAUGUCAUAAUUCUUGCUCAAUAUGUCUCUCCAAGAUUGGUGCAGCUCCAAUUUUCCUCCAGCAAGAGAAAUGUGACUCCCCUUAAGUAUCCCUCCUCACCAACUCAUCAAUUAAAAAAAUAAAAAAAGAACCUAAGUUUACUGGCCAAUGGUCAAGCAGGAAGUUAAACAAGCUAUGUCCUCCUUAAAUCCCCUUCAUUUCUUCUAUUUGUUUUUCUCAAAAAUUUAGUCUGCUUUCUUACCAAACACUGACAGUGUUAAAAGUCCCCAAUCACUCCUAAUCUAGGUUGACUGACAACAAAUAUGUGUGUGAUAUGUGUCAACACUGCAGCCAGACUGAUGCAAAGAGAUAGAGUCUUUUCAGAUAUAAGAGAGUUAUCAUUAAAUGUUGAAAUUUUUAUUAAAAAAAAAAUCGAAUUGGUAAAUAUUCCUUGGGAUAUAGUAAGUUCCAUUAGAAGCCCUGACAUGGGUGCUUUUUUUUUUUUUAAAUCAAGGUAAGGGUAUAAUUUAAUUCUAUUUUCACAUUCAAUUAAAUUUUAAUUCUAUUUUCAAUCAAGUUUUAAACUUUCUUUUUUUUUUGAUAAGCAAAGUUUUAAUAUUAUUUCAAUAGAGUUUUAAAAUUUUUUUUUUUUUUAUAGGUAAAUGAGAAUUGUAUUAAAGUGCCAAAAGGGGUGCAAUAAAGUAUUCAAUAGAAUUUUAAAACUUAAUACCAAAAAUAUUUUUUAUACAAUAAUAUAAUGCAAAACAGAAGAAAAUAUGAAACAUCAUAUGAUCCUACAAAUGGUAUAGGUUGUUCUACGCAUUGAAAUACAAGUUCCAUAGGCUGACUACAAACAAAAAUCUUUUAUUAAACUAUGUUCUAAAUUGCCUAAGUUCAGCCUAAGUUUUUUUGAUGUUCAGUUAACCUCAUUUAUUGGUUAUUACUACCAAUGCUACAUAAAUCAUAUUACAGAAACCAAAACCCUUACCUUACAAAACGCUUGUGCUCAUCAUUGUCCAUUACUCCUGCUGUCCGCCCAGGUCCAAAAGUUUUUUUGUUAAAAAGCACAGAGGAAUCAUCCUCAGCAUCCUCAGUUUCUGGUGGAACUGUAGCCAAACUAUCAUGACCUUGCACCUGUUGUGACUCAUCCUGCACAAGGCUCUUGCGAAAAAAAUCGACACAAUACUUCUCCUUGUCUUCCUCAUCGGAUAGUUCCCCCCUCACUAGUUUAUCAUAUAAUGCAGCCUUCUUCUCCAAUGCCGCAUAACUGACUGAUCCAUCAUUUACUGCUUUCAGCUCAAGCUUGUCCCUGAAAAUAAAUCAGGGAAGCAUUAUUUAUCUGUGCAACAUGUAAAACCAUUGUCUACAAGCCAAUCAAAAUAUUCUUAUGAAGAAUAAAUAUGAAACUAGCAAAAUAACAUCCGUGAACAGGAAGAAAAGCUAUCCUAUUACUAAACUUGGCAGGUGUAUUAAAUAAGAUGACCUAGAACCAGUCAAUUCUCAGUAUGAUAUCCAUAUUUCCAUGAAUAUGUCUCUCCCAAUCUACAGAACUACAUUAGGUUGUCCAACUCAAUUGACAGUUCCAUGAUUAGAUGAUAAGUUCUUUGAUCAUGUCAAGCCAAUAUCUCACUUCAACCUAAUGCACAUCUUUUUCUCUGAAGAUAAAAAAGAAAAAUAUGCAGAAACAGAACUAAGAUGUGAUGAGCAUUACAUCUAAUAGUGGGCAUGAUGAAAAGCAAUGUGGUGGGUCUUCAAGAUCAAAAACUAGUUACUGUUUUAGCAGUGGGCAUAUAAAUAACAAGCCAUCAAAUUCAUUGACCAGUCCCUGCCCUAGUUUCCAGCCUUCCUCUUAAGUCUUUGGACAGUAGGAUGAUAAGAGGAUAAAAUCUGUCCUAUCAGUUUCUUCGCUGCAUUUCUUUUUAUCACCUAACCCGAUUUUUGCAAGUGACCACAUCACAAAAUUAUCAUCAUUUUUUAUUAGGCAAAUAAGUUACAUGUUGAAAGGGACCAAGCAAAAAUUGGUGUGCAAUCCAGGUGCCAGCAAAGUAUCUAUGGAUUACUGAAAAAUCAAAACAACAAUGCGGAAAGCAUCAGCAAGAGGAAAAUCCCCAACCUCCAACUCAAGCUAUCAAUAAAAUCUGAUGUAGAGAAAUCAUAACCCCAUGGGCUACAGUGGAGAUAUUGAUACACCUCAGCAAUCAAGUCAGGUGUUAAGACUAGCUUCUUCCUUUGAAGAAGAGCAAACUUGAGGAUCAACGUUAGAAUUUAGGGUUUUUUCUUUUCGUGUGUUAGCAGAAGAAUUAGCUACUUCGUGUCAUGUUUCUUUGAGAAUUUCACAAGAACACCUAAAAUAUGAAUUAAAAAAGCGCCCUAACAAAAAAGGAAGUGAAAUAAAAGAAAAGAAAAACCCUACGAAAAUAGAAAGAAAAAUCUGGUGGGAGGACGGGAUAUCACGUACUUAUGAGCACGGGAGUCGACGCCGGAGUUCUUGAGAGAGAAGGUAUCGAGUUUGGAUAUCUUGCUUUUGGCGCGGUGGUAGUUGAGGUCGGUGCCGGAGACUUCCUUAGAUUUCCUGGACUCUUCUUGGGAUCUGUAGAGUUGGGCCUUGAGUUCCAUAAUAGAUGAUGCUCCGACGCCGGCGAUUGCGCGGUGCUUCUUCGGCAUGAUAGAAGAUUCCGUCAGCCAUCCCAGCGAUUCCACCACCACCCUCUUCUUCUCCUUCUUCUCCUCUUCUCCCAUCACGCCUCUCUCUGUCUGUCCCUCUGGCUCUCUCUCCCCCUUGCUUUUUCCCUUCACGACAAUAGUAAUACGAAAAUGCCCACUGCGUUCCCGUAUGUAUACCUGGCCCCUUGAACUGAAUGCUGGGCCAACCCAUUCUCAUGGUAAUGCGCUCAGGCCCAACUUUGGGGUAGCCCAAAGGAGGAGGGGGCCCAAAUUUCCUCUUUCUCUUAUUUUCCACAUAUUUUCCCACAAUUUUUUCAAAAACAUCCCCGGUCACACCAGCGAUGUCUGUUAUCCACAGUCUUCCAUUCUGUUUGUCCAUUUUCUCAUCCCUCUUAGCAACUCAUAUGCAAUGUGCAUUAAUAAACCCUCCCAUAUUUUUGGAUCAAUCCACACCUAAAAAACUUUGGCCUGUUAUUGCUUUGAAUUCCAGAGCCAAUUUUGUUCAUAACAACCAUAAGCCAAAACCAAAUUAAAAAAGUCACAAAAGGAGAGCAGUCACACAACCUAUGAUUUUCUAUGUCAUAUCUGAAUUUGCUUUGAGAGUUUGAGCAUGUUUGGGAAGUCCUUGGUGGGUAACAUCAUCCUACUGACAUUGGGUUGAUUUCAUUUGUUGGGGCACAACGAUGUUACUCUUAAAAUCACAAGUGGAUCAUCCAAAUGAUGACUCUUAGAAUAAGUUUGUGGGGGGUAUUAUCAAAUACCAUAAAAGAUUUGAUUUAUCUUCAUUGGACAUAACCUUCCCGUAUCAUGCGAAGUUCAAUCUAUUUUCAUUAAACACCGAUUAAUUUUUAGAUGAGAUGAUUAAAAUCCAAUCAUAGAAUUGGCAUUAGAGCCAAGAUUCAUAAGGUCGAGUCACGAGAGCUGUAUCAACAAUAUCAUAGUGUUAGUAAUUAAAACACUAAUAUCCAUGGAAUCAUACUGUGCAGUCUACUUGCUUCUCUGUGUCUGCAUUUUUUUUUAGAAUGAGGGAAGUAGAAGAAGAAAGAAGGAGAAGAGGGAAGGAUGAAGGUGGAAAAGGAAUUAGGGUUAUUUCAAAUGUCAAGUUUAAGAAUUGAAAAGUUAAGGAAGAAACAGAUAGAGAUUAAGAUUUGGUGAAGAUGUAUCAACAUGAAUCAAUUAAGAUUAAUUAGUGAUUAAUGUAAGAUUACUUCGAAAUUGAUAGUAGUUGUCUGGAAGAAUAAUAUGUUUGCAUGUAAGGAUAGGAAACAGAGCUUUUACAUAAGGGAAAUAUGGUCAAUACAAAAAAUUGUUUCCAUGACUUAGACCAAAAGCCCACAGCAGCCAGGAGGCAGAGAAAGGCUCAGUUGUUUGACCACCAAAACCUGGAUGGAAAUUACAGGCAGGAGAGGGCCUAAUUAUCUUAGACCAAAAACCUCAAAGGAGAUGAAGAACAAGAAAUCAAAAGUGAGAGGAACUGAAUAAUUUACAGAAUAGAAAAUGGUUUAAGCAUAUGAUUUGAAGGCUAGUCCUAUCAAUUCAUGAGCAAUAUAAAGCAUUAAGCAUUUAGGUUCCAGGAUACCAAUGUAUCUGGAAGGCUAAUAUUUCAUCCAAGUAGUAAGUAGAUAGGUGAUGCAGCUAUGGAAAUUCAAGUUAACAAACAAAUCCAACUGAAGUAAAACACAUAAAAUGGCAACAUUUAGUACUAAAUUAUUAAGAUUCAUUUCAGCAUAAAAGGGUUCACUAACAGAUCCUUGUUUAACAACUUCCACACACUCAAUCCUCACAUAUCCAAGUACAUGACACUAGAGCCAGGUUUAUUGGUGAAUGUGGAUAACAAAGAAAGCAGGACUAGGCUUAGAAAAGCUUCCAAAUUCAAUAGUAACAGAAAAACUAGGUAUCCGACUCCCAGAGGAAGAAUUAGUGCCGCUUCUCCCCAGUUGCCACUUCCCAAGCAUGUAAAACGUGGUCCACGAUAUCCUCUAUGCCAACCCCAUGCCUCACCUGCACAAACAUGUAUGCAUUGUCAUUGUCACAAAAAACAAUCAACAUUCUCAAUGAGAAAAAAAUUAACUUUCAAGAUAAUUAUAGCUCCCGUGAGGGAUUAUAUAUAACUCAAGGUGAUUGUUUCAUUUUUCUGUAAUGGCUCUCAGUAAGUAUAUAUUAUGAAAUUUCAUUUUUCAUAAGAACCUCCAGUUGAGCUUGAUGUCCGUGUUGUUGUCUACACCAAAAUCAUUCUCCAAAUCCUCACAUAAAGCAUAAAAAGCAAUACAGAUUCAGUCAUGUUCAUAUGAAAGAAGAAACUAUAAAUCAUAUUCUUAUACACUUUAUAGUGGUCAGAGUCCUGUGGAAUAUCAUCCUUGGGUUAUCAGAUGUGUAGUGGUUCUUUCCAAAAACUGUAAAGGAGGUCUUAACUAGCUGGAGGAGCCCUUUUGUGGGGAAGAAAAGGAAAAAGAUAUGGAAAUCCAUACCGUUGUGUAUUUUUUGGACGUUUGGAAGGAGAAGAAUAGAUUAGCUUUUAGGAGGGGUGUGUUAGAUAUUCAGAAACUUAAGAAUUUUUUUGUUUGUAAUUUAGGGAGUUGGGCUAGAUUGUAUAUUGGAGAGGAGUCUCUAUCCCUUAUAGGCUUCUUGGAGUGGUUAGCUUCCAAUUAAGGGGUGGUGAGGUUCUGUUGGCUUUCUUUUUUGCUUGAGAGGUGUUAGUUGCCUUGUAUACCCCCUGUAUGCUUUGUGGCUUUUCACCUCUGUUUUAAUACAAUUAUGAUUUACUUAUAAAUAAAAAAUAAAAAGAAGAAGAAGAGUCAACUGAAACAUGGUAAUUAGCAUUAUCAUUAUCUUCCAAAUAGAAGAGGAUUGGUAAAACCUUUUAUUUAUGUCAAUGAUAUGCAAAAUGCUACUGGAAAUUUGCUAUGAAAGAAAAAAAAAGGAUCUAAUCAAUGUACCUGAGCAAAGAUAAAUGGCCCUCCAUCUCGCAUCCGAAGUGAAUCACGCUCCAUCACUGCCAAGUCAGCUCCAACUGCUGGUGCAAGGUCAGUCUUGUUUAUCACCUACAAUUCAAAAUCAAACCCUCGUUACUGUCAAACUUCCUAAUGCUUGGAUCUUCUUUCUGAGUGCCAAAAGUAACUGCAGCAGGUAUAACUGAAGAGAAUUAGAAAACACAUACUAGGAGAUCAGCUUGGGUUAUGCCUGGGCCUCCUUUCCGAGGAAUUUUGUCACCACCAGAUACAUCUAUUAUAUAAAUAAUAUAGUCGGCCAAUUCCCUGCUGAAAUUGGCAGCUAAAUUAUCUGCAGUGACACAAAUUGAAGUAAAUGUUAAACCUUCUUAUCCCAAAUUAUCAAAAACAUUCCUUUAAGUAUCCAUAAACGAGUCAAUGGUAAGUUGUUAAGGAAUGCAUAGAUUAUGAAUAAGUACCAUGAACAUCAUGAUUAAACCCAAAAUUAUUCGUGAAUGUUCUAGAUAUUACCAGAAUGACAACAUGUGCUCCUUUUUUCAUUCAAAAAGUCCAUUUCCAUUUCCCAAAUCAUUUUUUUUUCUGAAUUACUACAACAAAAGAAUAUUUUUAUCACAAAAGGCACUCAAUUUACUUCACAAAAUUUCAAUAAAUUCCACAAUUCAAAUUAUUUCCUGAUUCGUCAUGACUCCAAAAUCCAUCACUAGGUUCAACAUGAUGAUCAUUGCUCAAUUUGUAGCAUUUUAAUAUGCCAACUUAAAUUACCAGUUGUUACCAGUUUGAUGCCAAUGAUAACCACUUAACAUGAGAAAUCAUUUAUAAAAAUGAAAAGUGAGGAAAUGUGUCCACUAACAAAUUACCUCCCCCAGAUUCACAGAGAAGUAUGUCAACUUUGAACAAGUUGGAAAGCUCCUCAAGAGGGCCAAGAUUGAUGCUGAUGUCUUCACGAAUUGCAGCAUGAGGACAACCUCCUGUUUCUACAGCUCGUAUCCUUUCCUCAGGAAGUGCUCCAUGCUUCACCAAGAACUCACCAUCCUCUUUAGUGAAUAUAUCAUUUGUCACCUAAAAUGAUUUCAUACUUACAUUUUUGUUACAAUUGAAAUUUCCAAGAAAUUAGAACAAUAUGAGAUAUGAGAAGUGGAUACUUAUAUACCUAGAUUAACAACACAAAGUGUCAAUUGAUAAGAUUAAUUAUUUUGAUAUUGUUAGCCUCGAAGAAAUAAUUGGCAGCAAGGAUACUCCAACACUAUAAUGCUGAAAAGAAGGGGAUUCAACAUGUCUUUUAAAGAGUGUAAGGUGUAACAAGAAGGGCUGCAGCAAUUAUGAGGAUGAAACACUGCAGGUUCUAGGAAAUUCAAGGUUUUCUAUCAGAUUGGCACACAAGUUACAACAGUUAUGAAGAAACAUUGGCUGGAAAAGCCAUAAAAUUUUAAGCACAGGAUGCUGGAUGUCAGGGUGGACUUCGCAGUAGGGCUACUAGGGUUUGGUGGUGUAUAAAUGGCAAGGCAUAGAAAAUCCCUUGAUUGUAUAUAUAAGAAAAUAAGCAUAUGCUUGAGAGGAAGCUGUUUAGUUCACAUGGAGCACCAGAAAGCUUUGCCUUCCUUGUGGAGGAAAUUUGUCAUAUACCUUUCGCAUCUUUCUGAAACAAAAGUGGUGUGGAACUGUGUCUCAAGAGUCCACAAGUCCAAGAAGAUGGAAAAGACAUGGAGAUUGAUUAAAGCAUGAGUGACUUACUGUUUGGUAAGGUGCGGGAAAGUCAAAAGAAUAUUAUCCUGACAUUAGCAGAAUUAGCACUCACCAGAAUGGGAAGCUACUCAUUUAGCAUAGUUCAUUAACAGUCUCUACUAACAGAAUAUAAAAAACAGCUCUGCAGGUAUAAUGAAUGAAUGGGAUGCUUCAAAACGAUACUCACUGCAGCGAGGCUGUAUUUUUCGCGCAAACAUUGACACAGUGCCAACAUCAGAGCUGUUUUCCUGCACAGUGAAACAGAAUAUGUUGGCACUCAUUCAUUGAGCUUAGUUCAGGCUUGCAAUGUAGAUAACGAAAUAAGAUAAAAAUAGUGUUGAACAAAAGGGGAACAUCCCCUUUUCUUCUUUUUUGAAAAAAUUCAAGUGCUGCAAACAAGGAAGACUAAGCUACCAAAAUAUAAACAAGAAAAAGGCUAAAAAUAAGUAUAAAUACAACAAAAGGACAAAUUAUUGCUCAAUGAAUUCAAAUGUCAUCCAGGUAUCAAGGAACCAUGUCAUACAACAUUAUCAACUAUUCAAGUUAACUGUGGAUCCUGUAUCAUCUCAACAUUUAUAUAAAAUAACCAUGAAAAUUCUCAAGUAUAAAAUUUACAGAGUAGGUCCAAGGUAGAGGCUCUACUUAUACCAGGAACAUGAAAGUAGUGUACUGCAGAAAAAUCCAUUAAACUAAGAAUUCAAUAAGUAGCAGCAUUUGAUUUUUUAUUUUUCCCUUUGAUUUAAGAAACAAUUAUGAGGAAGUAGAGACUCCAUUCAUGGUGUUUGGGGGAAAAAUGGAGGGAAAGAAGAAAUACCCAGUACCAACAGGGCCGCCAAUACCCACUGUGAAAGCCCUUUCAUGGAAAUUCCUGGUGAGAAGUGGUGGAGCUCUUCUGCUGAAGUAGCCAGGUGAGUAUAUGGGCUCAUGGGUGUGUGGUGCCAGUCCAUCAUGGCUAUGGUACAACUUCCCAUCUGGCCCCACCCACGAUUCUGCUUUCAUAUCCCUGGAAUCAAUUUACCAACAAGAAAAUGUCACAAAAAUCAACCAAAGAAAAAACGAAAAAGUAAAUUGAAUGCCAAAAGUUUGAGAGGGAUUACGGAUGGCCAUGGUGGUGGUGCUUAUGGUCAUCGCUGCUCUCAUGAUGAUGAUCAUUACCAGGCUCAUAAUCCUCACCAUGGCUAUCAUUCCCAUCACAAUCGUGGUCAUCAUCGUGACUAUCAGACUCUUUUUGCUUCUGGUCAUCACUGCUAGGAUGAUGCUGAUCAUUGCUAGGCUCCUUAUUAUCAGGGUGGCGGCGGUGAUGGUGGUGGCGGUGGUGGUGGUGGCCAUGGUGGCCAUGGUGGCCGUGCUUGUGGCCGUGGUGAUGAUCGUGGUGAUGGUCGUGGUGGUGGUCAUGAUGAUGCUUGUGAUCAUGGCGAAGGGCCAUCUGAUCUUGGGAUGCCAUUGGCUCACUGUUUUGAGAAUUCUAGCUCUGAAAGUGUGUUCACAGAGAGAGAGUGGGCUGGAAGUGAUCGGUGACCGAUGACUGAUUUGGCUACAUAUAGAUGAUGAUCUAUUUGAUUUUACAAAAAUGCCCAUCCCUAAUACCAAUGGUGAUAAUGUCAGCAUUAUUGGUUUUGGAUUAUUAGGUCAUUUAGUGGGACGAUAGACGAAAGUGGGUCAUGAACCCAUACACCUCACUAAUAAUUAUAACUUAUUUAAAAAAUAAUAACCAAACUUUAUAUUAUUAGUACAUAAUGCAUUAACAGUGUGUGUCUUAGUGAUUUUAUUUUAACUUAUUCUUUCUCUUACUUAGAAGAUUAAAUUUUUUAAUCCUAAAAUCACUGUCAAAUACAUUUUAAAUUUACUAUAUUUUUAUAUUUAUACAAAAUUUAUGGGUAAUAUAUUUAUAAAAUUUACGGGCAAUUCAUAAAAAGGAUAUGAUUGGACGGAAUUUAUCUACCAAAAUCAAUAAUGCUUUUAUAACAGGUAGGAAUUGGCCAGAUUUAUGCUAAAAUGGAAGUUUCCUAAAGAAACCUCCAUAGGACAGGAAGCUUCCCAGAGAAGAGACCCACGUGAAAAAUGAGCCUGCCAAGAAGGGCUCCAUACCCUAUAAAGGCCGCAACAUCCAAUAAGGUUCAGGCUUUGCUUGUGUGGUUUUUUUUUUUUUUUUUGUUUAUUUAUUUAAAUUAUUAUGACUAUUCUUUUUAUUUUUAUUUUAUUUUGUUUUUACUUUAGCUGGGAAAUGAAAUAAAAUUGUAACACUUUUGUUAUUAUAAUAAAUAUUGUGUUACACAAUAUUUCUAAACUAUCUUUUUAUUGCAAAAUGAUUUAAUUAUGUAAAUUACUAAAUUUUAUCUUUUUUAUUAUUAUAAAUAAAUUUUAAUAUUUUAAGAUACUAAAAAAUAUAUCAUAUUACUAAAUUUUUUGUUGUGUUAUUAUGAACCUACAUGAAAUGAUUACGAAUCAAGAGAAAAAUACAGAAAAACACCUAAUAUUAUAUUCUAAGGUGAUAAAAUGGAGCAUCUACUAUUAUAUAUUUUCAAAUAUCUUAUUUUAAUUAUAUAAAAUAAGAAAAACAUAAUAAUUAAUUUUUGACAUGAAAGAGACAUCAAAUUACUUUGUUAUUUUGAUUUAUUUGAAAAUAUGCUAAAAUUUUAUUUUAUUUAUUUAUUUUUUGUCAAAUUAUUGUUAAGAAAAGCAUAAUAAUUAUCUUUUGUAAUUUAAUGUCUUUAACAUGUGAAAACAAACCUUUGUAUUAUUAAGGUCUACACUUGUAGAUUUAUUCAAAUUUAAAUUAAAUUAAAACUUAUUAAGAUUUAAUAGAGAUGAGAGAUUUUUUUUUUAUUUUUUAUUUUAAAGGACCUUACUAACCUACUUGAAUCGAUUUGAGCCCAUCCAAAGCCCAUACAGAUUGGGCCAUUUUGAUGGCGGCAGUUGGCUGUGUGGAGGCCAUCCACCCGUGCCAGGCCAAGACAGGCCAGGCCCAGCAUCAUCUCAAACCAUUUUGGCCCAAUCUUUGCAGCAAAGCUCUAGAAGAAAGGUUAAAAUUUGACAGUAAUUUUAGAAGUAUUUCUAAAGUGCGUUUGGCAUCCCAUCAGUUAGAAGGAACUCAUCCUCUCUUAAUUUUGGGCUCCACCAAGCUAUACAAGAUGGUACACAAUAAGUUUUCUCUUUUCGUGCUUAUUGUUUAAUAAUUUAAGUUAAUUUUAAAUUAAAUUACUUUUAAGUUGUUAGUUAAAAUUUAUUACUUAAUUUUUUUAUUUUAAGUAUUAAAGUAAUCUUUCAUGAGACUUGUUCCCCAAGUUCUAUUCAUUCCUCUUGUUGUAAAGUAUUUCAAAUUCCUAAUUGAUAAAAAUUCUAUAUAUAAAAUAUUUCAUAAGUUAUACAUUAUUGUAAUAUUAGAUUUCUUUAUAAAAUAAAAAAAGUUAUUAAGAAUAUCUUUAUAAAUAUUUUAGAUCAUAAAAGAAAAUGUUAUGAGAUUUAGAUGAGUUUAUACAGAUUAUACGAAGUGAAUAGAGAUGUGACGAAGAAUGGUACCUGAUGGAGCGAACGAGCUCAUGGUUCAAGAUGUGGAUACAAGAAGUGGGGAAACAUGAAAUGUUUUGAGAAUCUAAUAGUUGUAUUUGGUUCUAUCAUUUGUAAUAUCAUAUAUAAUAUAGUAGAAAGUUUCUCCCUCAUCUAUAAACGUGAGCAUGAUUCAUCUAAUCAUGUUAAAACCUUAUGUAUCAUUGUAUCGAUUGUUUUAUUUUUGUGUUCUUAAUAUUUUUUUUGAUAGACAAAGAGAAAAAUAACAUAAAACAUGCCAAAACAGGGGGUGCUCCCUACGUACACAGACAAUAUACAAAGAAAGUCAAAACAAGGCAACAAAAGAAAAAAAAAACCUAGAGAGAAAAAAGCUAACCAACAAGCCAAUCACCCAAAAAAUUCAGAAAAGAAAGAGAGUUCAAGUUCAAAAACUGUUGAGACUACUCAAGAAGAGACUGAAAAAAGAGGUUCCUCAAGCAAGUAUUUGACAUCUUUUCCUCUUGGAACGUUCUUCGGUUUCGCUCUCCCCAAAUACACCAAAAAACACAAAUAUGCGCCAAUCUCCAAAUUGUUCUCCUUUUCUUCCCUAGCCCCUUAACUUUCCAUUCUAGAAGCAGAUUUCUCACUGAAGCCGAGACCACCCAUACCACCCCAAAAGAAGACAACAACAAAGUCCAAAGCUCCCUUGUCUUACCACAAUGAAUUAGGAUGGGGUUCGCCGAUUCCUUAUUCUCUUUACAAAGAUUGCACCUAUUAAUCAUAGACCAGCCCCUCCUCACUAACAUAUCUAUAGUAUAAAUUUUACCCCAAACUGCUUCCUAUGCAAAAAAAACGAGUUCUAAAAGGAACAUACGAACCCCAAACCUCUUUGGCUGGAAAUAAGGGGUUAUUAUCACCCUUAAAGACCUAUAAUAAGAUUUAACAUUAAACUUUCCCCUUUUUUUUAUCUUCCAAAAUAAAGAAUCAUUCCCUUCUUGAACCUUUACUGUAAAAAUAUGAUCCAAAAAACGAGUCACCUCCUCCAAUUCCCAAUCUUGGAAGGAUCUUCUAAAUUGCACCUCUCAACCCUCGCAUCCACCCAUUGUCUCCCCCAAAGAUCAGCCACUACAGCAGAAUUAUGGGUUGCAAUUCUGAACAGUAAAGGGAAAAGAUCCUUCAGCUUAGAAUCUCUUACCCAAAUGUCCCACCAAAAUCUUGUGAGUCUACCAUUUCCAAUACGAAUACUAGUUCUAAAAAGAAACUCCUCCCAACCUUUUCUAAUGUCUUUUCAAAGGCCCAUCCCAUAAGACUCUCUCACCUCUCUAGUGGUCCAACCCCCUUCCUCCUCUCCAAAUUUACCAACAAUGAUUUUCCUCCAAAAACUCUCCAUAUCUAGAGGAAAUCUCCAAAGCCAUUUUCCUAGCAAAGCAUGAUUGAAAACCUUCAAAUGUCUUAACCCCAACCCUCCAUGCCUCUUAUCUUUGCAAAUAACCGCCCAUCUUACCAAGUGAAUCUUCUUUCUCUCCUCCAAAUCUCCCCACAAAAACUCCCUUUGAAUUUCUCCAAUCUAAGUGUCACUUUUCUUGGGAUUACAAAAAGCGACAUAAAAUAGAUGGGAAGAUUUGAGAGAGUGAUCUUAAUGAAGGUAAGUUGACCUCCCUUAGAAAGAUAUUGUUUUUUCCACGUAGCCAAUUUCCUUUUGAAUCUUUCCUCAACAACAUCCCAAACUCUACACAAAUUAUGAGGGCCUCCAAAAGGUAAACCUAGAUAAGUAGUAGGAAGAUUCCUUACUUUACACCCAAAAACCGCAGCUGCUCUAUCCACAUCCUCUACUCCCCCAAUUGGAAUAAUUUCACUUUUCUGCAUGUUUAUUUUUAGGCUUGAUACCACUUCAAAACAAAUAACAACCCACUUCCAAAAUUCCAAUUGGUCCUUGUUAUCCUUGCAAAAAAAAAAAAAGUGACAUCUGCAAACAACAAAUAGGAAACUGAAACCCCUUCUCCACAUCUCCCCAUUACCUUGAAACCCUUAAUGAAACCUUUUUCCUCAGCUCUUGAUAUUAAAUUGCUAAAAGCUUCCAUAAUUAGCACAAACAGAUAAGCUGAGAGUGGGUCUCCCUGCCUUAGGCCUCUAAACGUUGAGAAGAACUAUGUGGGAGUGUCAUUCACUAAAACUGCCAUUCUCACAAUUGAAAUGCAGAAUAAAAUCCAGUUUUGCCACUUGGGUCCAAAACCCAUUUUCUCCAAAACUGAAAGAAGGAACCUCCAGUUUACGUGAUCGUAUUCAAUGUCCAAUUUAUACACUAAACCUGCACCGACACUUCGUUUUCUUAAGUCAAUCGCCUCAUUAGCUACCAAAACUACAUCUAAAAUCUGUCUACCUCCCACAGACGCAUUCUAACUAUUCGAAACCACUUUUCCCAUCACUCUUUUCAGCCUAUUUUCUAGGACUUUGGCAAUAAUUUUAUAAAGACUCCCCACAAGACUAAUGGGCUUAAAAUCCUGCACGUCACUAGCCCCCUCUUUCUUCGGGAUAAGCACUAAAAAGGUUGCAUUAAGGUUUCGAAAAACAACGUUCUGCGAAUAGUGCUCCUCAAACACCUGUAUCGCUUCCUCCCAACUAUAGGCCAACAAAAAUUCCAAAAUGCCAACAUAAAACCGUCCGACCCUGGCGCCUUAUCUCCCUCCAAAUCUGGGAGAGCUUUGGAAACCUCCUCCUCCGAAAAUGGCCCCCCCAAAGUCUCAUUAUCUAAUGAGUCAAGAGUUCUAAAAAGACCUGACUCCACAGCAGGUCUUCUCACUAGAGAUUCUUCAAACAAGGAUUUAAAGUAGGAUCCAAUCUCUUCUUUAAGCUCCUCCUUUUUAUCCAACUGAACACCCCUAACUGUCAGGCUACUGAUAAAAUUUCUCUUUCUCCUUACAUUAGCCAUAUGGUGAAAGAACUUGGUAUUGCUAUCUCCCUCCUUCAACCAAAGAGCCCUUGACUUCUACCUCCAAGAGAUUUCUUCAAGGAUGGCACAAUGACUAAAUUCAUCUCUAGCUAUCCGCUGACUACUCCUAUCUUCCUCAUAUAGAGAUCCAAGCCUUUCUAAACUAUCCAAAUAGUUUAACUUCUCCAAGGCUGCAUCCUUCCUAGUUGACACAUUGCCAAAGGUCCCUUUAUUCCACAUCUUCAAGUUGUAUUUCAAAGCUUGUAGCUUCUUCGCAAGUACAAAACUGGGUUUUCCCCUAAAAUUGUAAGACUACCACCAUUCUUUAAUAUUAUCCAUAAAACACAUGUUUUCAAAUCUAAACAGGCUUUUACUUGUUCUUAUCCCACCGUAGUCUAAUAAAAUCGGGCAAUGGUCAGAAACAGGUCUUGGAAUAAGAAUUUGCAUUGCCCCCGACACAAGGUCCUCCCAAUCUCCUAAAAACAAAAAGCGGUCUAAUUGAGCCUUUAGGGAACCUCCUUCCCCUCCACUCUAAGUGAAUGCUCCACCUCCCAGUGGUGGGUCUACUAAUUCAAACUCGUCAAUAAAGCUUGAAAACUCUCUCAUCAUGGUUGACAUCUAUCUGCCAUUGCUCGUUUCAACUAGAAACUACACCACAUUAAAGUCCCCUGCUAUACACCAAGGUUCAUUCCAAAGCCCCUUAACAACGGCUAGCUUCUCCUACAACUCCUUUCUCUCCCUUCCUUUGAGCGGGCCAUAUAACCUAAAGAAAACCCAAACAAAACCCUCCUCGCAAUUUCUAAAGCGGCAUGAAAUAGAAAAAAAACCCACUUCAACCUCCAAUCCUUCCAAAACUCUCUUAUCCCACAGUACUAGCACCUCACCAGCUGUAUUCCUUACAUAUAAAGAUACCCAACCCACGUUCCUACCAAUCCCCAAACUUCUAACAAUCCUAGCAGACAUUUCCUUCAUUUUUGUCUCCUGAAAACAAACCAAAUAUGGCUUAUGUUUUCUCACCAUCGACUUAAUGACCAUCAUUUUAUCUGGGUUAUGCAUGCCUCUAACAUUCCAGGACAAUAUCCUAAGCUUCAUAAGGGACUACAUCAAUUUACCCUCCCAACUCCCCUUCAUCUGCCACUCUUCCAGCCAAUCCAUCAUAAUUAAUAGUGCUAACGAGCUUCUUCAAAUCUCUAUCAUUCCUUGAACCUGACCAAGUUUGCUCUCAUUAGGCUUAUUGAUAAAACAUCUCGUAUUCUCAAUCUCCUUGAGGAUUCUCAAAAUAUCAUAUUUGAAACCUUCAAUCGAAACCCCCACAAACUUAUAGAACCAAAAGAAUUUCUUGUUCACCUAAGGGGAUUUGUCUUUUUCCACUUCUCCUACUAUAGUGAUAUGAAGUUGUGGCGUCUCCUCCUUUAAAGAAACGGGAAAAUCGUGCAAGUUGGGAACCUCAUUAUCUCAAGACCUAAGGGUUACUGCCUCAUCCCCUCCCUCUAAGCGAUUGGCCCCAUCAUUACCUGGCAAAGUGAAGGAGCAUCCAUCCUUGAGAACCAUACAAAGUGGCAACUCAAGCUCCAAAGGGUCUUCAGACGUCCCCUCAUACUCCCUUGUCUGCGAGUACCCCAUAGAAUUCCCCAACCCCGAAAAAAAAAAGGAGAAGAAAGGUCUGAAGAUUCCCCGAAUACACACCCCCCUCCCACCCCACCCCAAGAGUAGGAGAACAAGAGAUAGGGAAGAUAACUCUUCAAAAGUGAACAACUAAGGCCUUGGUCCAACGAGGAUGCCUCCUGCUCUGAAAUCUCCCCAGUAGAAACUGGCUUCGGGAUCUCCUACUUGAACUCCCCAGAAUUAAAAAAAGGGAGCCUUAGGAAAGAAGCUUGGGCCAACCCCAUUUCAAGCCCUUUUUUUCUAUUAGGCCUAAUAGAAACAGCCCAACACCCCACCUUAUUAGAGAAACCCAACCCCACUUUCUUAAAUGAAAACUUGGCCCAAUGGAGACUGGGCUUUCGAGUUCUAGUAGGCCCUCCCAAUGGGUCCCUAGACACCGGCUCGACCCACUUGGAAAUUUGGCCACCCUGUCCACCCUCAGGACCCCUUCCACAGCCAAAAAACUUCUUUCCAGCCAACCUUACGAAUUCAGACACCCCACUUUUUGUCGCGUCAGAAGUCUCUUUCACCAAACCGGCUUCCUCUUGCAUAGAAACAAGACCUUCAUAGUCUUUUAGCCUAGUUUUUUCCUCAAGAAUCCGUAACUCCAAUCCAUUAACCUAACACAUACGUCUGCAGCAAGAGUUCCUUCUCCACAAAGCUUCCUUUCCUUUCCACGCGCACCAUAGUACGUGACGCACACCCCCCUUCUUCCUGCUUGAAAGGAACCUUACUCACUGGUUCAACUCCCCUUUAAGGCUUUAGAUCAAUCGCCACCCUAAGGGCCGAGAACCACACCGAAUCCUCCCACUACAAUGGGAUAGAGAACGAAGCAAACCCAACUAUCACCUCUAACCUUCAAGGCACCUCCUUCCAUUAUUUUUAACUAUGAUUCUAACCCCUUUCUUAUAACAAGACUCUUUGGUCUCCUCAUCCACAGCUACAAAACCCCCACAAGCAUCCCCCACCUUUUUAAAGAACUCCAUACUCCAGAACUGUAAAGGCAACCCUGGGAUUCUCACUCAGGAUACAUCCCUCUGGAACUCCAUCCUAGAAUACCCCACAGUUGGAACCCACUAGUCUAGGGAUAAUCGAACGCCAUUGAGAAAGCGACUCCCCUCCUCCAACACUUUUUUAGCAACACUUGUAGUAGAAAAUUCAAAUAGAAACAAAGAAUCUCUUAAAGUAGCAACGCUCACUUGACCGCAUAAAAUCUAAUGGGAGUUUGCCCAAAUCGCCACCACCCCUAAGUCAGGCGCUGCCUCGUCCUCAAUAUCCCAUUUGCCCACCAAAAAUCGGCUAAGAUCUUUCAACUUCGAAGUAUAAGCCUCAUUCCCAACUUCAACCCAAACUUCCUCACUCCUCAUUUUUGUCUUGCUCUUGGUUGCAUCUAUAAAGCUUAAGCCUACCAUAGGUAUAAGAGACCUCUACUCUAAUCUUAGAGUCACCUCCAAUUUUAGCUAACUCCCUUAACUUUCGUCUCAUGAAGUCCCAACCCAAAAGGUCAAAACCCUUUGGGAUAAUAAUGAAAUAUCCCUAUCAUCCUCUAAAAGGACAAAAAUCAAAAGGUAACGUCCAACUUCAUUUUGACACAUUUCUAUCCUGAACCUCCUACCUCUAUAUCAUUCACGUCUCCCUUGAACAACUUCUUCCCUCUCCAUUUGCAGCAAACUUCCAGCGACUUCAGAAUCCAACCCAUUACCCCUCUACUCGCUUUGAUCCACCUUUAGAAACCUUUGCCUUUCUCCACUAUUUGCACCUCACCCUUACCCUUUGUCCAAUCAAUCCACAACUUAAAGGAUUUGGAGUCGAUGAGGAAGAAGCAUGAGCUUUCCCCCAUUUGUUUCAACCAGGAAAUGAUAGAAAACCCCUACACUAGACUUCUCUCAGUUUGCCCAUAACUGCCUAGGUGAAUCUUUCAAUCCCCAAGCAGGCAGAAAAUUUUUUCUCCCUCACAAUCCCAUGCUUUAAGCCUCGGCCAAGCAGCCCAUGUGUUCUUAAUAUAACAUUGUUUGUAUUAAAGUUUCCGUUGGUAGAACACCUCGAUUGUUUUAUUUUUAUAUUCUUAGUAUAACUUUGUUUGUAUUUAAGUUUCCGUCAGCACAACACCUCUAACAAGAAUGUGGAGAAUUUUUUUUUUUUCCUUUUAUUUUUUGUUAGAAAAAGCUAAAAGAUCAUAGGCCAUGAGAAGUGUUCUAAGAGAGUAUAGAUUAUUGUGUCUCAACUUGUUGCAAAUGGGAAAGAUAGGUCAGCAUUUAUACAGGUUUCAGUUGCUUGGCAUUUGUAUUCAUAGUCGUGUGAAAUUUAAAGGCAAUGAGAUGCUUCAGUGUUAAUUAAAUGCUCUUGUGGCUAAUGGAACAAAAGGGGGAAGACAAAAAUGGAAACCAGAACUAUUCCUUACAAUGGCAAGUCCAGAAAAUUUCCUCAUUGUAUUUAGAAAGCCAAUUACAAGAGCAUCUACAAGCCUGACAUUGCUGGGCUUAGAAUGCCAUGUCCAGUUAUCACUGAAGUUGGUAUCAGAACCAACAGCAAGAGUAUCUCACAGAAAGGGCCAUUUGAGCGGACUAGGCAGGCCUCCAUGAUGGUCUAACACGACAGGCUCCCCUUAGGCCGAAAUGAUCAGGUCAUGCCGACCUAUCUCACCACAAUAAUUGGGGUGGGCUAGCAUGACCAGAUCUUUUAGCUUUGCCGACCCAACACAUUUAGUCAUUGACAUGAGAGUCUAUGACAAUCGAUGGGUGGGUGAAAUUUACCCUCUAAACCACAAAUAUUCUAAAUUUUGAAACACAAUAUAUCAUUGCCACUAGCAAAAAUGUAAUUUGGAGAGCCCUUUCCUUAUGCUAUAUUAACAUGAUACUAUAAUAAACUGAAUCAGAUUAUCAUACAAAGCACUACACCAAAUCAUUCAUAUGUCUCGUUUCCCAUAAAUUAAAGACAUCCAUUUUUCUAAUGUCAUCACUAUAUCCAAUCUCAAAUUUUCAGUAAACACCCAGAACCCAUACAAAGAAAGAGAUUAAUUGCAGUACGACCACACCACUUUUUAAUGCUUGCAAUCCAACAAUCAUGCACUAACACGGAGUGUAAGCAUAAAAAAGUGAACUGCAAAUAAGGCUAUGUAUACCCAUUACCCAAAAGGUUUAAGGAAAUGGAGAGAGUAGAGAAAGGGUGAAUGAAAUGAAAGAAUCCCAGGCAGCAGUGUUAGUUCAUGAAGUGAUUCAUGAGUGCAUUCUUUUUCCUACAUGGCUCAGUCAAGAUCUCCUUCAGGGAGUUCUCUCUUUGAGUAGGAAUGACUUGAUCAGAGGGUGUGACUGCUUCAUUCCCCAUAAUCACUCCUUGCUUUUGCAUGUACUCCCAUUUGUCUUGGAAGAGGUAGAAGAAGGCCAUCAAACACACCUCUGCUGUGAAGAGUACAGUCCAUAGCCUGAUGCUUCUCGAUGUUUUCUUCUGGUAGGCUUCCAAGCCUGUGUAUAUGUUGAUCAUUCCCACUACAGAAACUGUUGUUCCAAGUAUCCAAUGCACGAAGUACCACACACUUCGCCCUUUACUUCUUCUGCACCCAAAAGAAAAAAAAAAAAAGGAACAGGAAUGAUGGUCUUUUGUUUGCAGACUAAAACCACAAUAAACCAGAGAUGGGUCUUCUUGAAUUUCUGGGAAAACUAUGAAAUGAAAUUAGCUUCAUCAGUUGGGGUAGAAAAAGGGCAGAAUCAUUUUGUUCUGAAAUGUGAGGAAGUCAAAGAAAACUACCUUCCAGGCCUGCAAAAUCCAAUCAAAGCUUGCACCCAAAUGGCACCAUAGAGCGCUAAACCUAUUCUCUGGUGGUAGUUAUUGAAUGAAUUCUCAAAAUUCUUUAUGGACAUGAUUGCUCCAGCUGUGGCUAUAAGUACUGAGAGUACCUGGUAGAUGGAAAAAAUGAAGAAAAAAUAAUAAUAAUGAUCCAAUACAUAGAGAAAAAAUGAAGAAAGAAAGUUUAUGGAAUAUACAUCUUCAAUUCCUCCAUUUCAAUCUUUAAGCCUAAUCUUUACAGUAUGAUAAUUGUGAGGGUGAAGUACAUAUACAAAAUGGAAGGAAACAAACCAAGGAAAAAUUAUGGCAUACAUAAGGUUUGAUCAUCGCUUGCUUAUUCCUUAAUCUUUAAUGCAGAAAUGAUAGAAAAGCACUGCAAACUUAAUUAAGAAGGAAAUUAUUAGGCCUCGACAAGCUUUGGAGAUCAUUAACCAUGGAAAAUGAUACUCUCUCCACAAGGGUUUUCUGCUACUUCUACAAAAAUAGUAACAUUACUUUUGUAAACUUAAGGAGAUUUGUUCAUUUAUCAGAGAAGCUGUUAUUUAACUUGGAAUUUGACAAGGGGGAUCGAUGAUUAUAUGGAUCAUAAGAAUUACAUAAUCACAAGUCUCUUGUCUUGCUAUCCAAGUUUUGGUGAUAAAAAUAUGGUUGAAUUUGCUUUAAUGAACCAUUACCUAACUGUGGGGUAAACCGAAAAAAGAGAAAAUGCAGACACCAUCAUUAAAGUUAAAGUGGGCUGUAAUAAUGCAUAUACAAAAGAUCAAUGGUUGAAUGAUCACUUCUUGCGACUCUGAAGAGUCAUUGUCUCUAUCUAUUGAAAUUAAAUUCAUACUUGCCUUACAAUUUCUUCUUCUUUUUUUUCCGAAAAAAAAAUGGUUGGGAAUUCAUGGAUUGAGUUGCAGAAGUGAAAAGAAAACUUAAGAUUACCUGCAAGGUGGUAUGGACAUAGAAGAUAACUCUGACCUUUCUUCCACAUUCCUCUCUGUUGCACAUUCUGAUUGUAAUUACCCCAAUAGGCAUUAAGAAUCCCGUGGAAGCCCAAAGGAGAACUCCAUGAAGUGUUAUAUCAAAUGUCAUCUGAGGACUCAGCUGAGAAACAACUGAAAAAUAUUAGCUCUUGUGUGUGUGAGUGUGUGUGUAACAUACACAUUCAUAUGCCUACAUAAGAAGAUGAAGAAGUUAUUAUUGGAAUUGGAAAGGAGAGUUGCUGCUAAUAAAAUGAGUUACCUUGUGAACAUUGUUGUUGAUUCUCUUGUGACCUUUGGAUUCAUGGGAUGAGCAACCAACAAAUGACAGAAGAACAAGCAAAACAAAGCAUGCAGGAAUGGUGAAAGACAAUAGCUUCUGAAAAAUAGGCAUCUUUCAGUCUCCAAGCAAAACAACAAUAGCAGAAAGGAACCUGCUCUACCAGUCAAAUCUUCUGGUUUUCAGCUACAAAUAGAAGAGUGUAAUGGGAUCAGGUCUUGACCAUGAAACUAUAUACAGAAAAAAGCUCACCGACCUUUCCUUUCUCUCUCUCCCUCACAAAAUUUUCAAGUCUUCAUCAUUACUUCUCAAGAUACAGAUAGAUCAUAUGGAAUAUUUUAGUUUGGAAGGCUCUACAUGACUCUUUCAGACAGGGGCUUAUAAGGUAAGUUGGAUGAAAAUUAUUUGCAUAUGCUGAUACAGAAACUACAUGUCUUUCUGUAUAAAGAAGCAAAUGUGGGAUGAUUAGUAAAUAUAAAAAGGAGCUACAUGCCUACUAGUUAUGUACUUUUGGGGGUGGUUUGAUGGUGUUUGGUGGUGGCCAUGAGCAUAUUUGAAUAGGAUGAAAAGGGAGUGGAGAUUAUGAAUUGUAAAAAUUAAAGUGGCUUUUUGUUUUAAUGGUAGAAAUAGUAUUGAAUCGCAGAACACAAGAUGGUCAAAAUUCUAAUGGAUGGGAAAGAUGAAAAUGUAAUACCAUUAAAAAGAAAAGGAUAAAAGGAAAGGUGCAGUGGAUGAAAAUUUCCCUUUUUUUUCUCUUUUGAUUUGAUUUUCUUAAUAAAUAAAACCUUUCCAAGAUUGACAAGUUUAUACCUAAAGUCUCAAACUUGACUACCCUGAAAGCAUUGUUGUUAAGUCAUUUGGUUACUUUUACUUCAUGAGUACAACUAAAAGAGUUUUGUCAUGAUCCCCCUUUUCCAUGUUUUAGUCAAAUUUGAUCAAAAUUUCUGCUUUGUUGUGAUAUGCAUAGACGCGUUUUAAAAUCGUGAGGGUCUAUCGGAUCUAGAGUGGAUAAUACUACACACCUAAGAAUGGGUUGUUAUAUUUGUUCCCAAGUUGUGUUAAGUGCCAUCAUCUAAGCACAAGACCAGUGGGUGUUCUAUAAUGGACAUGUAAAAAAGUUUCCAUUCUCAUUACAAUAUGAACUUGUGAUUCUGGGGUCAAUCUAAUGGAACCUAGUGAUUCUGUUUCCCACAUUCUUUCCCUGCUUGUGGCUCACUUUCAUAAAUAUACAAUGUAUCAGUGCAAAAUGGAGAACACAUAUGGAGAAAUAAAGUGCCCCACUUCCUCUAGAUGUAUUCUCACCAACCAUCAACCACCAACCCUACCUUGUACCAUAUAAUAAAAUCUAUGAAGCACUAUAUGACUAUGUAGGGAGAGAAACAAUUCCCAUUACCAUUGUCUUCACUUGAUCUUGUUUGUUUGGAAACUUAAUCUGUUAGAUCAGAGUAUAAUACAACAGGUGGACCAGGACACCAUGCAGUAAGCAACUUUUGAUGCUGGAGAAAUCAAGCAUAGUGGUUGAACAAAACCCACCAAGCUGCCUAUGGCCCCAACUGUAAUUGAAAGCUGCACUUGAUUUCUCCACAUUCAUGAUAGUAACAGUGAGUGUGAGAGAGAAAGAGGGAGUUUAUGAGUGGGUUCUUUUUCUUUUUUUCUGUCAGAUUUGCUCCACACUAUGUCUUCAUUCAUUCUAUAUCUUAUCAUUAUACACAAUUGAAGUGUCUCACAGUUUAUACAUAUGGCAAAAGUGGAAAAAUGUAGGCCUGUCUCCUAUGUAAAAAAAUUUGUAUGACACUACAUAUAUUCUCUCAAGACUCAAGAGUGAUCCAAAUCUAUGUUGGGGAAAAAGGAAAAGGAACUUUUCAAAUGGGUAACAGCUAAAACAUACAACUUUUUGGUAAUCCCCAAUGGGAUCUUUACAAAGAGACAUUAGAUUAGUUAAUUUGUAAUUAUUAUCAUUCCAUUAUUUUCAACAAUCAAGUUAUAAAGAGGGAGAAGAGAUUGGGGGCAACUUUAUAGAGGGAGACUUGGUGGGAAGUCGAAUCCAUAUCUUGUUUUGAUUCCUAGUUCUAAUUAAAGUUGUUGUUAUGUCUUAAUCUAAUGGUCCUUGUUCUUGAUUGCGAAGUUGACAGAAAUUUAUGAUUCAUAUAAUUGCUUAUAUUUCCAUUUCUUUUUGAAUUUGAGAUAUUUCACUAUCUAUUGACCAAAGUCGUGCUUCCAUGCAUCUUAUAAAGCAAACCACUCAUACUUUCACUACCUUUGUCAAUGAUACAUGGCGAUUUAUUGGCAUAACAACUUUUACUACCUUUGGAUUUCUUUGAUUUAUUAGUUAUAGAAUUUAAAAUAUUUCAUUUAUUAGUUUUCCUUUUUAAAAAAAAAUAUUUUAUAUUAAUAAAAAUUAUUGGAAGCCUAACAAAAAUCAUUCUUGGUGUUAUUUUAUUCUUCUUGGUAAUAUUUUAUUGGUAAUUAAACUUUAUAAUUUAUAAUAAACAUAACUCAAAUAAUAUUUAAACAUCAAUUAAUAAUAAUAAAAAAAAACAAUUCUCCAUUUUGGAGAAACGAAUUUUCUCAUAAAUAAGACAAACCUACACAUGAGAAUUUAAAUUGGUAGGUUACACCAAGUAAAGAUUAAGUUUAUCUAACAGUAAUUUUAAACUUGGUUUAUGAUUAACUUGUUCUUAAUCAUGCUAUUUUUCCAAAUAAACAUGCAAAAUUCUUCAUUCUUCUCAAAGAAUGGACAAAAGAGUUCCCCCUAAACCUUCAUUAAAAGAUAGUGAAAAUUAAGGUUAAAACUUUCAUAAAUUGGGCAAGUUGACGACUAACUCCAACCUAACCUGAAUUAAAAAACAAUUCACCUGAGUUCAACCCAACCUAAUCUCUAUUUCUCUAAAUUUGGAUUGUAUUUGGAUUGUUCGAGUUAAAUUUGAGGUUGAUCGAGUUAGACUCGAAUUAAUUAGGUUGAAUUCGGAUUGAAUAAUUCAACAUUUAUCUACAAUAUUUUAUAUAUAUAUUUAUACGAAAACUUAAAUAAUAAAUAAGACAAAAUUUAAAGAUAGAAAAAAAAAUUAUAUAUUUUUCUGAAAUAAUUAAAAAAAAAUAAAUAAUAUAAUAUGAUUUGAUAUUUAAAUAAAUAAAUAAAUAUUAUUAUAUAAAAUAAUAUACAUUAUAUAUAUAAGUUCAAGUUAAACUUAGAUUAUGUAAAUUUUGGUUUGAGCUCAACCCAAAUUAAACCCAAGAAACCGAAUUCAAACUCAAUCUAAAUAUUAAAAUGAUAAUCCAAGGCUGCUAAAACAUUGAGUUGGGUUCAAACUAAGUCAGACCAACCUGUCCAAGUUAUGCCCUAGUGAAAAUGAACGUUGGCCCAUGAUAAUUUGGAUUUAUGUAGCAUUUAUACAUUUAAUAAAGCCAUAACGUAAAAGGAUAAACACAAGCAAAAUCGGUGCCCAUGGGAUCUCAGACAAGAUAACCAUUAAACCUCAAACUUAAUUCCUUACAUCAAUACUAAGAAAUGAUUAAAAACAACUCAAAAAAAAAAAAACCACAAGAAUAUAAAGUUGUCUCAUUUGUUUUAUCAUUAAUGUGUGAAGAACAAUAAAAAAUAUUUAAAAGCAAAAAGUUUUUAUUGUUCAGCAUUUAUAUAACGAAUAAUUAAAGUUGUGGAAAAUGGGUAGAACAAUUUUAUUAUAUUAUUAUUCCUCCUCUUUUGUUGCCAAUCUUUUCUCCUCAUAGCCUAAAGAUUUGGGUAUGAAUGAACGCUAGGCUUCUCCCUUCCAAAGUUCAAAAAGCUUCUUCAAAGCCAUAGGCACCAUCUCCAGUAAGGAAAUGCUAAAAACUCCAAUCUCCGGAACUUUCUAGUUCCUGCAACCCUGAUUCAGCUGCUCCCUUUUUAUUUUUGGAUCCCAAUUCCAGGAAAUAAGCUGGAAUCACAAGCUUCACUCAGCUGGGUAAUUUCUUCUACAGCAUAUAAAUUGAUAGCCUUUGCCUUACCAAUGAUGAGUAUAGUCGGUCCCAUCUAUCAUGACUCCAUAUUUCAUCAGAAUAAUGGAACCUUGCUGAAACUGAAUAUACCAUCAACACACAAAUCUGCAAAGAAAUAUAUGCAUGGAAGAGAUGGUUGUGGAAAAAAGAAUGUAGGAAACAUCCGGAUUAACUCAAACUUUCAAAAAGUAAAUAAAACAGGGAUUUUAAGGCCCUCAUAGAUCACGGUCCUCGACUUUCUGAUAUGCAAAGGUUAUCAAGCCAAAUAAUAUCCAACAAACAAGAUCCAAAACGCAGGAAGGUUUCUACUGAAUAGUAAAACAAAAUUUCAAAAAAAUUAGAUCGACCUUUAUAGCUCAUCCAACAAAUGAUCACCCAGACUUACAUAAACAAGUUGGGUCUUGAUGCCUUGUAGGUGGUCUUGAGCUUCCUGGUUGGUGGCCUGACCUUCCUGAAGGUCAGGGGGAACUUGAUCUUGGAGUUGUGGAAUUGUUUUGAGCUCUCCCUCUUGCAAAGCUUAGCUGGGAUGGUUGCAGUCUUGAUGAUUUGGAUGCAAGGAGACCUAACCCUAUGGCGGGAAGCCAUCUCAGCGUACAUUUGCUCAACAGCACCAUUCAGAGUAGUGUCACGGUAUUCCUUGUACAUGUUGUGAUAACCAGUUCGACUUUGAUACCGCAACCAAAUCCCAUAGUUCUUGAUUGUGGUUGGGUUCUUCUCAAAAAUCUGCAGCGACAUGUAGUAGCUAAACAUAAUGAGGGGAAAUACGACAUUUUUUUUUAAUCAGAAGGUGCAAUACAACAUAUUAAAAUACAAGCUUGACAUUAUAUAACACAUCCCCAAUAUCUUCAUAGUCAAUUUGGUAAUAAAUAUAAAAAUUUGAACACAGUAUUAGAGGUGGUUAUAACCAAAUAAAAAAAAAGGCUAAUUGAAUUUGAGCAUAGCUCAAGAUAUAUAUGAAUAUGUUCAGAAAAAUCAGAUCCUACAUUCUAUUAGCAAAAGGGCUGGUACAAAACAGAGUGGCUGAUAAACAGUUUAGACAACUGAGGUGGAGCAAAAUAUCAAUUGCCUUAUGCACAUACACAGAAAAAUAAGAGGAAAGGAACAAAUUUUGUGAAUAUUCUAUGUAUUUUAAAAAGAAAUUCAUGAGUUUACAUAAAUGUGUAAGAUGUGACUGAACUUUUUCCAUCUAAUUUUAACUAUAUAUUAUUUAUAGACCCAAACCUAAUAAUCAGUUGGACUUCGGAAAACCCAUAAUCCAUUCUAUAAGGAACAGACAUAGAGCUACCAUAUCAUAGCAAAACGAGCGUAUCAAAAUCUACUUCCCAAAAUCUUAUGACAUGAUAAGCAUUUCCAAUAUCUUUCCAAUAAAGUGAACGGAAAUUAGGGAAAGAGCAAGCAUCCGUCAAACCUGAGUAUUGAUCAAUGACACUUAAAAUCUCUCAAUGUAGAUACAGUGAAAGUUAACAUGACAUUUGUUAACUUCUAGUUCCAGAAAGAAAGGGGAAAAAACCUUCUCAAUAAACAAACAACAAAUGCACCUUUCUAGGUAUAGACUCUAGUGUAAUCAUGGAUUGAAAUAUCGGUAAACACGGAUAUAUCGGUACUUGAAUUUUACGGAUAUAUCGGAAAUAUAAGAGAAAUAUUGGUAGAUAUUUUUACACAAAUAUUAGUGAGACAAUAAUUAUCCAAAAUUGAUGGGAAUGUUUAGAAAAAUCCAAAGAAUGAUAAAAUAAACAAGAAUAUAUAUGUUAAAGUUAUUUUAUAAGUGUAAUUGACAUAAAUAUGGUCAAAGAAAAAAAUAUCGGUAAACAGUUUACGAUACUUGGAUUUUAAGAAUAGAAAAUAUGAAUUUUGGAAUUGUACACUUGGAAAGUUAAAAUUGAGUUAAGAAAUAUUUGAUUUUAUUAAAUGAAAACAAUUUACACAUAAAUAUAAUACAUAUGACAUUGCAAUAGUCCUUAAUACCAAAAUGAAGAUCGAUGUGGUUCCAUCAUAUUGAUAGAUGAAGAGAGUCCAUCUUGUUGAAGACAAUAUUCAUACUAGGACAUGGAAUUUCAAUAGAAUUGAUUGUAAGUACGAACAUGUCAUGCAUAAAUGAGAUAAAUAUAAAAAGUAGUUAAAAAUAAAAUGAUAAUAUAGAUUAAAAAUAAAAAAUAAAUAAAAAAAUAAAAAAAAGGAUGAAUAUUUUUUUUUUAAAGUUUUCAAAAAAAUCUCCAAUAUUUCCCCUAUAUAUCGGCGAUAUAUCUGAUAUAUUUGUCAAUAUAUUCGAUAUAUCACUGAUAUAUUUCCGAUAUUUUGACAGACUUUUGAUGGACUUCCUCCACUGCUCCGCACAUCGCUUCACGCUCAAUUUUUUCGCCGAUUUAUCAGUUCCAAACUGAUAUAUUGUCGAUAUUUUGCCGAUAUUCCUCCUGUUCAAUAAUCGGUGUUGAAUUUCAUUUCGAGGCCGCCCGAUAUCCGAUAUAUCGGCGAAAUAUUGCCGAUAAAAUCCAAUUUUUCAAUCCAUGAGUGUAAUAUUCAAUUGACCAUUUGGUGUGAUGCAGGUAUUUAAUUAAAUUUCCUCCACUAUUAUUUACAAUGUCUAUACAGAAAAUUACACUUACCAACCACUUUUGUAUUAGAUUUUUUAUCCUUUAAAUAAAUAAAACAUAUUAGUAAUAUCCAGCAAGAUUAAGAGUCAAUAAACAACAAGCAAUUUCAGCCAUCUAACCAAGUAUACUGCACAAUUAAUUUCUUCUAAACUGAUGCUUAGCCAAACAAUGGAUGCAACUCAUGGACACACCUCAAAGAAUCUCAAUAAUAAUUUCAACAACAAGUAUCGCAUAACAGUGAAAACAACAUGAUAUGGUUACCUCAUUGAUUGCCAGCACUUGACCAUUGCUCUUCUUGACUUUCUUAAGCUUCCUCAGAAAAUACCUAUUUCAGAUCAAACCAAAACUCCAACUCAAAACCUGAACCCAAUUACCAAUCAAACAAUAACUACAAAUCCAGACAUCAUUAUCAUAUCCCACAUACCAGAACUUGGAUUUGGCGCGAACCUCAUUCGUCGCCCAGAGCUUCAUGCGGUAGAUCUUCGGAUGCUCAUCGCUCUCCGACGGGAGAGCUCUCCCCACAACCUGGUACUGGUGAAACUGCACACCCAAACAAACGAACAAACCCCAUUAGAUCAGGUCAAAACCCAAAAAAAAAUAAAAAAAACCCACUUCCAUCCAUAUGUUGGGACAGAAAAAUGAGGAAGAGGAAAUGAAAAUAUUCGUCGCAGCUAAACCCUACAACAGUGGGGGUUUCGCAUAAUGGAAAAAAAAAAAAUUCUUUUCUUUUCUUUUCUUUUCUUUUCCCACGUUUUCUCACAGACCAAACAGGUUACGAUUAAACCCUAAAGAGGAGAAUGAGAUCGACGAAGCGAGAAGAGAAGAUAGACUUACCCUGAAAGUAACCAUUCUGGAGGGGAGAGAGAGAUUGGGAAGAAGCUACUUCUGUGUGUGUGUGUGGUGUGAUAGGAGGAAGAGACGUGCCUAGGGUUGCUUAAGGGGUUGUUUGAUUAAAGGGGUAUUUGGCUAGAAAUUAACUUCAUAUUUCUAAGAUUAACCCUUUCCCUUUCAAAGAUGAAAAAUGACUCUUAGAAUAAAUUACCCCUAAUAAAAAAACUACAAAUAAACCUUAAAAAUUUAAAACAAAAAAUGAAGUGGAAAGGUUUUUCCAACGAAUUAAUCCAUUAAUAAAAAUGAAAUAAUCUUUAAAUUUGUAAAUAUAUCCUCUUUCGUAAUCCAUUUUUAAUAUAAAUGACUUUCAAUAUUUUUAUUUAAAUAUAGAUUUUAAAAAAAUAAGAUUAUUUUUGUAAGAAAAAAUAAAAAUAAAGAUUUAGACUUACAAAUUAGAGAAGUUAUUUCAUCCUUUUUAAUUAAAUAACUCAGACAAAUUGUUUUAUGGAUAUUCAUUCGUUUAUUGAUUUCUUACUAGAGGAUUUAUGGAAUUCAUACAUUUGAUUAAGGUGUGUAUUUUUUUCGUUCAGAUUUAUAAAAAUCACAAGAAAAGGUAACUCACUAAUGAUUUUGAAUUUUGUUAACCAUAAUUUUUAGGGUUAUUCUUGUAUUUCUUGACCCGUUGAUCCUUGAUCAUGAAUGUAAUCAGCCAAUACCUUUAGAUUUUGCUAACCAUAAAUUUUAGGGAAACUUCUGUUUUAGGGCCCUUAUUUAUAAAAAAAAAUAUGAUAUUCAAACCCCAAGUUUUUCAAAUAUAGAAAAUAAUCAUUAAUGGGCAAAAUAAUAUGAGAUUUGUGCACUUUGUGCUGAGUCAAUUUUAUCUUCCAAAAAUGCCCUUAAUGUCUUAUGCAUCAGUAGCCAAAUAGCCUCCAUGUCAUACUUAAAAAAAAAAAAACAAUUGUGAAAAUUGAUAAUUUCUUAAAAAACCACCCGACCCGACAUUUGGAACUAGAAAAAAAAACCAAUUCUCUGUUUGAACUAGAAAAAAUUCCCAAAUCUGAUAGUUCUUCAUCCCUAAUUUGUCUCUCCCAAAUCAGAACAUUUGAUUGUUCCACUCUCUCUCUCUCAUUCUCUCAUUUUAGCCAAAAAAACCUUCAGUCAAAACUGGAAUGGAUAUCUAAGUUUCUUCUGAAAAACUCUCGUAGCCCUAAAUCUGCAUUUUAGUUUAUCAGCAACCAAAUUUGAUAUUUUCCCUAAGCCGGAAUCUCAAAAACUUGACAUUUUAGAAGAUCAUUUGAAAUCUAAAUCGGCCAAAACCUUCAUGUCCAACAAACCCAACUGAUACCGAGAUUGAAAUUUCCCUUUCUUUCGUCCUCUCAAAGUUUGGGAACAUUUCUCUCAUUCGUUUUCAUGUCUGCAGUGAGCUGGAGAGGAGAGCGUGUUUAAAUUAGAAAAUUUUCACAUAUUUCAGUGAAAAAACCGUGAAUGGAAAACCAUGUUUAAAUUUGCAAAAUGUGGUACAUUCCUGAGAAGAAACCUUCAAUCGAAAACCUGAAUCUACAUUUUUCUUUGUUGUGCAGUUUUUUAAGAGGCAAAUGAAGCGCUUCAUGGUAACAACAUCCAGUUAAAAAAAGGGUUUGAGGAAAUAUUGCCUUCGUGAAGAAGAAAUCUCCUCUUCGUCUGAUUGGGUUGCAUAUUGGCCUAAACCCCACCAAAAUCUUAAGGUAAUUAAUUUGUAUUUAGAGUUGGCAUCAUGUUUUGCAAUUUUUGUGAGUUUGUUCACCUUAGAUGUGAGCACUGCUUGACUGAGCCUUAGGUAUUAUCUUAGUAACCCUUAGGUACUAUCGUAAUAAACUUUAGGUACUACCUUAAUAUCCCUUAGGUACUACCUUAAUACCCCUUAGGUACUACCUUAAUGUCCCUUAGGUACUAACUGAUUGUACCACAUUGUCUCCAUAUUUCGGAACCUUAACAAUGCACCCGAUUACAACUUGGGUACUAGCUUCAUAAACACUUUAUGGUUAGUUUGUGAAUUCUAGGUACUACUAUGGUCAAUCAUAGGAUGUAUUUUUGUCAUUCAAUUUCAUCAUAGUUUGAUACAUAACCAAGCCAUUUGGUUGAAAAUGAUAGUUUCUUUAAUUGAGCAUGACAUUGUUAUGUUGUAAUAGGUUAUGCAUCCCGUAGUUCAUACCUUAUUGCACCUGAUUAACUACCUUAAUGUCAUUAAGGCACCACCUUAAAGUGGCAAAGGUACUAGUUUAAUGUGCCUAGGGUACUCCUUUAAUGUGCCUAAGGUACUACCUUAAGGUAGCUUAAGUACUACCUUAGUGGACCUUAGGAGUACUUCUUGACUGCAACUUAUGGACUACCCUAUUGAACCUUAGGAGUACUACCUUACUGCAACUUAGGGACUACCAUUGUCAACCUUAGUUAUUAACUUAAUGAAGCUUAGGUCGUGAGUUCUUGAACCUUGGGUUGUUCAUCAAUCCUAGUUAGCACUUCCCUCAACCAUAGGACCUAAGCUUCACAUUCAAUUUCAUCUUAAUUUGACACUGAAUGGAUAUAUGUCCAACAUCUUCCCUCAGUACACAAUGUCUUGAAUUGUCAUUGGCAUUAGUUAAAAAUAAUUUAUUUUUUAGAAUGUUCUCCUUAGGUACUACCCUAAUGCACUUUACUUACUAUUGUCAUCCACUUUAGGUUCAACUUUAAUGCAUCAUAGGUGGUAUCUCACUACUUUUUAUGUUGUAAGGUCCAAUUGGUUAUUGUCCUUAUUGCACGUUGGAGAAAUGUUGCACUUUCGAACUCAAGACACAUUUCUUUGAUUCCAUUACAGAUUUGAUAAUGGCAUUACUUUGUCUUAAUUGGUUAGUCACUUCGUACAUGAUUUUCAAGUAAUAGUGUGAAGGUACUAUCUUAAUGUACCCUAGGUACUAUCUCAACGUAUCAUAUGUACUACCUAAAUGUCCCUUAGGUACUACCUUACUAUAACACUCUCUCCACAAUUCAGUACCUGAAUUGUGCAAGCAAGCACAACUUUUCUACUAGCUUUGUUUCCCAAUCAGUAGUUAAUUUAUGAAUCCAAUGUACUACCAUGGUCAACCAUAGUAUGUAUGCUUCGAUAUUCAAUUUCCAACUAGUUUAAAAAAAAAACCCAAGCAAUUAAACUGAAUAGACAAUUUCCUUAAUUAAGAAUGACAUUGUUAUGUUGCAAUAGGUUAACCAUUUUUUUCACCUCUGGUAAUACCUUAUGGCAUCUGAGUUACAACCUUGAUGUGGCUAAGGUACUACCUGAAAAUGCCUACGGUACUACCUUAAUGUGCUUAAGUUACUACCUUAAUGUGUCUAAGGUACUACCUUAGUUAACCUUAGAACUACUACCUUACUGCAUCUUAGGGACUACCCUAGUUAACUUUACGACUACUACCUGACUGCAACUUAGGGAGUACCCUAAUGAAUAUUAAUUGUACUACCUUACUGCAACUUAGGGACUACCAUUGUGAACCUUAGUUAUUAACUUAAUGGAGCUUAGGUAGUGAGUUCAUGAACCUUGGGUUGUUUAUCAUUCUUAGGUAGCACAUUCCUUAACCAUAUGUCCUAUGCUUGACAUUCAAUUCCAUCAUAAUUUGACAAUGGCAUUACUUUCUGUUGCACUUUCGAACUGAAGACACAUUUCUUUCAUUCCAUUACAGAUUCAAUAAUGGCAUUACUUUCUGUUAAUUGGUUAGUCACUUCGUACGUUAUAUACUCAUAAUAGUUUGAAGGUACUAUCUUAAUGUACUAUAGGUACUAUCUCAAUGUAUCAUAGGUAUUACUUAAAUGUCCCUUAGGUACUACGUUACUAUAACACUUUCUCUCCAUAGUUCAAUACUUAAAUCGUGCAACUAACCACAACUUUCCUACUAGCUUUGUUUCCCAAGGUGUAGUUAAUUUGUGAUUCCAACGUUCAACCAUGGUAAACCUUAGUAUGUAUGCUUCGGCAUUCAAUUUCCACCUAGUUUAUAAAAAACGAAGCAAUUACACUGAAUAGACAAUUUCCUUCAUUGAGAAUGGCAUUGUUGUGUUGUAAUAGGUUAGCCAUCUUUUCCACCCCUAGUAAUACCUUAUGGCAUCUGAGUUACAACCUUAUUGUGGCUAAGGUACUACCUGAAUGUGCGUAAGGUACUACCUUAAUGUGUCUAAAGUACUACCUUAUUUAACCUUAUGAGUACUAUCUUUCUACAUCUUAGGGACUACCCUAGUUAACCUUACGACUAUUACCUUACAUUUUUUGUUUAUCAAUCCUAGGUAGCACAUUCCUCAUCCAUAAUACCAACACUUGACAUUCAAUUUCAUCAUAAUUUCACACUGACAAAGAUAUAUGUCCAAGCAUUAUGGACUAACCAAUUUUGAUGCCUAGUUGUCCCUGUAUACAAAUUUUCAUCCACAUCUCUGUAUUACUAUAAAGAUAUGUAUAAAAUGAUUUGGUACUAUAAUGAUGACAUAAUUUUGUACGAUAACACAUAUAUGUGGUAUACACCAGUGUGAACAUUUUUUCCAUAUAUGAACAUUUUGGUUUGAACUCCACAUUUGUUAGCUUUCCUUGCUUCAUUUUUUGUCCCUUUGUUGUCUUUGCAACUUUCCUUAACCAAUGUUAAUUGUUUUUUUUAUCAGGUAUGCAGCUGCCAAGUAAUUUGUAGAUCAUCAUUACAAGCCAAAAUGCAAAUUCAUCUUUUCCGUGAACUUUCACAGUUGCUUCCAAUUAUUGUUGCCGCUCUAACAUCUACUCCUGAUAUGCUUGCAUUUUUGCCUGAUUGGCCCACUGUUAAAGCUCAAAAAGUGGAUACUCUAAACGAGUUUUUCAUAUUAUAGUGUUAUAAUUAAAAGUUUUUCGUUUAUCAUACUAUUGUCGUUUUCGUAAUUACAAUUAUAUGUCAUUUGUUGUGAUUUAUUACUAUUAACAGUAUUUGCAUAUUUAUACAACAUAUUUUAUACAACAUUAUUAGAAUCAUUUUCCUAAUUCUCAUAUAAGUGUUAUUCACAUCAACACUGCCUAAUGAAUAUGUGUUAAAAAAAAAAAUACCCUUUCAUUAUAAUAAGUGCGAAGUGGGCUAUAAUUGUAAUUUUAAUACUAAGUGAUAACCAUUUGUUACUUUGAUCGUGUCUGAACAUCGUCCAUCCUCAAUAACCUGUUUGUGCUUUAUGUAUAUUUUGCAUAGGUAAAAAUUCAUGCAUAGGAAUAUUUCCAAUGCAGCAAUUGAACAACUAUAUAAAGCUUUUUAUCACCAUUAACAACUACAUGUCAUGUCCUACUAUUAAAUGCAUGUCCAUCAUAAUUGCAUUACACAUUUCGUGGGGUUUAGAUUACAAACUACUAGAAAAUUUUCAGCAGCACUUUCAAUUGCUACCAUGGAAACAUGCAUCCAAUUAUCCUUGUUAUUCUCCUACUACCUACAUGUACUUCUAUUAGGCUGAAGAGAAGGAAAAAAAAUUAUCAUCAAACACACUGUUAUCUCAUAGAUUAAAUUAUGCUUCUAUGUUCUACAUAGCAUAGUCAUCUCAUUCCAAUAUAAAUGAAAGUACCUGGGCACAAAGCAGCGAUAUCCUACUCAAGUUAAUUAACAAUUCAAUUUCAGUCAAUCUAAUGAAACAAAAGUUUCUGAUUAGCCACAUUGUUAGCAUCUAUGGACUGUAAUUCUUUAAACAAAUGGCUUAUGCAGCGGCCCACAUACCAUUCAUCAAAUACAGACACAAUGAAGUUGAAACAUAUCUGUUUACUACAUAUGGCAUACAAAUGGUCAGAAGCCAAAAUUAAUACUUUCCAAUUGUAUAUUAACCGAAUUUGUCCUGACAUUUUUCUCAUCGUCAUUUCAGUGUAAUUUAAUAUCAUGUCCUCUUGUCAAACACUGCCUGUUGUGCCUUAUUUUUUCAGCACUUUGAGGUUGUGUUUCUCCAGUUUCUGCAUUCAUUUAUCCAUCUCCAUCAUUUUCUACCCCAUCUCCCGAAUUUUCUUCGUUCUCUACCUGGAAAUAGUGUCAAACUCUAGCUUAUUUACUAAAUAUUAUAAGUGUUUCAUUUUCAAUGGAAAUAAAGGAACAACUAUUUAAGAGGGAACUUCAUACUUUAAAGAACUAAGUUGAGAGUUGUGCAAUUGGUAGGUCCUCCAAUGAAGGAACAAUAGGGUAAUAAUUUGACAUAUUUACUAGCUAACAAAAAAAAUCACAAGACACAUCAAUUUUUGAAAAAAAAUACCGUUGUCAUUCAAUACCUUCCAUUUUCUCCAAUUUGUUAAUAUGCAAAUUAUUGUCCAUUCUUGUCUAAAAACAAAACUUACCUUUAUUAACUUUGUAACUUAAAGUCAUGAAUAAAUAGCUUGACAUGGUUGAAAUUCAUCAAAAUGAUCAGAAGAGGAAAUUAAAGGGAUAACACAACUAACUUCACUACUUACAAAUGCAAAACUAGGUGUCAUUCUACGAAAUACCUUAUUUUGACAUUUUCCGGUCCGAUAACCUCUCACAAUCCACAUGCCUGUAUAAUAUUUCCCCUAACAUUGUUGGCUUCAUUAAGGAGCAAUGUCACAACCAUUUGCAACCUCUAAACAUGCAUUUUCUCCUACAAAUAACAUUAAAAAUUAUUUGCAAGUGUAUACAAAAUUGGAAGAUAUGAUUAAAACAUGUUAUAACGCAACACUAACCUCCGCAACUGCUUGUGUUAAGGUAGCCCCAUUCCAAUAUUUCAUGUACUUGAGUGCAAAAAUACCACAAUCAUACCUAGAAGACCAUAACGUUUGGAUUAUCAUACACAUACAUUAAUCGUCUAACGCAUUUUAACUACAACUUUAUUUCAACCAAAACUGUCAUUCACAACAAAAUUUACCCAUUUUUUUGUUGCACUAGAUCUGGCUGUACAUGGACCAAUUUUGAAACCUCCAUAUUCACAUGAAUUCCAUGUGCAUGCAAUGCUCUCUCCAAAGCCAUUGACAAUCGCCUAGUGGAAGCACUAAUUCCCUCUUCGUAGUGGCAGACUAGAAAGUAUCUCGAUACGGCCAGCCAGAAUGUUCAGCACAUGAAGGUGCCAAUGGUUAUUCUCGCAUACGGGAAUGAACAACUACAUUAUCAACAAUUGAAUUGUUAGGGUCUAUGUUGAUAGAUAUAAGUCAUACUAUUAGGUAGCUAUGAAAGGAGUAUGUUAAUGUACCAUUUCACAGGACGCUACAUCGUGUCCCACUAUGUCAGCUUGAAGAAACAUGCAUGAUCUGUCAAGUAUUUCUUCUUUUUUGGCUUUCGGUAAAAGACUAGCAAGAACAACCUGUUCAAGUUGGGGAUUAGUCAAUAAAAACAUAAACGAAUACAAUUUACUUUUCCUUAAUGUAAUAAAUAAGUCUCGAAAAGUGUGUACCGAAAAUGAAGGAUCGAAGUAGUGGCAGCGUCGUGGAUGUGGUUGGUUAGCAUUCAACAUGCGAGACAUAACACCAAUAAUCUGGAAAAAAAAAAAAAUUUGGUACUCAAUUAUUAGCCAAGUUUAAAGCAUCUAUUAUUGGAAAAAAAUAAUGUGAAUUGGGUAUUCAGGAAAUUGGAGGAUUAGUAGCUUACAAUGGUUUUCACCCAUCGACCUCCAUUGAGAGAAGCGAGCUCGACCCUCGUAAUAAACAGUCCGUGCAUAUCACAUACAACAUCGCUGAAAUGUCAUAAAAGAUUAUGUUAAACCAUGCAAUAGAGGCAUAUUUAUGCACAUUAAAUAUGGUUGCAAAUGAAAUUCAAAAACUACCUUGGAUCAGCAUCUUCGUCCAAAGUAAAAUCAGCUACCAACCUAUCCUUAUGUGAUAUUUUCGGGAACAGUUUAAGGCAUUAUGCAACAAAUGGAGAUUUACAAAUGGUAGGCCUUUUCACAAUCCGCCUACCAGUCUGUUUAUAUUUGUGACUUGAGGUUGGUAUGUCUAAAUGGCUGUGAGUAGCUAUUGUGCCAACAUUUUGGACAUCUUCUACACUUUCCAAGUGUGGGUAAGGAUAGGAUUGGUCAUGAGAUUCUUGGUGUAGUGAUGAGGGUCCAUGGUCAAAUGCAGAUUCAUGUCUUUCAGUUGGAGAAUGCGGUGCUAAUGGUAGGAUGGGUUGUUCAACAAAUUCUUCAGCUGAAAGCUGAAUGUUGCCUGUCAUAGGAGCUGGUUCAUCUUAGACUUGGGCUGAAGGCUGGGCUGGAGUAGCUGAACAUCGGUAUUGCGACCCAAACUAACGGGAAAGCAAUUCAGCAACAUCUUCAGCUAAUGAAGAGGCUAAUCUCAACAAUUUUUCUGAGUUUUCUACCAUACGUGCUUGAAUUACCUAAGAUGAGGAGGAAAAAUUUUGAAACAAAAAAUCAAUGACUGGAAUGAGGCGAAAAAAAUUGCAUUACUGUAAUACAACUAUGCAUAUGUGAGCUUGGCUAUCAAUGAAGACAUUUAUAACCUCAGUAGCAUCAUCAGAAGCCGAGGACUGCCUACCUGCUACCUGUGCAUGGGAGUGGGCAGCAAAUUCUGGUAGCUGUUGAGUUUGGAAAGGGUCGUUAAACAAAAAUUAGAAUAUAUUUUUUUAAAUAUGGAGAUAACUUGGAUAAGAAAUUUUUUAUAACGAAAGAAGUGUACAGUUGGACCUUACAUGGACAUGACCAUAACCACCAAAUGUGGCAAUUUCAGCUGAUAACCGUCUUUUGAUUAAGUCAUCACUCCAUGCAGCAAGUAAUGGCAUAGUGACAUCAACCGUGACGGAUGGCAAAUAAAAUUUUGUCAUGUAGAAGAACAGUGAAAUGACAGGAAAAUGUAAUAGUUGAAACACAUUCAACAACAUCUUUGAAUACGGUUUAAAAUAAAUUAUAAUUUAAAUGAAACUACAUUAAAAUGAGAGAAUGUAGUAGACAAAAUUAAAACAAUAGACUCAUUAAGUCUUAACUGUACCUGGAGAAAAAUAAGGCAGCCGCGUAUGUAAGUUGGCUGGUUUUUCUGGUAUUCUCUGAUUCCAUCCUCUAUGUAAUGUAGGACAAAUUUUGACCAAUUCUUUUGGACACCAACGUCACCAUCCCAUAUGGUGUCCCAUAGGUCAUGUAUUCCUUCAAGCUUGGAGUUAGGUGUGAGUAGGGUGGCACAUGCAAAAAUCAAGAAAGUCUUCCUGAAGUCAUCACCAAUGGCCAAGUUCUCUAGAUUUUGCUCCAAUAGACUUAUGGUGUAGGUGUGAUUAGAGGUGCCUCUCCUAGUAUGCACCACAAUCUCCUCACCAUUACAUGGGAUGCCCAUAAUAUUGUCGACAUCUUAUGCUGUUACCGGGACAACAAUGCCGGUAGCCAUAUUCAGUUGAUGGUAGGCAAUGUCAUAAUUAGAAAUUAUCCAAGAACACAACUCGUAGCGUAGUUCUCGACAAGCCAAGUGUAGAAGUCCUCCAAAUACCAUUUAUGUAAUGGCGUCUCGUUUAUCAUCAGGAAGCCUCGCGAUGACUGAAAUGAAUUUUUUGCCAGAACACCAUGAUUUUGGCAGUUUCACCUGCAGUCAGUGGGCAAUUUCUAUCAGUAUCAAAACAUAUCAAUAUAGGGGGAAAUAAAUAAAAAAAUUAAAAAAAUUUCAAUUCAGUUUACAAAGUGUAUUUUGUUGGCAACCUGGCUGCAUGUAGCUGGGAGGUGUUCUUUUCUUUUUCGCCAAACAGUGGCCAUCUAUAUAUUAGUGAGGAAUGUGUUCAAGGUAUUCAAUGUUAGUCGCGGACUGUGCAAAGUACAAAAAGUGAAUAGAAUGAUCAGCAACGGUAGGACCAACAGCAACAACAAAUGCCUAGGAAAAUUUAUUUUGUAAGGAAAUAACAAUUCUGAUGAGAUUGUACACUUCCCAAGAAAAUAAAACAUCUUAAUACCAUGGCAUCCACAAAAAAAAAAAAAAAAAAACCAUGUAUCUCCACUAAGGCAAAUGAUUUUCUUCUGAUAGGUCAGUGUUGUCUGUUCAUUCAAAAUCACAGCAGAUUCUUAUAUUUGAACUUGUAAAUUCACAUAUAAACCAAACCUCCAUCCAAUGAAAAAUGUUAGAAGUGAUUCAACAUUAACAGUUCAAAAGUUUACACUUGACCAUUAGGUUAGCUAUUCAUAACAAAUGAAACUAAACAAAGCAUGCAACAACUAACAAGGGAAAUAGGUCAUGGUGUAAGUAAAGAGUACAUGAAAAACAAUGAAUGGAAACACAUGCAAGGAAAAAUGGUCUCUGAACUUCAACUGGAAUGUUCAAUUCUGAUUACUAUGCUUUAAAAUAUAUUAAUGCAUGCUAAUUCACACACAAAAUGGCUAGUUACAGGAAAAAAAACAUAAGUUAUAAUGUAACCAGUUAAGUAACAAACAUGAUUAAGAUUGCAUACUAGGUAACAACACAUACUCAUGUGUUCCAAAAAAACAUAUGAAAGUACAUUAAUACAAAUGUUUAGUAAUAGAAGUACAUAAAACAACAAUGCACUUAAGACAAAGGAUUCUUGCACGUUUUCCUAUUGUGGCCAGACAUAUGACAACGAGAGCAAUGGACUGUCUAUUUAUCUUGAAAUUGGAACUCGAUGCGCUUCUUCCUUGGUCUUCCGGGAGGACGUUUUGCAUAAGGAGGCUUAAGAGAUAAGAAAACCUGACCCGUUAUGGAUCGUACAACUCCAUGGUCAUCCACAAUUGGCAUGUCAUGGGUCUCAAUACUAGAGAAAAAGCCCGCGUAGAUCAAGUCUUGCAUUGGGAAUUUGUAGCAUUCAUCAACAAAAUCAGCAACAUUGUGGCCAAUGGAGAGAAUAACAGUUGUCGCAUGUUCACAAGGGAUUCCAAACAUUUGCUAACCCCUACAUGUGCAAGUACGUUUCAUAAUAUCCAUAUUCAAGAAUGCCCUACCGAUACAAACCCUAAAAAUGCCAUUCAUGAAAGGAGUAACUGGAUACACUUCACCCUUGACAAUAUUUUGUAGUACAUUUUCUUCAAUUUGUGGCCCUAGAGACCCUUUCCAAUUGUUGGACUGCUCUUUAUGCUUCACAAGCAUAGAACCUAACUUAGCCAUGUGCUCCAUUAAAAAGUUACAAAUGGAGUGAUGUCUUUCAUGUCUUAACCACACAUUAAACGACUCAGCAAGGUUGGUGGUCAUUUUAUCCCAUCUUUGUUUUGGGAAUUUUGACAUGGCCCAAGGUUCGGGUGAAUUAUCUUCUCCCAUGUGGCUAAAGCAUCAUUGUAUUUCCGUAGUUCAUACAUAGAAACAUUAUAAUCAUGCUCUAACUUUGCAUAGGCAAUACUAUCUAGGAAUUGAAGUGCAUUUUCUUUACCCUUGUUUCCUUUUGUAAUUUGCUUACUCACAAAUGUACUGAAAUUCUCCUUUAAGUGACGGUAAAAGUAGGCAUGAUUUUCAAGGCCAAACACCUCGGGAACACUACGAAGUAGGGCUGGAUGUCUAUCGGAGAUGAUAACAACUUCCUUUUCUGCAACAACUUUCUUCAAGUUUUGCAAAAACCAUGACCAAUCCUCAUAAUUUUCUGAGCUCAUUACACCAAAAGCUAACGGGAACAUAGAGUCAUUAGCAUCGUAUGCAGUGGCUGAAAAUAACGCACCCCUAUAUGGCCCACUCAUAUGGGAUGAGUCAAUAGCAAUGACAAGUCGACACCCCAAUGCAAACCCUUGGAUUGACACUGCAUGAGCAACAAAGAGUUGUUGAAAGUGCUCAUCACUCAAAUAACGCAACUGAACAACAGUUCCUGGAUUAGUAGUAACCAUUUUGUCACACAUCCAAGGAAACAAUUUAUAAUAAUAUUUAGGUUGUCCAUAAAUGCGUUCCUUUGCCUUUUCCUUCAUUUUCCACGCUUGAAGAUAAGUCAAUUGCAUCCCAUGUUGCCUUACGAAGUCCUUACAUAUUUGGCUUGGUUGGUAAUUCAGAGUAGACCUUAUGACAUCAUCAAUCACCAAGGAUGCACGAUUGGAUCUAAUUAAAGGUUGGGAGGAGGAGACAUCUUCUAAACUAUGGUUGUGGACAUUACGGAAUGUGUGAACCUGAACGAUUUUAGAAUCCCCUAUUUCACGAGCAGUGACUUUCCAAGGACAUUGGGUUAUUGUGCAAACUACUGUCAUGUGUUUUGGAGUAUUCCUAGUGAACGAAUAUCGGAAUCUACAAGCCAUGGACAUCAAAUAGACCGCAUCAUGAAACUCAGAAGCAUUAGGGAAUGUUUGUCCACUACCCAUAAUGGCAUUUUCGAACCGUCUUGAUUCAAGUUGAACAACAUUUGAUUCUGCACAUCGUUGGGAAAACUCAAAUGACUCAAUCGUAGGGGAGUGAGUAUUAAUUUCCGUAGGUGGAUCCGCAUGGGAGGAAAUUACUUGUGUAGAAUUAAAAGCAACAAUAGGUGUUAGCCCACUGCAAAAAAAAGCCCCAUACAAAUUUGCUAACUAUCUAAGAACAAAUGUUUGGAAAGUGAUUCAACCAAAUUAAUAUGAUGGGGCUAAGGCCAUAUGUACCUAGUUUGUGCAAUCAACCCUUCACCAACUUCUAUAUGUGGGAAGACAUAAACAUGACAAAACAUGUCGUUAAAUCUGAACAUCUUCACAACGACAGUCUCAUCAUGCAACGGUAGUAAACAUGAUGGGUCAAACUUCACCGUAAACUCUAAUUUUAUUAAGUUUGGGUCAAUGUUCAGUUCACCACACACUUUUGAAACCAAUUCUGCAUGUGUGAUAUUUCCAUUAACGACAAUGGAUUCUGUCCGACCACCUUUGUAUUGUACGGACCCAUCAACAGACUUAACAACCUCACCGUCUUCAUGUAUGUAGCAAAAAAUAUCCUCUUCUAUUCCUUUAAUAACAACAAAAUGGGUUACAAACAAUACAAUAAGAAUAAUAAAGUAGUAAGUAGUGCCGAACAAAGUAACUAGAGCUCACAUACAUAUUAAGUGAAAGUGUGAUGAGGUAGUACCUAAACUACACUAAGGUAGUACCUACGGUUCACUAUUGUAGUACCUGAGCUUGAUUAAGGUUGUAUCUAAGCAUGGUUAAGGUAGUAACUAAAGUACAAUAACAACAGCAACACAUGGCAGCAUCAUGACCACACAAUCUAGAACAAACCUUCACUGGUUUAGUAAUGGAGUAAUAAUGUAGAUUUAGAUUUGAGGUAUAACCUUUGACCAAGUAACCUUUGUUUAACAAAAAGAAGUUUGUCAAAUAAAUGAUACUGCAAACUUCCAUAAUUUUUAGAAAACGACGAUAUUAUAUAAGAGGUCGCUUUAUCAUAAGACUUUUCUGUGCAUGUCUCAUAUGAAUAGAAAUAACUAAAGAGAAGUUAUUUCAAACAUGAUGUAGUCUAUAGUGCAAAAGUUCUCUACAUUAUAAUCAAGUUGCAUAACUUGCAACCAUUUGAAAUAUUUUUUCCCAACGGCUCUGCCACUAAGGAAAUUGCAACCAACAUAUAGAAUGAACAACAUGUCUACUUUAAUGUUAUUAUGAGAGUAAGCAUUCACCAUCCAAGAAAUCAUAACAAAGGGAUUUCAACCGUCUAGCACAAUCACAUUCGAAAUCAGAUUUAGUAUUGGAAAUGACGUAUUAGAGAUUGGAAAAGUUAGAAAAACAAUUAAAAGUAAACAUUCAAAUUCAUUGUUCAAAACACAACUUCAUUAGAAUGAUGUAAUUUGUAGUCAUAACAUUCUAAAAACUUAGUUUAUAUUCAUUUAUUAAGUCUUACUUUAGACAAACUUAUGUUGAUGGAAAUAACAUAAAUAAUAAAAUUAGAAGAUUAUUUUUUCGGACCCAUUUCAAUAUUGACCAUUCCUUAUUGCCAUAAUGAACAUAUUGGUUAUCAUAAACAUCAAUAAACCUCAACGAUUCACAAAAGUAACAGCAAGAUUCAACAAACCAUUAAGCACAAAGUAAAACAUUGUUUGUGUUUAAUCUAGAUUUAGUAGGGAUUGAUCAAUUUCCUAUAAGGAGGUCAUUUUUUCUGAUGAUUUUAUUUUAUUUUUUCACAAUCACGUUUAUGACUUUCUUGUUGAUGGUUAUGCACCUUCAGAUACAUUGUUUUCAUAGUGAACCAUUCAAUUUCCAUUCAAAGUCCAACUUGUCUUCAAAUGAUUUUAGUUUCAUUUCCAAUCAUUUUUAGGUUUCCAACGGUUUAUUAAGGUAUAUUAUAACUUCCUCUUUAGAUAGGAUAUUACUUUAGGCCUUGAUUUUAGGCAUAUACUUCCGCUAGCACUUGAAAUGAACUGGUGUACUUGUGAAUUUUAGUUUAAAUAAAAGCUACAGGGGUUUCAUCUUCCAAAAAUAAGGAAAGUAACUAGUAUUUGAGAUGCCUCAAGAGAGGUUUCAUCUUACAAGGGUUGUAUCAGAUAGUUUAGAAAUUGUUUGCCACUUUUUGGAGACCUCCUUGUAUCUCUGGCUAUCAUACCACUACACUAUAUCUUUAACUUAGUAAUUUACCUAAUAAAUUUACAUGCCUUUAGAGGUGUUAUUGAUUUGUCCAGUUUGAUUUCAUUUUCUAACAAAUUGAAAGCUAAAUUUUGUUUGAACUAUUCGUUUUGCUGUACAGACUCUCAUUUGAAGGAUGCCUCAGUUAGUGGUCUCAAUCAUUUUGCCUUCUACAUCUUGCAAGAUAUGUCUGUCCCAAAACCAAGUCUCCAACAUAAUUUUUUUUUCACUGUACAUUAUAGCAACACAUGUGGAAUAUAUUAAAGCCAUAAUUAUGAUCACUGCCCCUAACAAACCAUUUUCAAUUUGUUCAUGUCAUCAACAAUUACUUCCCACAAAGCAAAUAUACUAUUUGGUUAGUGUUUUCGAAAAUAAUUUUAUGGCAUAGAUACAAUACAAUUUUCCACUCAUAAAAAGACAAAUACAAAACUAUACUCAUCUCAAAUUUAAAGACUUAGGAAUGUAAUGUGGUCCCCAAAACAUAACUCAGAAAAAAUGUGUACCAAUUCUUACCUCAACAAUGCAUUAAACGAUUCAAAAAUAAAUAAAAUCUGCAAAUAAAGUAAGGCAUGACCAACACUUCACAAUGUUGUCACUUAUUUUUCAUCCCAAAUUUGUAGUCAACAUUCAUCUUUUACAUGCUUACUGCUAUCAUUUUAUCAUGUCUCAAAUCAAAUUCAUAAAACAAUAACAACAUACAUUCAAUUCUAUCAUGCAAAGACAAAGGACAAAAUAAUAACAACAUACACACAAUGAAAUCGAUAUUCAAAUUUAGUAAAGCAAUAAUAAUGACAAACGACCAAGCAAAUAAUCUGUUUAGGGUUUAGUAGUAACUCUCAUAUAUACCAUUAAAAUUGAAAGAAAAUUUCCAUUGACUAGUAGUAAUACAAAUGAACCAAUUUCCCUAAAAAUCUAAUGACAACAGAAUUCCUGGAAAGCAAAAAAAUAUUUAAAAAUAAAUAAUAAUAAUAAUAAUAAUAAUAAUAAUAAUAAUAAUUUAUUUUCUCUAAAUACGAACAUAUCUUUAAUCAAAAAUAAUUUAUCCUAUAUUUCAUUCUACAGAAAAUGAAGCUAAAUAUAAGAAACUCCAAAAUAAAACACUUCAAACCCUAAGAUAUCUGCACCAUCCAGACAAACCCGUAAAUGAAAACUCGCAUGUGAUUGAUUAAUCGGAAAACACGCACAAGAGGGAAAACUCCAGUUUCAUUUCGAGAAACCUAAACGGAAUUCCAACUUCGAUGAUGCAAAAACAAGAUAUGUCUCCCGUUUGGUUUACUUCAACGUAUUGGGAAGAUGGGUAUCAGUUUCAGCUACUCCAGACGUUUAGAGACAAACACGUUCGACUAAUCGUGAUGUUAAGAGAAAAACAGAGAAGUUUGAGAUUCGGGGAAGAUGUGUAUCAGUUGGGUUUGUUGGACGUGAAGGUUUUGGCUGAUUCAGAUUUGAAAUAACCUUCUGAAAUGGCAAGUUUUUGAGAUUCUGGCUUAGGGAAAAUCUUAGAUUUGGUUGUUGCCAAACUAAAAGGCAGAUUUAGGGCUACUGAGAGCAAAGUUAGAUGUCGUUUGACUUAAGGUUUUUUUUUACUAAAAUGAGAGAAAGAGAGAAAGGGACACCAAAAGUCGGGUCGGGUGGUUUUUUUAAGAAAUUAUCAAUUUUCACAAAUUUUUUUUUUUAAGUAUGACAUGGAGGCUAUUUGGCUGCUGAUGCAUAAGACAUUGAGGGCAUUUUUAGAAGAUAAAAUUGACUCAACACAGAGUGCACAAAUCUCAUAUUAUUUUGCCCAUUAAUAACUGCUUUCCAUAUUUGAAAAACUUGGGGAUUGAAUAUUAUAUUUUUUAUAAAUAAGGGCCCUAAAACACAAGUUUCCCUAAAUUUUAAGGUUGUUCUUGUACUUUUUGGCUCAUGCAUCUUUGAUUCUUUGUGCAUUUUGAGUUGCUUGUGUUCAGUAUUCUUUGGGUUUUGUUGGGAUGUUGAGAAAAGUGAGAACAAGAAGUAGAAAAAAUUCUGACUAAAAGGAUUUUUAUUUUUGCAUUUUCUUUAUAACUAAAAGAUUGGAAAUUGUGAGAUUAUGUUUUCCUUUCCUUUCCAUUUCACUUUCCCUAAUUUCUCAGCAACCAAACAUGAUUCAUUUUUUUUUUUUUUUUUUGACUAUUUUUUCUUUUAAGGAAAUAAAAAUGUGAUAGUAUUUAUAUUAUAGCGAGGUGAGUUAACUUGUUUACAAUUUUAUACUUUGUUUUUAUAUUGUAGAAAAUAUAGUAGAACAAAAAUAAUUGUAUUGACUAUUGAGUAUUGCUUGUCAAAAAUUAAUGAAAAAUUUUAAGGCAUAUUUCUUUGACAAUAGGAUGAAGAUGUAGAUUUGAAAUUAUCCUCACAAUUUAUCGUAGUUUUAGUAGGAUGACAAAUAAUUAACCCAUUCAAAUAAGACAAAAAUUUUGAACUAGUUCCUCCAAGCCUUUAUUAGUGAUCAUCUUGCUAUAUGUUCGAAUUAGUACAGUAUAAUUAGUAUUAAAUAAUUUUAUAAUGUCGAUGUAGAAUCUUUGUUAGCAUAUUUUUCUCAUUGUGUAUUUAACUUUCAAGUUUUUUGUUAUUUAAUAAUUAAACUUGGUUGUGAUUUUCUAAAUAAAGCUUUCAUAUGAGAUUAUCUAAUGAAGCAUCUAAAAACUCCUACUUUUUAUUUAUUUAUAUUUAUAUGAUUUUUAUUUUUAAAUUUUUUUACGUAUAGAACCAUUUCUUAGCAUAAACUAGUGGAUUUUUAAUGACUAGUUUUGUGAUUGUUUUUUGAAUUUUUCUUUUUUAUAUUUAUUUUUAAGGAGAAAGAAAUAAAAGCGUUAGGUUUUCAAUCUUAAACAACUUCGAAGAUAAUUGUCCUACAAAAUAAAGAACUCAUCUUAAUGGAAAUUAUUGAAGAAUCUAAUGAGAAGGUAUGCUUUUUGGUACCAUUCGGGAUUUCAAUUGUUGAUAAUUGUUGUAUAUAUCUUUCAUGUACCACAUGUUUCAAUAUUUUCAUAUAAAUCAUUUUAGUAAAGAUUUUUGUCAUGUUUAUUGUAAAAUUUCAUUGUUUCCCCAACAACCAAAAAGUGCUAAGAAUAGCAAAACUAAUGUAAUUUUUUUCAAAUGGAUUUAUUUACCUUCGUUUGAGUGUGUCAUUUGUCUUCUUAACACUUUUUUGCUUCUCUUAAACGACUUUAAAUGACGGGGUUGCAAUAAAUGAUAUGAAAGAGAACAUAUAACCAUGGUGCUGAUGAGAUAGACGACAAUAAAAGAGAAGUUAGCUGGUACCAAGAGGGCAACAAUAAGGGGUAAGAGUCUUGUCGUCACCAUGAGUUCAAAUCCUGGGGAGGUCACUCUGGUCCUGGCCCAUUCCGGUCCAAUCCCAGUGGUACAGCUGACCAGAGCCAAAAAUACUCCAGUCCAAUCCCGGAUAAAACAAAUAACGUCCCAACAAAAACGUUGGCCUUUUUUGCUCUGGUGCCCAGCCGUACCACCGAACUGUGCUAGUCAGGGGCAUCACAGCUGGAAUGGGCCGGACAGCGCAAAGUCUUAUAGGGCCAUUUGUUUAUUUGGCCCUUGAGGGUGACGUCCCCAUGAUUCGAACUUGGGUGGUGACAAGGCUCUUACGCCAGUGCGUUGCCCUCCUGUUACCAUCUGGGCUAGCCUAGAUGGUACCAAGAGGGCAACGCCCUGGGAUAAGAGCCUUGUUGCCACCCAAGUUCGAAUCCUAGGGAGGUCACUCUGGUCCUGGCUCAUUUCGGUCCAAUCCCGGUGGUACGGCUGGCCAGAGCCAAAAAUACUCCGAUCCAAUCCCGGAUAAAACAAAUGACAUUCCAACAAUAUAGUUGUAUAGUGGCUUUUGGGGGCAUGUGAUGUUUUUGAAGGGAUAUAAAUAAGGUUAGAGGCAUCUAAAUAAUGUCAUGUACCUCGAUACAUUUAUAAGUAAGGUCAUUUUUAUGAUUUUACCUUCUAUUUUAGUCAUCUAUCCAAAUAACCCUAGUUAAAAGGGUCAUUGAAAACCCAAAUUUGAAAUAAUAGUCUUCCUUCUUUGCAAACAUGAAAUAUAAUAUUGAACAAAAAUACCUUUUAACAAUUUAUUAAUUAAGCACCUUUUGAAUAAAAAGUUGUGCAAUAAGGGUAAAAAUGUUAGAGUGUGAUUAUGUGUAAUUUUCAAAACAUUAAAGUUAUUUUUGAAUAUAGGUAUUGCCUUAUCUUUUUAAUCAAAUAUUUAUUUCUUAAACUUCUACAUGGUAUGGAAAUAUGAGAUACAAACCCUAAAUUAUGUACGGAAGAUUUCAUAUCAUGUCACCGAGAAAAGAGAUAGAAAGUACUUACUAUAUAUUACUUAUUAGUACAAUAAUAAUAUAAUUAAUUAAUUAAUUAAUUAAUUAAUUAAUUAAAUGAAUUAAAAUUGGAACAUAUUAAAUAAAUUAAAUGAAUCAAAAGUGAAAUUCAUAUAAGUGAGAAGGAGUUAGUCAAUUUAUAUAUACAUCAUAUUUUAUUAGAGUCAAAUUAUUUUCAAUUUGAGUGAAAAUUUUAAAAAACCUCUAACAAUGUCGUGCUUCUUAAAUUAUACUAUUUUUUUUUCCUCUCUUUUGUAACAUAUAGAAGAUUGCAAAAAUUAUUAUUAUUAUAAAAACUAUAAUUAUUAUUAUAAAAUUAUCAUUAUUAUUAUUAUGAAAAAAAAUGUGUGGUUUUAUACCCACAUGAAAAAAAAUAUUAAAUUUAUUUAAAAACAAUUAAAAAUUUAUGCACUUUUUUUUUUAAGUUAAUAUUUUGAGUGGUUGAAGUACUAUCUUUAUUUUAGAGUACAAAAGACUUGGGAUGACUUUUAAAGGAUUGUAUCUUAUGAAUAUUUUCAAAUGAGCCCAUGAAAUUACAGUUUUCCCUGUUAAAUUACCCCUUUCUUUACUCGUCAAUCUUCUCUCCUCGUAGCCUAAAGAUUAAGGUGUCGACUGUCAAUGAACACUAGGCUUCUCCCUUUCCCAAAAAUGCUUCUAAGCCAUAGCCACUAUCUCGAAAUGCUAAAAACCUCCAAUCCCAGUUCCGGCAAUUUGUUGUGAAGUCCGCUUCGGCUCUUCCCAAUUCCAGGAAAUAAGCUUUCACUCAGCUAAGUAACUUCUUCUACAACCUUUACCACAUCAAUGAUGAGUAGUCAUUCAAUCCCAUCUAUCAUAGACUCCAUAGUUCUUCAUGAUAAUGGAAAUUUGCUGCAAAGAAAUAUAUACACACAUAUAUAUGGAAGAGAUGGUUUAAAUACCUCAAUUUUUUAAAUCAUUAUCAUGUAAACCUCUAAAAAAUGUUGUAUUUUAUAUGAAAGUUACUUCAAAUUGCAUUUUAAAAUAAUUUAAUUUUCCUAAUGGGUAAUUUUUGUCUCAUUUUUUAUUUUAUCUUUAAAAAAAUAACAAUCUUUUUAUAUCUAUAGAAACUUCUAAAAUUUGAAAACAAAAUUUUAACAUUUGCAUUUUAUUAUCAUUUAUUAAAAAUAACAAGUGCAUUAAUCAUGAUUCAAUGGUUUGGUGUGGAACAAUAGCCCAGUUGCUUUCAAAGACGAUUUUUGCAUGAUUAAAACUAUUUCUGUUUCUCACACUUUAUGUCCUUACCAUCAAUUAUGCAAAAUAGUAGGACCUUUAAGCCUAUUAUCAUAUUCAUCCAACUCUAGAGCACAAUUGUCACUUAACUCAAACUUUUAAAACUAAAUAAAAUGGGAUUUUAAGGCCCUCACAGAUCACGUUCCUCGAUUGUCUGAUAUGCUAAAAGAUUAUCAAGCCAAAUAAUAUCCAACAAACAGAAACCAAAUUGCAGGAAAGUUUCUACUGAAUGGUAAAACAAAAUUUCAAAACAUUUAGAUCCGACCUUUAUAGCUCAUUCAACAAAUGAUCACCCAGACUUUUACAUAAACAAGUUGGGCCUUGAUGCCUUGUAGGUGGUCUUGAGCUUCCUGGUAGGUGGCCUGACCUUCCUGAAGGUCAAGGGGAACUUGAUCUUGGAGUUGUGGAAUUGUUUUGAGCUCUCCCUCUUGCAAAGCUUAGCUGGGAUGGUUGCAGUCUUGAUUAUUUGGAUGCAAGGAGACCUAACCCUAUGACGGGAAGCCAUCUCAGCGUACAUUUGCUCAACAGCACCAUUCAGAGUAGUGUCACGGUAUUCCUUGUACAUGUUGUGAUAACCAGUUCGACUUUGAUACCGCAGCCAAAUCCCAUAAUUCUUGAUUGUGGUUGGGUUCUUCUCAAAAAUCUGCAGUGACAUGCAGCUAAACAUAAUGAAGGGCAAUACAAAGUUUUUUCCCCCUUUACAAUCAGAAGGGCCAAUACAGCAUAUUGAAGUAGAAGCUUGAUAUAUAUAUAUAUAACACAUCCCCAUAUCUUUGUAGUCAAUUUGAUGAUAAACAUAAGAAUUUGAACAUGGUAUUAGAGGUGGUUAUAACCAAAUAAAAAAAGGCAAAUCCAAUUCAAGCAUAGCUCAAGUUAUACAUGAAUGUGUCCAGAAAAGUCAGAUUCUACAUUAUAUUAGGACAAGGGCUGCUACAAAACAGAGUGGAUGAUAAACAGUUUAUAAUUAACUUGGUGUAGCAAAAUAUCAAUUGUCUAAAUGCGCAUACAAAGAAAAAUAAGGGAAGAGGAACAAAUUUGUGAAUCUUCUGUGAAAUUUAAAAAAAAAUAAAAUCAUAAGUGUACAUAAAUGAGUAAGAUGUGAGUGAACUUGUUCUAUCUAAUUUCAAGUGGCGAUUAUUUUUAGACCAAACCUGAUUAUCAGUUAGGCUUUAAAAAACCCAUGAACUAUUCUACAAGGAACAGACACAGAACUACCACAAUGCAGCAAACCAACAAAGAACGCAUCAGAAUCUACUUCCCAAAAUGUUUUAACAUGAUAUGCAUUUCCAUAAUCUUCCCAACAAAAUGAGUGGAAGUUAGGAAAAGAACAAGUAUCCAUCAAAACUGAGUAUUGUUCAAUGACGCUUAAAAUGUCUCAAUGUAUCUCUACUGAAACAUGACAUUGUUUACUUCUUGGUGGAGAAAGACAGGGAAAAACUUCUCAAUAAACAAACAGAAAAUGCACUUUUCCUAGCUGUAUGGACUCUAGUGCAAUAUUCAAUUGACCAUUUGGUGUGAUGCAGGUUUUUAAUUAAAUUUUCUCUCAGUGUUAUUUACAAUGUUUACAUGGAAAAUUACACUUACCAAACACCUUUUAUUAGAAUUUUUAUCCUUUAAAUAAAUAGAAGACAAUAGUAAUAUCCAACCAGACUAAGAGUCAAUAAACAAGAAGCAAUAUCAGCCAUCUAACCAAGUAUAUAACACAAUUGAUUUCUUCUAAACUAAUGCUUAGUUAGCCAAACAAUGGAUGCAAGUCAUGGACACACCUCCAAGAAUCAACCCCCAUUUAACCAUACUUCCAAAAUCCCAAUAAUAAUUUCACCAACAAAUACCACAUGACAGUGAAAACAUGAGAUAGUUACCUCAUUGAUUGCCAGCACUUGACCAUUGCUCUUCUUGACUUUCUUAAGCUUCCUCAGAAAAUACCUAUUUCAGAUCAAACCAAAUCCCUAACUCAAAACCCGAACCUUAUUACCAAUUAAACAAUAACCACAAAUCCACAGAUCAUUAUCGUAUCCCACAUACCAGAACUUCGAUUUGGCGCGAACCUCAUUUGUGGCCCAGAGCUUCAUGCGGUAGAUCUUCGGAUGCUCAUCGGUCUCCGACGGGAGAGCUCUCCCCACAACCUGGUACUGGUGAAA
rnacentral:lncRNA from 1 species